rnacentral:lncRNA from 1 species
GGAAUGUUUCAUCUUGAUAAUCAUGAAUGGAUGUGGCAACGAAAUUUUAUUUCCUUUUUUUAAAUUAAUGGGAAAAGUAACUGGAAGUUUGGAUUUGAUAUGAGAAGGAGAAGUGAUGAACCACAUUAUCCGUGAUAUUCAGAAUGGAGAAGAAUGGCAUCUCUCUUUUCUUUUUCGAUUUUUUUUUUUUUUUUUGUAUCUCAUAGUGAUUUGGUGAUCCUUUUUGGCUACAACUGGUGCUUCUGCAUUGGGAAUAAUCAAUGAGAAGAACACCUGUGUUGUAAUUUCACAUUGUCUGAACUGUGGGUGAUGGUUUGAUUUUUAAUUAAUCAGAGUUGAGCAUGCCUUAUAAAGCUAAGGCGAGGAUGAAAUUGCAUGGAUGCUUAAAGUUGUUUCCUUUAAGGUGGGAGAAUUUUGACAGUUAUAGUGGCAAAAUCCCAUCUUAUUUUUUACAUAAUUGUGGAGUCUGCUUUGGAUGGAAUUUAAAUUAGAUAACUUGGGAGUUCAGUUUGGAAGGGAUUUAAAUUGGAUGUCUUAGGGAAUAUCUUGGAUUGUUAUAUUGUUUUAGUGAAAAAUAAUACUAUGAGCUUAAGAAGCAGAACUUAACAGUUAACUGUUUAAAGUAAAGUGAUGUCAUAUGUUAUCACUUUCAAGAUUUUGAGUGUCAGAUCAUUAACUUCUGGUGAGUAGUAUGCAUUCAUUAUUCAUUCAAAAGCAGAUUCCAUUAAAGUGGAAAGGAUAUUAGGAGGCAUGUUGAUGCAAUUUACGUGGUGUGCAUGAAAAAUAUUUGUCGGCUUGUGAUCAUGGUGGUGCAUACAGUUAGUGGGACAGAAUGUUGCUUUCUUUGCACAUCAAAUUAGCGGUUACAAUUUCAAAGGUUGUUAUGCUGCAUCUUGCUCAUUGUUUACAUUAAUUUUGCAAUCAUCUAGCAGUAUCAUAUAACUGCUUGAAGGUGUCAAAGACUCUAUACUUAUCUUGGAAUUAAAAAGAAAGGUAUUAUACAAUAGUGCUGCACAUGUAUUUGUUGAUGGGAAUGGGAACUAUUUUGUUAGAGAUGAUUGUGCUUUAUACUUCAUGGCAGGUUUUCUUUUUCAUCACCAAUCAGUUUCUAUGUAACAGUGUUGUUCCUAUAGGAAUUUUUUUUCUAAGAAUGAGAAUUUCUAUUAGAGCAGAAAGCAAAUUUAAGAAGCCAAAAGUCACAAAGAAAUUAAAGAAUCCACUUAGAGGGAUAAAAGAGGCCCAAAGCAAUAGUCUCUCUUAACUGGUGGAUUCACUUCAGAUGAGUUUUCUAUAAUUUUCUGGAGCAGCAGCAGGAUAAUGAAGGGCAUUGACCCUAAACCCUAAACCUAAUAUUUUGUUGUUUUUACUUUUCAGGUACUUCAUUGUUUGAGGACAAUGGGAUGCACAGCUGAAGAUCCAAUGGCUGGUGGAAAAGAAAACGAAAUAGAGAUAAAAAUAAAGACAUUGGAUUCCCAAACUUACACAAUGCGUGUAAAUAAGCAGGUACCUAGCUUUGUACUUUUUAAUUAUGUUACUUGCUACAAUCACUUCAUGUUUUAUUUUUUCUUGGGGCUGUUACAAUAUAAAAGUUUAUUCUUUUCUUAGUUGGUUGUCAAUUUGUCAUCUUUUUAAGGGCACUCUUAGAUUCUUUAUACUCAAUAUUUCCUUCAUCGUCUUUUAAACUUUAAAUUGCAGUUUUGCAUAUUUGUAUGGUUACAUUUCUGUCAGCUUUCAGUAGCUUAAAAAUGCUGUCUUACUGAAAGUAGUAUAAGUUUGUCGCUGAAAGAAGUUACAGCCUACAAGUAUAUAUGACAGCCUUUUUUGACAUCCAGUCAAUAGCUUCUUUGCCAUGAUAGAUUCAUAUCUUAGGAUUGUAUAGCCUGUGUGUACAUGUUUGCUGGUAGUAACUUGCAUAUCAGAGUUUUUCAUGUAUGAGUGCAUAUUUGGUUUUACCAUUGUUCUUGAUGUCUUGCAGGUACCAGUGCCUGAUUUAAAACAACAGAUUGCUACAGUUACAGGUGUCUUAUCAGACCAACAACGUCUCAUAUGCCGCGGAAAAGUUCUAAAGGAUGAUCAACGCCUCUGCGCCUAUCGUAUCCUUUUUGUUAAUUUCUCUUGCUCUUUCUUUUUCUUUUUGCUGUGUCUCUGUUCUCAUUCUCUUCCUGGUAAUUACUAUCAACUUCCACUUUAUGGUUUCCAAAUGAUUGUUGUGGUACUCAUAAUUUUGAAACAAAUGAAUUUUAUACACUUACUAUAUUUGAAUUUGCUGGUUAUUGCCAUUUUCAGGCUAUGAGCACAAGAGUUAAAAAUAAAUAAAUAAUAAAAAUAAAGACCAUUAUUUUAAAAAGCUGGAAAGCAAUAAUAUCUGCAAUUUGUGAGUACAAAAGCAUAAGAAAACCUUUGUCUUCCACUCCUCAUUAAUGUCAUCUUAUUUCUGCACCUUUUGACAUAUAUACACGCCCAUGGUAACUUUUGUGUAUUUGCACCUUCUGGUGUUUUUUGGUUGCUUUGUAUAUGUUGUAUAUACUUUUUAAAAUCUCUUUUUGAUGAGUAAAGACUUAAUAUCAUGUGUACUUUUUAAAAUUAAUACAAUCUUCUUUUACGUAUCAAAAAAAAAAAAAAAAGGUACUAUAUCACAUUAAAACAUUGCCUCUCUAUAUGCAUUUUUUAUUUCUCAAUGCAAAGCAAAGAAUAUUUCACUUCAAUGUUCUUUAGCUUAUGAAUCUGUCUUUGUGUGUUUAUUUGGAUGAGUAAAGACUUAAUAUCAUGUGUACUUUUUAAAAUUAAUACAAUCUUCUUUUACGUAUCAAAAAAAAAAAAAAAGGUACCAUAAUCACAUUAAAACAUUGCCUCUCUAUAUGCAUUUUUUAUUUCUCAAUGCAAAGCAAAGAAUAUUUCACUUCAAUGUUCUUUAGCUUAUGAAUCUGUCUUUGUGUGUUUGUUUGGCUCCAUGUUUACUAAUUUUUAUGUUAAACAUUGUAAUGAUAAAAUACAUGACAUUUUACCUCCACGUGAAUUACAUUAUAUAUUCCAUUAUGCCGCCAAUCCACAUAACACUUUUCCACAAUGUUGUUAACUGAAAUUCCAAUUUUAGCCCCAAGAAUUAUUUUUUACCUCCAAUCUCUCUUGUGAUCUUGCUAGCUUGGAUGUGAAGUUGCAAAUGCAAUUUGGUUUAAAGGGGAGGGAGGAAGAAUAGAAGAAAUAUCCAAAAUAUGCCUCGACUUGAUGAGAAGAAAUUUGGGGGAUAUGGUCUUUGCUGUAAAGACGUCUUUCCAUGUAGUUAGAUUUGCUCUACCAGUAACCUUAAUGCUGCUUACAAUAGUUCAACAACACAUGCAGGAUUCCAGAAUGUUUCCAUGGCUGGAUAUAUGUAUAUAUAUAUAUAUAUAUUCCUUUUUUUUUGUAUUGAAAUAUUCAAAUCUAUGGGUGGUUCACUCAACUGUCUUUGAUAUUAGUCAGACUAAGGGACAUGUAUACCUCUGAAGAGGAGCUAUAUUCAUGUUGGAGAAGGUGUAAGUAUUAGCACCUGCAUGCCCUGGCUUUGUUGUUUGAGAGUUUUCAGGUUAGUGUGUCUGUAGUGUGCUGUGUGUUGCAACUGAGGCUAAUGCUGAACUGUGACUGCAAAUAAGUCAUCUUAAUCCUCUGAUUACCUGCAAAAACACGCCGUUUGGGACACUGACGUAACUUGAGACCGUUUUAGAGAAGGGAAAGAGAGGAGAAGAUUUUGGGACCUGAUGGCUAGGAUCUCUAUAGAAAACUUACCUCUUUUAGCUGAUGGUUGUACCUUUUAUACUCUACACUGAACCUAGUUCCUCUGGGGCUAGGUUGCCUACCACAUCUUCUAGUCUAGUCGAAUGAUCGAGGCCUUUGGCUUUCAGGAGUCUUAAGCAAUGAUGGAGUUGAGCUCGAGUAGUUCGAGGUCUAUAUUAUCGCUCCUCAAGUACCACUUUGUAUUCACUUAGCUCGAGCAUUGAGCAUUAUCCUAGCCCACAGGCUGGGUUUAUUGCCACGUGAUAAGUGAGAAUGGAUGCCUUCCCAAUGCGUCCUUUUUCUUGCCAUCAAGAACUUUGAGCUUGGAAAAAGCAGGAAUGCCAAAAUUCAAACUGUUUGGCUGAGUUGGCUUUUCAAAGUGAAAAUUGAACCGUUUGAGAUACACAUGGCAGGGCUGAGUUGGCUUUUCAAAUGAUGGCAGUAGGAUUUGCGCCUCAUCAUUGUGCCCGCAGUAUUUAAUCUAGUGGGCUGUUCCUUCAGGCCUUUUAAAAACCCAAAGAAUCUCCUUUUUUUCCUCACUUUGCCUUAUUUUGCAAGCCGAGACGCUGCUGGAUCUUUUUCCAGGCUACCUCCAACCAGUUUUUUCUGAUGCCACUUAAUCAAUUCCAGUUCAUUCACCUUACUUUCCUAGAGCUAUUUCAUGGGUAACAAGUUUUGCCUUAUCUUUACCUUUUAUUUUCUGUUUUUUAGUGGUUUUUUGGUCAGUGCUUGUGUCGUCUUAGAUAAAUUUUGCUUUUCCGGCAACCACCUGGAACCGUACCUCCCUAGAGCUCUGACUCAGUUUUUCCUGCCCUAGGGGUUGGGCGGCGGGCCUAGCCUUUAAUUCAUUUCUUUUGGGUGAAAGGAGAUGAAUGACAAAAUCUUGAUUGUGUAGAUUAACUUAGGACUACAUUGACUAUGCCUAUGAUGUGGAAAUCCUAUUUCCCAAGGAUUAGUUUUAUGAUGAGUGUGUGACAGUUUUUCUACAUUGGUUUAAACCAUGAUGAAGGAGCCUGCUGCUUUGGGAGACUAAUUCCAUGUAAGCAUCAGGAAAUCCCUGUUUGCGUAGUCUUCUUGUUGUGGAUAGGUUUUGUUUUUCUGCUUGUCUUGUCUAGAUAGUUUUCUUAUUUAACUAGAUGUGUUAUGUAGAUUUCAGAAUAUUAAUUUUUGAGUAUUUGAUGAAUACCACAGAUGGGGAAUGCAGACAGGAUUUUUAUUGCCAAUGGCAACUAGUGUGUAUGCUGCACUUUGGGCAACUAAUGAUAAAAUUUUAGUCAUAUAGCAGUAACUUUUGAAAGGUCAAUUAUAAUUUGCUUAGUCAAAUAGACCAUUAAAAGAUGAUGGAACUUAUUAUUAAUUUUAUUGUUUUUUCUUUUUUAUUAUUAGUCCUGAGGUGAAAUUGUUUAAUUCCAUAACAUGAAGACAGCUAAACAUUUUGAGAAGAUUUGAGAACUGCCCACUGGAGGCAUUGAUGCAUAUGCCAUCUUAGUAGGAAAUAUGUCUUUGACAUCUAUGAGAAAAGUUUAUCAAUAGAUCAUAGUAGGUAAUAAGUCUUUGACAUCUACUGGAAAUAAUGUGACAACUGAUGUGAGGUAAGAGGGUUUAAUGGGAAAAAUGUACUCCUUUCAUGCUAUAUGAGGAAUGAAUGGAAAUAAUAAAUUAUCUAUUCUGACAAGAAUAUAUGCUUCAUUAAAUGAGGUUAAUUCUUCUGCUUGAACAAGUAUUUAGUAGUUGUUCCCUUAGAGGAGGCCCCCUGAGCUUCCCUUUCCUACUUACUGCUUCUUGCUUGAUAAAUUUUGUAUUAAGAAUGAGCAUAAUUACAUUGUGUCUUAUUUAAAAUAUUUUCUUUUCUCUUUGUCAACAGUUUGUGUUUUGUGUGCCUCCUUUCCUAUAUCAAAAUAUUUAUCUGCAUCAUCGCCUGGAACCUUGAAGACAUUUGCAUAUCUACAGAACACUGGCUGAAUGAGUAUUGAUUAGUUGAAGUGUAUUUCUGCUAAUGGCAGAAACUGUGAUAAUGUUCCUCUUUAUAUCUAUGGCAUCUAUUCAGGACAUAUGUAUUGAAAUUUGAACCAGUUGCCUUACUUGAGAUGAUUAGUUGUGGCUGAGGCAAUGAAAUCCAAAUGGGAUAGCAUUAAUUGAGUUGGCAUCUUGUUAACUUUUCCUCAAAGUUGAUAUAUUGUAUCUUGCUUUCUUGCAGUCAAGUCUGGUUUUGGAUAUUUAUUCAACUAGAUGAAUAUGGUAUUUGAACACACUCAUUUUCUCAUUGUUCACUCCUUUUCUAUUCUAGUCACUUCUUGUUUAUUAACUUUGAGCUAAUUAUUUAAUUGGGGAAAUGAGUUUCUUACUUAAUAUGAGUUAGAUGUUGAAGAUGGUCACACUUUGCAUCUGGUUACCAGACAACCAGUUCCACCAUCAUCUGAGGGUUCACAUAAUCAAUCAGGUUUGAUAUUCUUGAAAGCUUUUUAUCAUCUUCAUAUUUGACUUCAGAUAUUUCAUGGAAUACUUGCUCUAAUUUUGUAUUUGGUUGUUACUCAAAGCUUUGUUAGUGGGAGUAAAUUCUAGUUUGAAGUCUUUCUGAUUAUGGAAAUCCUUCUUGAUUGACGUUAAUGAGAUGUUUGACUUUGAAGUAAUCAUAACCCUGAGUUACUUGAAGUUACUUUUUUUGUUGCCUUUGUUAUGUUCUAAACUUUUAAGCAAUGUGUGGAUGUAAUUUUGGUCACACAUGUACUUUAUAUUCCCAAUAUAAGUAUUUCAUUCCCUGUUUUUGUCUUAGUUUUCAAGCAUGGCUCUUUAUGGUAAUCUGAAUUUUAGUUGUGUCAAAGGUCAUAUUCCCAUGGUAUUUACUCUUUUAUUUGCGAAAUGGAUGAAAUUGUGGUGAAUUUGAUGGAAUGAUUUAAAAUUAAGCUUUCACAAAUUCUUAUGCUAAUGUACUACAGUCUAGAAUGUUUUCUUUUGUUGAUCAGCAAGAUCUAUGUCAUCAUAUGCAUGCUGAAAGCGGGCAUUUUGUAAUUCUUAAUUGUAUAUUCUGUCUAGCUUCUAGAUUUUUUCGCUGUUUCACUGAAUUCAUUAAUGUGAAUACCGGUUUUUUCCCAUAAAAAGCCAUUUUCAGUUAGAACUAGAGAACUUACUGCUGAAAGUAAUUGUUUGCAGAUGCUAUUCCUGGUUUGGGUAUGAGUCAUGGUCAAGACAAUCAGGUAGCUCCUGGGUUUCUACCUGAAAAUUUGAAUGUGCCUAAUCAAGGUGAUGCCAUUCCUCCAGAAAUUAAUCAGGUAAGUCUAUGAAUUAGAUGUGGAAUGGGACUCGUUUUUGGAUUUCUAUAGGUGUAAUUACAUCUCGCUAUAUCAGUUCCUACUUUGUUAUCUUUCUUGCUUGGCAGCUUGUUUCUGCUGUUCUUGGUGCUUUUGGAGUUAAUGAUAUUGGUGGUAAUCAGGGGCCUGAUGCUAGGGUAAAUUUCUAGUUCAAAGUCUACAAACAAAUCGACUACUUGUUGAAAUUGGUGUGCGACCUAUUGUUGCUUGGCAUGAUAUUUCGUGAAAGUGUGGCUCUUUGUUAUGCAAAUAAAUAAAUAAAUGCUUUUCAGAGAGUGAAUGUAAGGCAAACGCAACAAAGGCUGAAUUCCAUGUAAUUGAUGUUUUCUUUUUUGCUUUCUUGUUGCCUUCGUCUUGUCCUUUCUGAGCCACUGCAUGACCCGACAAGAUGUUAAGCACGUUGAAUUUGGUGUAUCCUUAACAUUCUUAGAAGUUGCAGAAAAUUUUCUGAGUCAUGGUUUAUUACAUUCUAAAAAAUUUUUUUUUUUAUGUCUGCAUGGAUCUAUAUAUGUUUCUAUCCAUAUUUAAUCUCACUUUUUGGUGUGUGGGGGGGUUGGAUGUGGAAGAAUAAUGGCCUGGAAGGACUUGGAUAUUGGGUGCUAACAGCAUCUCUGGUUUAACCCAAUCAAAUAGUGCCUUUGCAUUGGCAGUGUCUUUGGGGGCUCUUUCGCCCCUGGUAAGGUUGAGAUUCCUGGUUUUACUUUAUUCAUAUGCACUUCCUUUUUUCCUGGGUUGACUUUUUUUUUUUUUGGAUUUGAAAUGGAUCUUCUUUCAUGUAUUUACUGGUUGGAUAUUAAAUAUUGCGUGAUAUCGUGGACUUUGUAGGUCGUGCCUGAUUCUUUGACUACUUUGUCCCAGUAUCUGAGUCGAUUGAGGCGUGAGUUUGGUAACAGCAGUCAUUCCCUUUUUUUUUAACUUUAAUACAUGCAAAUCAGUCCUUUAAUGCUAGUACAUUCAGAUGUUUGAAACUUGAAAUACAUUUUGUUUACAGGCAGAGGCAAUGGAAACAAUGUGCAGACUGCUGAUAUCCAUGGUACUGCAGAAAGAGAAUCUAAUUCCAUAUUGCAUUCAGUGACUGCACCGGGCCUUACUCCAACAGCAUCCUUGGCAGAAUUGAUGCUGUCUGCAAGGCAAAUGCUUAUUGAACAAGUUGGAGAAUCCCUACUGGUAUAUGCAGAAUCAUUAUCCUUCUAUAUCAUUACCCGUCAAGGUAGCCCAAUUGGUCAGCGCGAACACUGGGAAGUGUGGUCCUAGUAAGUGGCACAUGGUCCUAAGUUUGAAUCCUGCCACUGAUGAUACCUUGAAUUUACCCGGUGUUGGUUGUUGCGGGCUGGUCAGCACUCCAAGGUUUGGGUCCCCAUGGAGAGUCCUAAGGGCUUGGUCAUGGAAGGUUCAUUGGUUAUAAUAUAUGUAUAUAUAUAUAUAUAUACUUCUACAUUGUUGAAAAUGUUUAUUUUGGUAAUUCAUAAUAUUUGAGAAGUUUUCUGGUAGCAUACCAUAUAUGAUGCAGGUAUUUCAUUACUACUCACAAUGUGAACAGAUUUGAUUUGAUCAUCUUUUAGAUUUGUACGCAGAAUAAAAGAAUCUGUUUAUCACGGCCUACAAAUAUCUGCGAGUUUCUCACUAUCCUGAUCCAUAUAUGCCAAAAAUAACAUGUAUAACAAUGUUCUAUUUUAUAUUUUGGCAGCAACUACAGAGGCAGCUAGAGAAUCAAGAGACUGCGACUAAUCUGUCUGAGAGGCGGGACAUUCAGUUUAGCGCAGGGAGAACAGGAGUUUUGCUUCAAAAUGUUGGUGCAUUUCUACUUGAACUUGGUCGUACAACCAUGACACUGAUCAUGGGUCAAAUGCCGGUAAGUAUAUUUUGGUUUUCAUUCAAUUAUCUGGUUGAUUGAGAUAUCAUUGAUGUCUUGUGUUCCUAUGAAUCAUUUCUUAUGCAGUCUGAAGCUAUGGUUAAUACUGGGCCUGCACUUUUCAUAUCCCCAUCUGGUCCUAAUCCUCUCAUGGUUCAGGCAAUAUUCUCAAUAUCCCCUUCAAAAAAAAAAAAAAAAAUGUAUCUUUAAAUUUUUUUAUCCACAUUUUCUGAUCAUAAUUUUAUGGCCAGGCUCAGCCUUUUCAACCAGGAACAAGUUUUGGUUCAUUCUCCACGGGAACUGCACAGCCUGGCUCUGGUUUGGUUAAUGGAUUUGGUUUUCUUCCAAGGCGUAUUGAUAUACAAAUCCGUAGAGGUGCUAUUUGAAUUACACCUUGGCUAAAUAUUAUCUUUAUUUUAUUUUUGGUGUAAUUUAUGUUCGGAUUUACUAAUCAAUUCACCAUUAGGUUCUUCAAUGGUCACUCCCAAUGUUAACCAAGUGGAACAUGGUUAUACUAAUCAGCCUUCAGGCCAAAGAAACCCAGUAACAAGUUCUGGUGGUGAAAACCCAGCAACUUCUCUGGUUUCAGAGGGUUCAUCUAUUGCUGCAGUACCAAUGAGGUCCAUGCUUGGAGCAGUAUCUGGUCCAUUUAAUAGUGUUCUUUCUGAUCCAUCCAGUGGUCUUUUAGGCUUGUACCCAGUUCUUGGAAGAUUACAACAUGUGGGUUCUGGACAUGCAAUUGAUGAGCUAGGAUCUCAAGCAUCUGGUGAACAUCAAGCCACUGGCUUCCAAACCGAGCAGCUCAAUGAAGGUGGUCGCACAACAGAAGGUAAUUCGACAAAUAUGGUAGUUAAACAUAGUAAUGAAGACUAGUUGUUUCAUAACCAAUUUAUGCUCAAGUAAUGAAUUAUAUGGUAGUGAAUUAACCCCUUCCAAUUUAUGCUCAAUUUUUGUUUUUACAUUGUGGGCGGUCCUGGUGCUUGAUUUUGUUCUCUUUGUUUGGGGUCUUUUGGGUCCUGCUGUGGUUUGUAAAAAAAUUUCCUUGGAUGGCAUGGUCCCUCUGCAGGGAAAGGCAUAACAGAAGGUCUAGAGGUUGAUUCCUCUCUACUUGUUUUCAUGUACUUGGAAGAACAUAAAUAGAAAACUUUAUAUGGCUUGCAACAUUAAAAUUUAGGAAUUAUAUGCCUGUUGCUCAAUUAUCAUUUUGUUCAAAGGACCAAGGUGCUCAUAGGAAGGUGCCAAGCUUUAGUAUUUAGAUUUCAUUGACAUCAAUUAUCAUGUAUUCUUUUUGACCUUUUUUUGAAGUGUUUCCUUGUGUACUUCUCCUGUACUUGGGUUGCACCCUUCUUUUGAUUGGUCCUUUGAAUAUAGCAUGCUGUUAUUUCUGCCUAUGAAAAAAGAAAGAAAACAAAAUUUGAGGAGAGAUAUGGCUUAUGCCCAUGUUGCUGUUUUUAAGUUAUGUUUUUUUUUUUUUUAAACAAGAAUCCUUUGAUUUUUAUUUGAUGAAAAUUUAGAUACUUUAAUUUAUGUAAGGUGAAUAAAGGUAUAAUGUUCCAUGAUUUCCAUUUCUUUUUUACUUGUUGGCUCUUCAGUUUGUUUAGAGCUACCGAAAGAUAUUAUAGAAUAGAAUAUAUAGAAAGGGCUGUUUCAGUGAACUUUUCCUAUGAAGGAAAAAAAUGCAAAAGAUAGUGAUUUUUUUAUGUUUAUGUACCAUAGAAAAAGGGAAGGAAAAAAAUACUAAGGAAAAGAUGGGGGAAAAAGCUAAAAGAUUUUCUUGGUCUCAUACGCCUUGUUUGAUUCCAAGAAAGUACUAAGGAAAGAACAAAAAAUGUUAAGGAAAUAAUUUUUUCGUAUUUGGUUUUACUAUGGAAAAUAGUAAAAUUAGUCAAAAACUUAUGCUUUUUCAAAUUAUUUAAUCUUUAUAUUGAAGAGUUAAAAUAAAUGAAAUAAGGUUGAAGUAGUAUAUAUAAAUAAUUUAUUGACUCUAAAUCUAUUUUUUAUUUUUCUUCACUUUUUUUUUUCUUCUACCUUUCCUCUCUAUUUUUUUUCCUUUGCAAUUCCCCUCAAAUUUUUUAGGAACCAAACAUAGCUUUUAAAAAAAUAUGUGAGGAAAGUUUGGGGUGCAUUCCUCAUUAAUUUAAUUCUCUUCUCUCAACUUUUCUAUGGAUGACCAAAUAAAAGAAAAUUCUAUAAUUUUUCUUUUAUCUUCUCCUUUUCCUCUCUAUUUUUUUUUCCUCAUAUUUUCCAAGAAUCAAACAUGGUCUAACAGAAAAAUAGGAAGUCCACCCCUAAACAUGCUGAAUUGCAAAUUAACUUAACAGCUGCACAAGGCAAAACCCCAUAAAAUCUGAACAGAGACAAAACAUAAACCCUCAAAUUCAAAACUACUUAAAAAUGUAGGAAGCAGUUUCAAUGAGCUGUAACAUGUAGAUAUUCAUUUGUAGUCGCUACAGAUAUUUCUACACUCAAGUUUACUUGUCUUUUCUCAUUCGUUAUUGGGUAAAGCCACUUAAUCAUGUAGGGAGCAGUUUCAAUGAUGUAUAACAUGUAGAGUUUCAUCAGUAGUUACUGCCAGUAUUUCUACACUCAGUUUACUUGUCUUUUUGCUCAUUCAUGAUUGGCUUUGGGAGUUGGAGAUAUAAUUAUUGGUUGGAUUUGAGUUCACCUGAUUAUUCUGCAUCAGGUGACCAUGACAUUAUCCUUGUUUUCAUGAGCUAAAUUUUUUAAAUUGCUUGUUUUUGCAGGAUCAUUGCCAACUCCUAGUUUAAGACACCUGGCACCAUCUGAAUCCCAGAAUUUCAGAAUCAACCUUCAGUCAACCAAUGGGACCAUAACUAAUCCAGAAGCUGAGGGACAUAUGCCCAGCAGUGUCCUUCAGUUUCUAAGGACCAUGUUUGCAGGUGGAGAAAUUGAACAUGUCGAGGAUUUCAAUUCACAAGGAAUAGCUACAAAUCCCGUCACAGAGCAUUCAGAGGCAGCCGCUGGUGCCAUGGAUGCUCAGCAAGCAGAACCAGAAGUUACUGAUGAAGGGAUCUUCUUGUCCAAUAUGCUUCGAGAGAUGAUGCGCUUCAUAUCUCAAGAUGUGGACCCAAAUGUCGCACCUCCUGAAGGAUCAAGUGCUUCAGAGCAUGGAACUGAUUCUUCCUCCCAAGUAAGCUUGCUUCAGCAAUUACCCACUUACCCUUGUUAUGAAUUAUGACCUCUUCUACCUCAAACUAAAAAGGAAUUUGAAUUUCUUCUUAUGUUUGUUCUUAAUGCCCUCCGUGUUAUCAGAAACAAAAUGGAGAAUGAGGCUUAGGCAUUAAGUGGGGAUAUGUUGUCACAAGUACUCUUAGUGCACUAUGUCUUAUUAAGUAAUGGAGCAUAAUAAUUAGGUUGGGUCGUAAAUCUGAAGGUCAAGCUAAGUAAUGAUGUAUUUGCAGGCUGAGAGCUCUGUUGCUGGGACUUUGCGACGGGAAAGUGAUAAUCAGGCAAGCCCCCCAAAUUCAAAACGUCAGAAGGUAUUACAGUUUGAAACUUCUCUGUCUUUCCUUUUCAUCUUCUCUCUUUCAAAUGCGUCUUAACUUAUCAUAUCUUCAGAAUUUAGGAGGAAAUGAUGCUGUGUCAUUAGAAAUUAGAAUUGAGAUAUUCAAAUGAGACACAUCAGUGGGUUGGAUCAUGAUCUCAAUCCUUGAUAAGACGCUGCAUUCUAUUUCCUCUGGUGAUCUCAUGCAUUCUAUUUCCUCCAGUGGUCUCAUGCAAUAAUUGUUAGAUCUGAUUCUCUGAAUUUGCAACCAUAUGGUAAAUUAUAUGUUUGUAUAUAGCAUUUUCAGUGUUUUGUAGGACUUCAAUUUAAUUUCAUCAUGCCAAAGUCAUCCACAUCAGGAUCCUGGACUGGAUUUAUGGGGGUCUCGUAGCUCAAUUGAGAACUUUCAAAUUCUAAAUAGUGGCAAAGAUGAUUGAACAUGACAUGGUCAUAUUAGAAAAUUUCCUGGAAUGCUGGUUAAGUUCAAAGUAUGAGAAAAUGUAAGAAAACAGAUAAGAAUACUUAUAUUUUUUUGCAAAAUAAGCUACUGAAACAAAAGGCCAACCUAAAAGCUGCACUAAAAUUGCUUUUGGAAGUGAUUCUUAUAGGGUGAGAAGCAUUUCCUAAUGCUAGGAAACACUUUCUUUACUAAAAUUAGGCAUUCAACAAAGUUUUAAAAAUCACUUUUGAACACAAGAAGUGAUUUUUUGAACUAGCACUUGGUGUUUUUUCCAAAGUCACUUUUUCGUUAUGCAUCCAAUUGCUAAAAACACUACUAUAUUCAAACAUUAACUGAUUCUUGAUGAAAAUGUUUCUGAAAGAAGUGCUACCAACAAAAGUGCUACAGAUUAAAAGUCCUUUUACCAGAAUCACUCCUAAAUGAGUCAUUAGCGUCUUUAAAAGAAGCAUGAAACAGUCCUCAAAAUGGAUAUUCAAACUCAUGGAUGUUUUUUGAAUACUUUCAAAUAUGCAGAGCUAUAAACAGAUUUAAAUGUGGUCUUCUUAUAGAUUUAUUGGGUUACAUUUCAUUGGAGUUGGUAGACCUACCUCAGUUGGACUUCCGACUGAUUUGGUAUAGGCAUUAUUUAAGAUAAUUUGAAUGGUUGAACCAGCAAAGCUAAAGGUGACCACAUAAUCUCUUUACAGUUUUGAUGCCCAAGACAACAAAAAAAAAAAAAAACAAAUAAAUAAAAAUAGAAGGAACAUUAGAUAUAUCUUCAUGUGAGUUUGCUUAGGAAAGGUGGACACGAAGGCGUUGCAGGUGAGAAUGGGAUUAGUGGAGAUUCUAAAAACUGCUGCAAAUCCUAUGCAAUGUGAUAUUGUAACAAUAUGGAAGUCAAAGCUCAUCAUGCAUGCAUCUUUAGUUCAGGUGGCCCUACCAACCAUAUGGUGGACUCUGGAAGAUCUUUCAUGCUUAAAAUUAAUUAAUAGGAAGAUAAAUUAGCACAUUCUUUUGGUUAUUUAAUAGAAUGGGGGGAAAUCAUUCCUAUUUUGAUUACAAAAAUUAUCACUCUGAAUCGAUUUGCUUAUGUUUGCAUGUUCUCCAUGCUUAACGUUUAUUUUGAGGGCAAAGUGUUUGAUUUGUGUUUCUUGCACAGAUGGAUGAUUCAUCCUGAGACUAGGGUUUUGAGAUAUGCUACCUGUUAUCUGUGGAUGCUGUGAAUAAUGAUCCCGAGGGCAAGCAGUGAGGCUUUUCUUACAGGUAAAUUUAGGCGCUAGUCAUUCCACCAUUGUAGUAAACCAUCCCCUUUUCACUUGAGCAGGUCCAUGAAGUGACUUUUCAAGAAUAGUCAUUACUUCCUUGAGACAGAAUAAAAUGACCUGCUGUUUGCCUGUAGUACUGAAUUCCAUCUUAUAUGUAACAAUACUUGGGUUGAUGUUUUGGUUUGCAUUUCCAUUAAGUGUAGUGGGUCUAAUGACUUUAUCCGAGCGCUUCCAUAAAUGUUACUGUUGGGGGAAACCUUGGUGGCUCCCAUUGUAUUCAUUGGAUUACUUUUAUGUGGGAUGCUGUGCUGACUGCUGAGGAAGUUCUGUUUUGAUCCCACAAACACGAGUGUAUGGGUACAAGGGAUCCUUGGACUCAUCGGAUGAAGUAUUUGUUGGCAGUCUAUUUGGGCGGUAAGUCCAACAAAAUUGAGUUCCUUACUUCUUGUUCAUCAGCCUUUUCAGUGUUGUUGGCGAUACUUUUUUGCACACUGCCAUGAUUUUGCAGUUCAAUCAACUGAAAUAAUCUUGAAACAGCCAUUAUUUUGAUGCUACAGUGUUGAUCAACUUCAAUGAUGAUGCUGAAUGGUAUUUGUCAGCGUGGGCUGUAUAGGUGAAAAUUUGAACUUACAUAUUUGGUUUCCAUAUCUGGGAGCUAUUAUUUUCUGAGAGUAGGGUUUCAAAGAUUAAAAAAAAACCAGAGACGGUUUACAUUGAUGUUUCUGUGAAGCCAUGACGAAAAAUUCUUGAUAAAAUAAGUUUAUAUUGUAUCUUGAGAAAUGAGAGUGCUUGACAACUUUAAAAUUACUUUCUGUUCCUCAUCUUCUUGAGAAAAUGGUUGUAGAGAACAAAUUCUGCCAACUUUUGGGGUGUAAUUUUUAAACUUUCCCUUGCCAAAUUCUGCGAUUUUAUUACAUUUUAAACUAAGGUGGAGUAGUCGUGUGAAUGAUCCCAUGAUCUUUAUAAUAAUAAAACGUGUUAAAGAGAUUAGACCAAUUGUCUUCUCUCAUAUCAGUUUUAAGUCCCUUGGUUUGAUUUUAAUCUUCUAAAAAACAACUUAAGGCACAUAUUAAGUCAUUAUUUUUUGUCAAUAGGCUAGCAAAUUCAAUGUUGUAGGAAAUCUUUUCACAUUUCAAUUUUUAAUUGCUAAAUAUUUUAUUUGUAUUGAUUGAAUUUCCUUUCUUCAAUUUUUAUUUAUUUUUUAAGAUUAAUUUCCUUUCCUUUAAAUUACCUCAUUAUAUUAGAGUACAAAGCAAAAAAAUAAAAAAUAAAAUUGGCAACUAGAAGCAAAAAAUAAUUUAAUGUUCUUAAAAAUAGAAAAUAUGGAUGGUUGCUUUUAUUUGUUUUCAAUUAUUUUCUAAAGGUCUAAACUAUAAUUAUAUAGAUAUGAAGGACUAAAAACGAAAUAAUAUAAACAUUUUAGGUUAUAAACCAUUUUUUAUUCUAUAAAACAGUCAAAAAUAAUUUUAAAAAACUGUUUUCAAAAUUGUUUUUAAACUACUUUUCAAAUAUAAACUUAGAGUGUGCUUGAUAAUAGUUUUAAAAAAUGUUUUUAACAUCUGUAAUACUUAAAAAUUUUUAUCCAUUAAAUAUUAAAAAUAUUAAAAACACUUUUUAUAAUCAUUAUCAAACGCAUUCUUAUUAAUUGUAAUUACAAAAACUUUUUUUUAAAAAAAUAAAAAUAAUUUUAAGAAUUCGUUUCAAAUAUGUUAAUCAAUCUAAGUUUCAAAUUACUCUUUCCCAAAAUCAUUUCAUUUUUCCAUAUUCAUUUCUACUCAUAUUUUCAAUGCCCUUUUUAUUUUUAAAUUAAAUUAAUAUUAGUGAUUAGAUUUUUUAAAAUAUUUUUUUAUAUUAAUUUCUAUUAGUAUUUUUUUAUAUUUAAUUUUUUUAUUAAAUUUAAUUAACAUAGUUGAUUGACAUAAGCUCAUUUUUAAAAUUAUUAAAUUACCUUCUAAUCAAAAUGAUUUAACAUCAUUAACACACCAAAUUAUAACCAUAUAUUUAAUUUCCUUUUUAUAUCAAUUCUUAUUAUUUUUCAUUCCUCAUUCCUAAUUAAAUUAAAUUAAAUUAACAUAAUAAUAUAAAUGUCAUUUUCUUAAAUGUCAAAUUCUUAUUUUUAAAAUAAGACUUCCAAAGUGGUGAUGAAAUGGGUUGAAUUGGAUUUACAUUUAAUUUGGGCUUCUCGAAAAAGGCCCAAAGGGUUUUGUGUCGAAAAUCAAAACCCUAGAUCCUACGGUCAAAAACACGUUAUAAAACAAUCGGAACAAACCCUAAGCCGCUGUCUCCACAUUCAUCCUCCUUUUUUGCAUCGUCCGCCUCUCUGCUCUCAGCCACGCCCAGGCCAAAAUGGUGAGUGUCUCAGCAACUCUCAAAUUUUCGUUCUGAUAAAUAUUUGAUUUUGUUUUGUUUUGUUUUGUUUUGUUUUCUUCAGUCUGAAAUUGAAUCAUUUCUAUUUUGUGUAGCCUUUCAAGCGGUACGUGGAGAUCGGGCGAGUCGCUCUCGUCAACUACGGCAAAGAAUACGGCAGGCUCGUCGUCAUAGUCGAUGUCAUUGAUCAGAAUCGGGUAUGUGUGAAUGUGUGUGUGCUUGAUUUCAUCCUCUCGGUUGUUUUCUAAGAGUUAUCUCAGCAACGAGUAGUGGUUCUGGAACGGAAAACCUUAAUUUCAGAAAUUUAGGGUGUAUUCAGAUCUGUUCUUCUUAGAAAACAAUUCUCUUCUUUUUCUGAAACAGAAACUAGUAGAAAAUGCAAAAUGGAAGUCAAUCAACGGAUAUGAAAGUACUAAUUAUUUAUAAUUUUUUUCGAAUGAUAUUGAGUGGGUUUGAUUUAUAUGAGGUGGAUUUAACAUUUUCCUCAUUGGGAAUAUAUUGAGACCCAUUGACCAACUGUGUCUAACAAACUAGUGGAUUUUUUGCUUUUGCCUUGGAAUAAAUUAGAUAAGUUUUAUGAAAGAUUUUUCAAAGUCUACAAGCAUUGAAUACAUCAAUAUUAAAGAUAUACUGUUGUUUCCUUCAUGAGAAGAGAUGAUUAUCAAUCUCAGAGUGCAAUUGUAUCCCUUUGCAGGCUCUUGUGGAUGCACCCGACAUGGUGAGAUGCCAAAUGAACUUUAAGAGGCUUUCACUCACUGAUAUCAAAAUUGACAUCAAAAGGGUGCCUAAGAAAAAAACAUUGAUUGAAGCUAUGAAUGCCGCGGGUAAUGACAUGUGGAAAAAAUGGGAACUCUUUUCCAUAUUUGAUAGUCAUCUUUUUCAUUAUCUUAAUUUUUCUUUUGAUGGCAGAUGUUAAGAACAAGUGGGAGAAUAGUUCCUGGGGCAGAAAGUUGAUUGUCCAGAAGAGGAGGGCCUCUCUUAAUGACUUUGAUAGGUUCAAGAUCAUGUUGGCAAAGAUUAAGGUUUGUUAUGAUGCAAUCCCUGUGUGUUGCUGUUUAAUUUUUCCCAUCUCUCUACUUAAUUUUUUGUGGAUUCAGACUAGAACCCCACUGGAAAUGGCCCAAUCUAAUAUAUUUGUUUAAUAUGCAUUUGCAGAGGGGUGGAGUGAUCAGGCAAGAGCUGGCAAAGCUGAAAAAACAGACUGCAUCCUAGGCACUAGUUUUCAAUGGGAUCCCAAUUUUGUUAUGAAUUUUCUGCAAUUUGGAUUGUUUUGUCUAUUAGUUUUAAAGUUUAAAAGCUACUUAAGAAACUUCUUGUAUCUUUUUACAGACCAGUAAUCAGUCUUAGUUUUUUUUGGUGAGACUAUUAUGUUAAGAUGCAUGGAUGUGAUCACUGGGUUGUUUAUCACCACUAUAAGGUUGCUGUCUUUGUCGUCUAAUUUCCUAUGGGAAUUGGAUAGGGUGUGAUUUAGAACAAAUCAACAUGCAUCUAUAAGCUCUGGGAUUUCAUUUAGAGGCUUUGUGUACGGAAUUGUUUUCUUGUCAUAUGGAUUACUAUCUUGUCCUAUUUGCCUGUGCCAGCAGGUUAUAGGAUUCUUGAGUUUGUUGCAAUCUGGAUGAUGCUAGAACUGCAUUUUGCCCUAGCAACCUGUUUUUAAGACAGGUCUGUGUUCGGCCAAACUUAAGAGUGCGCUGCCUGUGAUAGAAUUUGUUAAUUAGUUAAUAUGUUGAUACUAGUCAGAAUCAAUUCAAACCCCAGUAUUUUUAACCCCAAAUUGGCUAUUUGAUACUAUUAAUGACUUUCUCAGCCUAUUUUGUUGCUUCUAGUGAGUUGCUUGAGUGCUGCUAGGGUUUUGGGAUAGGUUAAAAAAACGUGUAAAAUUUAGUACACAUGCUACUAAAUUUCUCAAGAAGGUUAUGGGCUAUGGCUGCUGGCUUAGUAGGCUGAGGGGUGAAACUCUGCCUAGAGUCGUUUUCAAUUAUUUGAUCUCAAAUGAGAAAUGGAAUUAGGGCUCAAAAUCAGUGACCUUGCCAUCUCCAUAUCUGAAUCAAUAUGAUGUUAAUGCUGUAAAUCAUAUGUUUUGCAUCCCUAAUUCAUUUUCAAAACUUGCAACCUACUCGUUUGCAGUGUACGUGUGGCUCGGAGCCAGUUGCCCGCUGAUCGUUAACCACUGAGCAGCAUUAGGCAAAGCAGGAAGAAUGAAAGACUGAGAAAACUCUUAACAGUUGGUAGAUUGCCCCUUAUUUUAGGAUUAAAGUUGGAGUAGUGCUCGGAAGUAGAUUGAACCAUUGUAAAUAUUAGAAUUUCUUAUCCAUUUUUUCGUAUUUAUUAUUAUGCUCCUUUUUUAUAAAUAAAAAAAAAAAAUUACACUCAUGCAAAAAAAAACAAAAUAUUAAAAAAUAAAUUUUAUUAAAUAAAUUAAUUUUAAUUACCUUAUUUUUAAAUUCUAAUAAAUUGAUUGUUUAAAAUAUAAAAAUAAUAAUAUUCUAUUUUAAGUCUUUUUAUAUCUUUUGAAUAAAAACAUAAAUUUGUAAAUGCAAUUAUAAGUAUUUUUAAAUAAAAUUAAUCCUACAUAUAUCAUUGUUGUUCUCUAUCCUUAAAUGGAAUUGAAGUAAACAUAUUGUCGUUUUUACAUUAAUUUUUUGUCAAAUUUUAUAUGUUAUUGUCUAAUGUUAUAAAUUUUAUUAUGUAUAUUAUUUUAAAUUUUACAUGUGUAUUAUUAUUUAUUCUAUUUUUAAUUUUUUUAAAUAAUUUUACUGUGUUGAUGAAUUUUCAUACCUGAAUUUUUUUUAUAUUUUCUGAAAUUUCCAUAAAAUCUAGUCACAUUCAUCAUUUCAAAUGUUCUCAUCCUUGGGAACGAAGUUAGGGUAGUGGGGUACCCAACUUUUUUUUAUAAUUUAAAUUGAAAAUAUAUAUAUAUAUAUAUAUAUAUAUAUAUAUAUAUAUGAGGAAAAAUAAGACUAGUGAAUUUAACAUGUACGAAUUUUAUUUUUAAAUUAUUUAUAAAAUUUCAAUUUUUAGGUAAUGUUUGAUUUCUAAUUAAAUAUAAAAAGUUAAAAUAUUUGGUUAUUAUUUUUAAAAGUUGUUAGAAAAAUGGUUUUGAAAAACAAUUUUUUAUAUUUUCAUAUUAAAAAAAAUUAUAUUAGGAACUAAAUUAUGGAAAAUAUUUUUUGUUUAAAAAAAAAAAAAACAGUUUUGAUGGAAUUAAUAAUAUACUAAAGUUCCAAUCAGAAAAUGCAAGAUUCAUACGAAAGCGAGAAAAAUAAAUUGCUUUAGAGCAAAUACUUUUUUCUUUUACUAUCAGUCUUUCCCGAGAACCAAUCAGAAAAUAGAGAAGAGUUAACAACACCAUCCUCUUGAGCUCCAGCUUCAACAUUUUUCUUCUUCUUCUUUCUUCUCAUUUUCUUCUUUUUCCUCAAUUUCUCAGCGUCCAGCAUCGCAGCGAGGUUCUGGAAAACGCUCAAAUCUUCUCCUCUCUUGUUCGCUUCCUCUCCAAACGCAUCCUCGGUUUAUUGGCCUAGCCAUCUUCCUUCUCUUUACUACUUGAUGAGACCACAGAUUUUCUAUCAUUUUCUUUUCCAGAAAAUUUGGGUGGGAAACACAAGAAGUAAAAGGAAAUACGGAGAACACUACCUUCUUUAAAAAAUAAUAAAAACAUCUUUUUAUUAUUCUAAAAAAAAUGAUUUUUUGAUAACAUGAAAAACAAAAAACAUCACCUUUCCCAAACAUAUUUUUAGUGUUUUUAUUUUCAAGAAAAGAAAACAUUUCUUAAAAAAAAGCAACUAAACAAACCCUUACUUUUUUCUAAUCAACUAAAAAUAAUUUAUUAAUAUUAACCAAUAUAACUAAACUGAAGCUAUUAGUAAUAGAUUUACUUUAAUUAUGUUAACGUAUAUCAAUAAGUUAUUUUAAAAGGAAGAAUGUGAAUUGGGCUAUUAAAACUUUUUCAAAAACUAUUUAAAUUAACCAAUAAGUAAUGUAAUAAAUGCAAAUAGAGAAAAAAGAGAGAUGCAAACUUGUUUUAUAGGGGUUUCAUAAAUUUUGUUUACAUCCACUCUCCUCAAUCUUCUUUUUGAAUAAAAGUUUCACUAAAACUUCGAACUAAGCUUUCAAUUUGUACCAUUAGAUUUAAUGGUCCCAAUGGGUUUUACAAAUCUUCUUAAACUUAACACUUAUUUGAAGCUCUAAUCAAUUAACCUUUUAUAAAAACGGUAUAGUUAAUUACACUCAACCUAGCUCCAUAAUGGUUCAAUAUAAUGAAAAUUGGGAUGAAAACAAAUGGGUGCAUCAAAUGAUUUGCAAAUGAAGAAUUCAAUGGACUUGGGUUUGAGAGUUUUGAAAGAGAGAAAAGAGUAGACUAAUAAUUCAAUAUAGUUAUUUUGCACACAAACUCUCAAUUUAUAGUAAACCAACCCAACCUAGGACCCCAUUUUUUUUUUUUUUUUGAAGAAAUAAGUUUUACCUAACCAAACUUCGAUUUGUCCAAUUUAGUAGUUGUUGGGCAUUUAAUGUACUAUAGGUGAUUGUUGAUCUUCUAUGAACUUUGACCAUCCCUCAAUUGAUACUCGAUUGGGGAAAGCAGUACCUCUAUCAUGAACACAAAGGUUUUAGAAAAGAGAGAAUACAUUUUGGUACCUUGAUUGGUCCUUAACCAAGAAAGUACUUUUUCGGUCCAAAGCUUUCCAACAUUAGACAAUUUAUUUAUAAACCUUUGUAUGUUAAUUUGAAAUAAUUUUGCCUAAAGUUUUUAAAGAUUAACUUAGGUGGUGUUUGUUUUUUUUACUGAAAGCAAUUUAGUUUUAGAAUUUAGAUUGUUUAUUUUUCUACUUUUUCAUGACUUAUUAUAAACUUUUUACUAAAUAGAAAAAAUCAAAAUAUGUAACUUUUUCUAAAUAGAAAAAAUAACAUAUUGGUUUUUUUUUUUUUUUUACUUUUUAAUACUUAAUAGAAAUAAAAUACUAUAAAAACAAACAACCCAAUAUUUAACACUAUUAAGCAUUAAGGUUCUAUUUAGAAUUAAGUAAAAAAACAAACAUCACCUUAGUUUCAAAUAAUUUAUAAACGAUUAAGCUCAUUUUUAUGAAAAUCGUGUAUGAAUGAAUACAUGAAAAAUACUUUAAUCCUAAAUACACCCAACAGAUUCACCUUACAAACUUAUCUUAAGAUUUGAUGAGUCUCGAGACACCCAAGUCUUCAAAUUUAUUGAACACCUUUUAAAUAAACUUUAAGCUUCUUUUUCAUUUUAACGGUCAAACUUAAAACUUUACUUGAUUUAAACUCGUUAAUUCACUUAACCUUUUUUGUUUUUAUCAAAACUGACUUAGAAUCCUUGAACUAAUAUAUUUUGUUGUUGAUUGUUGCAUAAUAUUUUUUGGAAGUGAAAUCAAAUAAAAAUUAUUUAUUUAAAUUUUACUAAAAUGGAAAAAUAAAAUUAUUAAAUAUUAAAUUUAAAAAUAAUAUAAUGGUUUAUUUAAUUAAAUUCUAUUUUUAUAUACAUGGAAGUAAAGAAAACAAGCAAAAUCCCUUUCACCAUUAUACAUGUUUUGAACAAUUUAAUAAUUCAUUUUACCAAACACACAAAUGUUAUUUUCAAGACUGAUGAUUUUUUAAAAUCGUACCAAAUUAUAACUAAAUUUUCUUUUAACGUAAUGAAAAGUAAUUUUUCUAAAAAUUAUAAUAAAAUCAAAGUGAUCUUUAAUAUAUGAUAUUUUGUUCAUAUUUAUAUUCUUUUUGUUUUCAGUAAUCUUCUUUACUUCACUUUUUUUAAUUUUAAAAUAUUUUUAUUUAAAAAAAAAAGUACUAAAUUGGUGAUUUCACUUUCAAAUUUCAUUGAAAAGGAUAAUAAUAAUAAUUAAAAAAAAAAAAAAGGUCAUGGGCCUAGACAUCUUCGCCUGACUUCAGUCCGGUAACUUGGGCCGACUUGAAGAAUACCCUCUUCUGAGUACUAGGGUUUGGGCCCAAAACUGAUAACAAAAGCCCCGGCGUAGCUCAUCAUCAUAUAGGAAGUAGGAUUAGGGUUUCUGCAUCUGAACAACUCUGCUCCUUCGCCUCUUCUCACCGCUGCAUUCUCUUCAGCGCUCUCAAUCAUGGCGGAACAGGUCAAGCUCAGAUCUUCUAUCACUCUCCCUUUAUACAUAUAUCUUGAAACAGCUCAAAAGCCUAGUUUUUGUGACUCUUUCUAUUGCAGACCGAGAAGGCAUUUCUGAAGCAACCCAAAGUGUUUUUAUGGUAACAGAAAAUUACGAAUACAUUCUCAUUGGUUUUUGUUUUUUCCCUUGGGGAUGACAUUGUUUUUCCCCUUUUUAAUUCGUUUUUACCGUUUUUCUCUGUGCUGAAAACAAUCCAGCUCGAAGAAAUCUGCGAAGGGGAAGAGGCCUGGGAAGGGUGGAAACCGGUUCUGGAAGAGCAUUGGCUUAGGGUUUAAGACACCCCGAGACGCUAUUGAAGGUUUGAAUUCAUUUUACUUGAGUUUGUGAAUUCUAAAUUUGAUAUUCUUGCAUUUUGGUAUAUCAAUCUAGUGCUUAGCUGAUAUCUUACUCGUUUUUUAAACCGAUAGUAUACAUAAUCAUCAUAUAUUAUGAAAUAAUGGUGAAAAUUAGUGAAUUUUUUUAGUUUAUUUAUUUUUCAAGUAGUUGGCUGUGCUCUUCAUUGUGUCUUCCUGUCAUUACAGUCCUUUGAAUAUUUUAUGAAUAUUGUAUGAACUUCAGGUUCCAGAACUACAGUCCUCCUAUGAAUAUUAUAUGGGGCUUUGGGCUCAUCGUCAGAUUUAUUGAUUUUUCUCAACAUUAUGGUGCUCUACUGCUAUCUAAUAUUCUAUAAUAAUAAUAGUAAUAAAAAAAGACCAUUCCCUGGUGGUCAUCCAUCAGGGUUCUGGGAGCAGUGUGAUGGAUAUGGUCUCAGGCACUUUUUGCACAAAGUGGCCACUCACUAGAAUGGAACCUGUGAAUUUGCACCGGCCAACUUGAGAUUUUGGUAGUUUAUCAAACACGUUGAUACACAUUUGAAUUGAACUGUUAUUUCAUAUUUUUAUUGUGUUUACCAACAUGUGGACUUGCCUAAGGUACCAUCAAUCAUAUUUUUUGUUUCCCCAUUCUAUGUUUGUGUACUUGCUAUACCGUUAAAUGAUAUUGAUAUUGAGAGUGGUGUUCUGGAAGUUUAUGCAGCAUACAACUUUAGAUGCAACUUAGGGUAUACAAAUUGGGCUAACUUGUGUGUAUGUUUUUGUGUCAUACGGUUCAUAAACUAGGCAUUUGUGAGGCGUAUGCUUCAUUGCCCGAAUCUGUGCUUCUAACAUUUACUGAGAAAAAAGUAAUGAAUCCAUGGUCUUCUACAAUGAUACAGCAUGAUCGAUAUAUUUGGGAUAAAAUCUAGAUGAAAUUGAAUCCAGAUUAAAUAACCUUCUGUAUCCUGGAGUUAUUCAGUUAGUCAUUCUUGGUUUGUUAACUCAAAUCCAACCUCAGCUCCACAACAUACAAGGCAUGGAAGAAUUCCCCAAUGGGCAACUUGACUGGGGCUACCUAAUUCACUAUCCUUGGUGGAGGGUUAAUGUAUUCAUAAUUUUUCCUGGUCCUAUGAAGCACGCUAGUGGGUUCCCUCACCACGGGGAGAACGGACUUUUGACAAGAGUACGGUAAUUUAAAAAAAUUAUUCUUAAAUUACCGUAGUAGGAAAAGUAAUUCCAAAUCUACGAUAGUUUUUGCCAGGUAGGAGAGCGGAGUUUGUCAAACUUGGAAAUCGUCUUUUGAAAAGACAAUUUCCAUCAUAACAAGUAAAAAAAAAUUUAAUCCCUCAAAAAUCGUCUUUUCAAAAGACGAUUUAAAAAAAAAAAUUUAAUUUUUUUUGGAAAUCGUCUCUUAAAAAAAAAUAAAAAUUAUUUAAGUGGAAAUCGUCUCUUGAAGAGACGAUUUCCACCCAAAUUUCAAUUUAAUAUAUUUUAAUAUCUUUAUAUUAUAAAAACAAAUAAUACAAUUUAAUAUAAAAAAAUAUUAUAAAUCCAUUUUAAAAUUACAAAAUUAAUUAUAAUCAUACAAUUAUUAUAAAAUUAAUUAAUUUAAUUUACUAAUUUUAAUAUAAUAUAAAUAAUAUUUAUCUAUUGUUUUUUUUUAUUUCACUUUGCAAUUAAAAAAAACUAUUAUCAAUUUAUAUAAAAAAAUGAGUUUAAAAAAGCAAAUUUGUUAUUAAUUUAUUAAAUAAUUAUUUACAAAAUAAAUAAUUUUGUUUUGUUUUAAUUUUUAAAUGAAUUAUAUUAUAUAAAUUUUAAGAUUAAAAAUAUUAAUAUUUUAAAUUAAUAUUUCAUAUGUUUUGAUAGCUCUUAUAACCUAUUAUACUUCAUCACACCAAUUUGAAGAAGACCAUUGGCUACCCUCUCAUAGCUAGCCCAUAGGUAUAGGAGAAUCUUACCUAUUGCAUGUGUUGUCAUUUUCACCCAUUUAAUACUUCAAUUUACUCCACCAAUUUGACCGUUAUACUCCACCAAUUCCAUUUGAAACUCAAACUUUAACCACUUAUCCUACACACUACACUCAUCCUACCUUUUUCCAACUUCUCAUACACUAUAAGUGGUUAACAUUUGAGUNNNNNNNNNNNNNNNNNNNNNNNNNNNNNNNNNNNNNNNNNNNNNNNNNNNNNNNNNNNNNNNNNNNNNNNNNNNNNNNNNNNNNNNNNNNNNNNNNNNNGGCGGAGUAUUAAAUGGGUGGAAAUGACAACACAUGCAAUAGGUAAGAUUCUCCUAUACCUAUGGGCUAGCUAUGAAAGGGUAGCCAACGGUCUUCUUCAAAUUGGUGUGAUAAAGUAUAAUAGGUUAUAAGAGCUAUGAAAACACAUGAAAUAUUAAUUUAAAAUAUUAAUAUUUUUAAUCUUAAAAUUUAUAUAAUAUAAUUCAUUUAAAAAUUAAAACAAAACAAAAUUAUUUAUCUUAAAACAAUAGAUAAAUAUUAUUUAUCUUAUAUUAAAUUAGUAAAUUAAAUUAAUUAAUUUUAUAAUAUAUAUUUAUAAUAAUGGUAUGAGUAUAAUUAAUUUUGUAAUUUUAAAAUGGAUUUAUAAUAUUUUUUUAUAUUAAAUUGUAUUAUUUGUUUUUUAUAAUAUAGAGAUAAUUAAAGAUAUUAAAAUAUAUUAAAUUGAAAUUUGGGAAGAGACGAUUUCCAUUUGGGAAUUUUUUUUUUAAGAGACGAUUUCCAAAAAAAAUUAAUUAAUUUUUUUUUAAAUCGUAUUUUGAAAAGACAAUUUUGUGAAUUUUUUUGUUGGGUGGAAAUUGUCUUUUCAAAAUACGAUUUUUGAGGGAUUAAAUUUUUUUUUUACUUGUUUUGAUGGAAAUCGUCUUUUCAAAAGACGAUUUCCAAGUUUGACAAACUCUGCUCUCCUACCUGGCAAAAAUUGUCGUAAAUUUGGAAUUACUUUUCCUAUUACGGUAAUUUAAGAAUAAUUUUUUUAAAUUACCGUACUCUUGUCAAAAGUCCCGGGGAGAACACUAACAACAAUAUCUUAUCAUUUGUUUUUCCUUCUUUUUUGUUUUUGUUUUUAUUUUAUUUUAUUUUAUUUUUUUUUAAUUUUGUAAAAUCAGAUAAUUGGAAGUAGUUUCUUUUUCUUUUUACAUUUUUUGGAGAGGAGAGAGGGGAAGGGAUCAGAAAUUCUGCCCUUUCUUUUGUGUAUUUUGGGAUUUUGGCACUUAGCAGUAGGCUUAAAAUGUUUUUCUCUCAUUGUGUGAAAAUCCCCAGAUGUAGAUAUAUUGAUGGAUGUAUUAAUGUCAAUGGAUAAAAAUAUAGAAUAAAGAAGUGCAGAAAGUGAUGUAAAAGAAAAAAUGAUGGAAACUGUACGGAAUGUUAAAAAAAGAGAGCUUCUAUGGACAUAGAAAGACCUAUUAUAUUUCAAAAGGAAACUUAUUCAUGGUUGAAGAGUGUUGUAUAUGGUUACUGAAAAUAAUUCCCAGUGAGUUUGUAUUGAGAUUCACAUUGGUUUGAAUGUAGUAAGAUCCUUUCUAUUAAGAUCUUUCUAUAAAUGAAAUUAUGAAUUAGGUUUUUUUUUUUGAUAAGCAAAUGAUAUAUAAAACACGACAAAAAGCCUCAAGGCAUAUAGGAAGUAUACAAAGCAACCAAUCCUCAAACAAAAAACAACACGAACCAAACCCUAUUUGGAGGCUAACCAUUCCAAGAAACCUAUUAGGGAUUUCGACUCCAUAUCAAUGUACACUUUAGCCCAACCCCAAAUAAUGUAUACAAGCGACGUUUUUAAUUUCUGAGAAGCCAACACCCCCCCUUUAAAAGUUAGUCUGUUCCUCUCCUUCCAUAUAGUCCAGAGAAUGAAUAACGGGAUGGACUUCCACACUUUUUUUCUUUUUCUCCCCACAAAAGAGCCUCUCCAGCUACUAAGGACCUCCUUUACAGAAUUUGGAAAGACCCACUGUACACCACACAAUGCAAGAAUGAUGUUCCACAACCCUUUUGCCACUAUACAAUGUAUUAAUAUAUGAUUGAUCGUUUCCUCUUCGCACCCACACAAAAAACACCGAUUAGGUAAAUGCCACCCUCUUCUCUGCAGCCUAUCCAAAGUGAGGACCUUCCCCCAAGUAGCUUCCCAAGCAAAAAAGGCAAUUUUGGUUGGGACUUUGUCCACCCAAACAUUGCUAUGAGGGAAAUCCAGCCCUUGAGAAUUUACCAACACAUUAUACGCUUUCUUGACUUUAAACAACCCGUCCUCACCCUUCUUCCAAAAAACCGAAUCGUCUUCCACAUUUACACUAUAAUCCCUCAACUCAACUAAGAGAUUGCCCACCAAACCCAACUCCCAAUCAUUCAAAUCCCUUAACAGCCUUAAAUUCCACCCUCCUUGACCCACAUUCUGAUCCCAACAUUCCUCCACCGUGACAUUCCUAUGGGCAGCCAUGGAGAAGAGGUUCGGAAAGCCUUGGGACAGCACAUUGUUACCGCACCAAAGGUCAGUCCAAAACCUUAUUCUAUUGCCUUUUCCCACCUUGAACCCCAUAUUUUCCCAGCACCAAGUGGACUCCUUCAGAAUCUCCUUCCAAACUCCAACACCGAACGCCCCAUUUGCCUUCCUUGUCCUCCACCCAAGCUCCUCUUUCCCAUACUUAGCCUCAAGCACUUUUUUCCAAAGCUCCUCCUUAGCACACGCAAAUCUCCAAAUCCAUUUGCCUAGGAGAGCUUUGUUCAAUAGAGUAAUUUUCCUUAGCCCCAACCCUCCCUUAUCUUUAUCCGCGCACACCACCUCCCAUCUAACAAGAUGAACCUUACUCCCCCCAUUGGCUCCGCCUCACAAAAAAUCUUUUUGAAGCUUUUCAAUCCUUCUUGCCACUGAUUUAGGCAUACGGAAAACCGACAUUUGAUACACGGGGACGCUGGACAGUGUACUCUUUAUAAGAGUAAUUCUCCCACCUUUGGAUAGAUAUUGACGUUUCCAAAGGGCGAGCCUUCUCCUCAUUCUCUCCUCCACCCCAUCCCAAGCAGAGGAAGCCCUAUUUGGUGCCCCAAGGGGCAGCCCCAAGUAAACAGUAGGCAGCUGCCCCACCCUGCACCCAAUUUCAGCCGCCAUUUCCAUCACCCCUUCCACCCCCCCUACCGGAAUUACCUUACUUUUGUCCAAGUUAAUCUUUAACCCUGAGGCUGGUUCAAACCAAAAUAGGAUCCAGCCCAAAUACAAAAGAGCCUCUUUCUUAGCUUCGCAAAAAACAAUUGUGUCGUCCGCGAAUAGAAGAUGAGUAAUUUUAACAGCCUGCUCUCUACCUCUCCAUAUCCUGCAGCCCUGGAUGAAUCCCCCUUCAGCAGCCCUAGUGAUGAGCACACUUAGGACUUCCAUGCCCAUGAUAAAUAAGUAGGGGGAAAGGGGGUCCCCUUGCCUUAACCCUUUUGUGCUUGAGAAAAAACCAGCUGGGACCCCGUUCACCAGCACUGAGUAUUUGACAGUGGAGAUGCAAUUCCACAUCCAUCCUAUCCAUUUUGACCCAAAACCCAUCUUUUGCAUGACCUUUAGCAAGAAUUGCCAAUUGAUGCUAUCAUACGCCUUCUCAAUGUCCAAUUUACAAACUAUACCUUUCUCUCCCCUCUUUUGCCAAGAAUCUAUCACCUCAUUUGCGAUUAUGAAUUAGGUUUUUUGGAAUGGCUUGCCAUUCCUUAAGGGUUGGUGAGUGUGUUGUUCUUUUGUUUUUGCUUAGGCUGCUAUGUAUACUUCCUAUAUGCUUUGUGGCUUUUUGCCUCUUAAUAUAUUUGCGCUCACUUAUCUAAAAAAAAAUAAAUGAAAUUAUGAAUUAUUUUCCAAAUUGCAGCAGUUUGAUGUUGUCAUGGUUUAGAAGCAAAGAAUUGGUUAUAGACAGUGAUACUUUAGUAUCUUUGGAAUUUUUGAUAUCUCAAUCUCAGUUGAAUAAACCAUUUAUAUUGUGAGCAAAUUAUUACAUGUGGCAUUGAAUCUUGGAAUUUUUUGCCAUUCCAAAGUUAUUGCAAGACACAUGUAAAAUAAUAGAAAGAAGUCACUAAAUGUUCAGAGCACUAAUGUAUCUUCUGAGCAUCCUGUUCCAACAUUUCUUGAUUGUAAAAGUUUUGUGUAUUAAACUAAUGUUUGUCCCCAGUGUUUAGCAUCCCUUCAUUUUGUGUGUAUGAUUUCAUAUACAAUGUUUUAAAAGACUAUUAACGCUUAUGUCUUGAGGCUCACCUCUAGGUGAGGGUAUAGCCUCAGUUAGGGUAUUGAGGCUUAAGUCUCAUCUUGUCAAGGCUGAGCCUAGAGGCUGUUGAGGCAUAAGUCUGAAACAUUCAAAAGCUUUUUGAUAUAUAUUUUAUAAAAGGCUCAAAGCCUUAAUAUUCAAUGAGUUUUGGUGGGGGUCUUUUGAUACAAAUUUUAUAAGUUUUGCAUUGGUUUCAAUCUACAAUUAGACCUUGUACUGGGACCUCCUCAAUACCUACAGUUUAGAUGAGAUUAGAGUCAGUUUAGAAAAACCCGUAGCUGUUGGUUCGAUAGAAACUGGAGCUGUCAACUUAUGGCACUUCAAAGUGGAAUCUGCAUCUUUUUCUCUUUGUUUACAGAGGGAUUAGUGGAGUGUGCUUCGGUCUUGGUCUAGAGUGCUUCCUUCUGCGCCUUGGUUAGCCUCAGUUGAAUUUCAAUUAAUCUUUUAAAUAGAAGGGAAAAGGAAGAUUGAGAAAAAGAAAUUGGGGAAUUUUUGGCCACUAUAGCGGCCAAGCUUGUAUAUAAUCAUUAUCUUAUUAUUAAUAAAUAAUGAAAAAUACCACUACAAUUGAUGGAUGAAGCAGAAUGAGUGGACAUUAACACUAAUGAUGAGGAUAAUACAACAAUUUGAUAUGAUUAUAGAUCCUUGGAGGAUACCACAAUUGUAGUGAUGGUAAUGCUGAAGAUUAUUUAAUGAAAGCUAUGGGAGAGUUGGAUUUUAGAAGAGAAGAAAAAAGGAACUAAAUCAGAUAUUAUCAACAAUGGAAAACAAUUAAUUUUGUUAUUAUGAAUUUUAUGGGUUUCUUAUUACUUAAUUUUCAUGUGAUUUUAUUAGUUUUUUUUUCUCAUUAUGUUUAGAAUUAUUUAUUUAUUUAAAUCGAGCCUCAUGCCAUUCUAUCUCAAGACUUACACCUUGCCUCAUGUAGCAAAAACACCUUAAGACUACUUUUAGCUUUUUAAAACACUGCUCAUAUACAUGUGUAAUGCUUGAGCUACUAGAUUGUGCACCUCCUUGCUUUUUUGUAUUUCCAUAGUAUCUGUUGUAUGUGAUUAUAUUUAGUCAGUAUACACAUGUUGGAUCAUCAAAGUGCCAUCAUGUAUAUGAUUCUCAUAUCCAUGCAUUUCUAGUUCUAUCAUCUUGCCUCCUCGUAUUGUGUGUUGCCAUAGUAUCUGUUUAAUUCAAUAAUAAGCAUAGACUAUGCACAGAUUGGGUCAUCAAAUAUCACACCAUUAACUGAAGGAGUGUGGAUUUGAUGAGUUGACUCUUCUAUGUAUAUUCGAUUUUUAAAAAAUGCAUUAUUAGGAUCUAUUUUUGCAUGGGAAGAGUAGUUGGAAUUUGAAACAAAUGCAUUCAUAGGAAGUUAGUGGUAGCACAAGUAGAGGGCAUUGUCCUGGAAAAUCUUCUUCAAUGGUUUGUCAUGUGCAAUGAAGCCAUUUACCCAUAGGAGAGGUAAUUUUAAAUCCAAGGUGCUAUUAAGACAAUGGAAAGGUUGACAAGCAUUAGUCGUGCGAGAAAAACAAAAUGCAUUAUAUCUGGUCCUAGAUAGAGCGUACUGAUGAAAAUGGAUUUGUCUAGUUGGCUCCAGAUAGUUGGGCUUUUUUUGGUUAUGUUGAGUUGCAUUGCAUUAGUAAGAUCUGUAGAGCAUUACAGUUUAUCAGCUACCAGGUAGGUAAACAAUAAAUGAUGAGAGAAUUAAGAAACAAAUAGUUGGUAAUGAGAUUUGGAGGAACUGAGCUAUUGUAAUUUGGAAAGCAAAAUUUUUUUGUUCCUCUGAAUCAAGCUAAGUGGCAUAUGCUGACAAUGGAAAGGUUGACAAGCAUUAGUCAUGCGAGAAAAACAAAGUGCAUUAUAUCUGGUCCUAGAUAGAGCGUACUGAUGAAAAUGGAUUUGUCUAGUUGGCUCCAGAUAGUUGGGCUUUUUUUGGUUAUGUUGAGUUGCAUUGCAUUAGUAAGAUCUGUAGAGCAUUAUAGUUUAUCAGCUACCAGGUGGGUAAACAAAAAAUGAUGAGAGAAUUAAGAAACAAAUCGUUGGUAAUGAGAUUUGGAGGAACUGAGCUAUUGUAAUUUGGACAGCAAAAUUUUUUUGUUCCUCCGAAUCAAGCUAAGUGGCAUAUGCUGAGUUUAUUUGAGAAAAAUUGCUGACUUGGGGUGCUUUGCUGGAGUGCCUUGUUUUAAUAUAUUGCUUUUUACCCAUCAAAAGAAAAUUUGAGAAAAAUUGCUGACAAGUUGGGCUCAUCUUCAGCAUUUCAUGCCUAAUGAGGAGGUUGAGCUUGAGCUUCAUAUCAUACCAUAUGCCUCAGCCAAACCACUCUGCUUGGCUUCACAAAUUUACUUCAUGCCAUUAUAGUUGACACCAAUUCAGAAAAGUAUUCUAAUUGGCUAGCUAAGCUUUAACUGCCUUCAUGAGCGAUGCUGACUUGUUCCCUUCGUUGUUGUUUGGUAACAGGUACUUAUAUUGAUAAGAAAUGCCCCUUCACUGGCACUGUUUCUAUUAGGGGCCGCAUCUUAGCUGGCACUUGCCAUAGUGCCAAGAUGAUGAGGACCAUAAUUGUUCGAAGGAACUACCUUCACUAUGUGAAGAAAUACCAAAGGCAUGUUCCUCCAGUUAUAGUUGUGAAUGGGUAUUUUUACUUUCCCCAGAAUUUGCUUUUCAAGUAGUUGACCAUUUUUUCUUCUUUGCUGCAUUCAGAUAUGAGAAGAGGCACUCAAACAUUCCUGCUCACACAUCGCCAUGCUUCCGUGUGAAGGAAGGAGAUCAUGUUAUUAUUGGCCAGUGCAGGUAAAUCUUCAAUUGAAACUACCUCCAGUUUGUCCUUCCAAUAAAAAGUUGAUUUAGAGGGUGGUGAACUCUGUGUUUGUUACUGAACAUAAUGUUGUUUCUUUCUAUAUUUUCCUUAUUCAGGCCACUAUCAAAGACAGUAAGGUUCAACGUUUUGAAAGUGAUUCCUGCUGGAUCUUCUGGUGGAGGUGGGAAGAAGGCUUUUACUGCAAUGUGAAGUUUGGCUUCUAGUUGUCAGUGUCAAGGGUAAACAUCAUGGAGCUUGAGAGGGUUGGUUAUAUGAGAGUAGACCUUUGCAAUCUUGAACAGCUUCAAGAUUGAAAUAUUUUGAUGGAUUCUUUUUCUUUUUUCCUUAAAUUAAAUGUUGGAGUUUUUGAAGAUGCCCAAUGGCAUAUGGAUUACAAAUAGGAUGAAGAUCUAUGAUUUUUUGGAUUCCACAGAAUUAGUUGCCUCAUUUGUCAAGUGGCUCUUGGAUGAAUGUGAUUCCAAUUCUUGGAAAUGCAUGAAUGUUGGCACCUGGUUCUCACGGUGUCCUUCAAUGGCUGAGGACAGCUAUGAACAACAGACUACCCAGGGUUGCUAAUCUUGUCCAUUUGCAGCUGGAAACAGGGCAGGAAGUCCUUUGUUUUCCACCAGCAAUGAAUGGUUAGCCCAUUUUCAGAUGUACUUUUGAUGUGGAGGAGACAACGAGACAUUGUUUGGACUUUAUCACAGCUUGCACUGCAUGCACAUGCUCAUGUUUGUGCACAUGGAAUUCUGCUGGUAUUGUGUUCGUGUAGAAAAUAAUUUUGACCUAGUCACCAGCUGCACCAUAACCCUUCUAACCCCAUACUUCUCUGAUUCUCAAAACACUUGCUUAUCAUACCUUCAAUUUCAUCAGAAUUUGAUGGGAGUUAAAUCACUUGAAAUUAUUUCCGUUACUGAUACGCAAUUAUUUUGGCCCACUGUGAAUGGUAUGGAAUGCACUCAUCUCCAUGUGAAUACUGAUUGGGAGGUCUAGGUCUAGGUCUAGGUGUAGCUAGUUUGUGAUAAGGUUAGAACUUGGAAUUUGAAAAUAUGCCGAUGAGACAAGCAAGUCCGACAGGUUAAGAGAAGGUUCCUCCAAUUUAAUAGCCAUACGUAGGUAAAAUAUACAUACCUUUACCAAAACGCACCACUACAUUGGAUGUUUCCCACCCUUUUGAUUCUCCCCUUUUGACUCAUGGUUCAGCACUUUAUGAUGAAUACGCAAAUUCCUAUUGUUGCCACAUUUUUUUACUGUGGCAUGGUGUGGAAAAUGUGUGGCUCUCGCACCACUUUUCGUGUUGUUGACUCAAGAUUGAGAGGUUAUUAUUACUUGUUUGGCCAGCUCAUUUCCAGAAAUAAACAUUCACGAAUCGUGUUCACACCCUGUUCUGGGCCUUCUAGCGCUCCAAAAACAGGUCUUGUCUCCACAUUUGAUGACUCUCCUGCAGCAGCAGAAAUAGUUGACUCUGGCCACCAUCUUCCAUCAAAAUUCAUUUAUUAUGAGACAGAGGGUGAUUGAUGGCCAUUGAUUCUAUCUUAAUCUAAUGCAUUGUCAUUUAUCAUGGUCGCGAUCUGGCUGGAUAGUGGAUACUAAUAGCCAACCAUGAAAUCAUUUUGGUCAGACACUAUCCUUUUGUUAUUGGGUAUCUUCAGCUUUUGGUGAGGUUUGGUUGCGAAUUUGCUUAGACCAAGCCACUUUUGGCAUCUCGCCUUCAUUUUCUCACGCCCCAGAAGAAAAUGUUUUCUUAUUAAAACAGUUAUAAUCAAUAGGGUCCACACAAUUGGAAUUUCCUUUGGUAAAAGAAGGCCAUGAUUUGGUUAGAAGAAAGAAAGCAAAAAUUGUUUCCCCACCCUUCAUUUUCUUAAUGGGGCUGUUGGGGAUAUAUGUGGAGAGACAAUGUCCAAGAAUCAAUGGUUAAAACCUAAACAGAGCAAAAGCAUUGAGUGCAUUUAUGCCAAAAGGCAACUGUCUUCUUCACCAUUACCUGUAGUGACUUGUGACUUUGAUCGGAUAGUAUUAUGCCACGUCAUACUCCACCACGUUGGUCUUUCCUAUACCACGUGUCACUUUAGUCCUACCAAAUUGAGGAAAUAAAAAGAUUCCUUUUGAUUUGCCACCAAAUAAAUAACAAAAUAAUACAAAAUUGAGAAAAGUAUUCCCAUUCGUAGGGUUGGUCCCUCGUAUUCUAAUGACCCCAAGACAAAGUUGGAAUCUUAACAGCAAUUUAGGUUUUCCACUAUUCAAUUAAUUUCACGUGCCAUGGUUGCUAACUCGUAACUCGGUUACUCGACUCAACUCAAAAUCUGAACAACCAGGUUCAAUUAUUCUUAAUUUUUACAAAAUUAUUUUUAAAAUAUACUUUAAUGCUACCUCUAUUAGUAUGGACUUCUAAAGUAUACUCACUCUCAUAUACUUUAAUUUAUUUCUAAUUUGUAUGGUAUUUUAUGAGUUAACCCAUUGGAUUCACCUUGAAGAGGGGGUUGAGGUAACUCGGCCGGGUUUCUAUCAGGCAGUCCAAAUUUUGGAAGAUGGGCAGAAGACAAAGUGAAGAACAAUAAUAUAAGAAAAAGGUGGUGGUGGUGGUUUGUGAGGGCUGAGGGGGAGUUGCAGAAAGCCAUCAAAGUAAAACUUGAGCUAAGAAAGUGGGGAGGGAGAGAUAUUUUGAGAGAGAGAGAGAGAGAGAGAGAAGAUUAUGGGACGAGUAGCUUUUUUGUAGAAAGCAAAAAAGAGAAAUCUAAGGUCACCGUCUUCCACGGCAUUGCUCAUUGGCCCACUCUCCUCCACCCCACGUCUUUUCAUUCACACUAGCACCGUGAUUGCCCCCAAGACCUCAUUUUCAAAGGCCUGCUCACAUAAUUAUCCCUAAAAAUAUAGUAACAUCCACUGAUUGGACUUCCAGAUAUUCUUCUCCAACAUUUUUAAAAACACAUCGCCCUCUUUAUCUUUGUUUGUUGCAAAUUGCAAUUGCAUUAAUUUAAUCAGUUUUCAGGGUGAUGACAUCCCCCAAACAACACCUCAUUAUCACUUUGGAAAAUAAAAAAUCAAAAAAUAAAAAUGCCCAAAGAUACCAAACCCCUCAACUUGCAUAAAUAAUGGAAGGGAAGGGAAGGGAAGGGAAGAAGGGAUGGGAAUCCAAGCCUCUGAACCUUUAAAGGGUUUCUUUAUUCCACAACAAAUCUGCAAAUUUACAUGCUGUAGAUGGGUAAAAAGUAAAAACACAAGGGCAUUGGGGCACUGAUUUAAUUGGUUUUUCAGAUGUCCAUUACAUCCUAUAAUUGUAAAGCAAUCAUUGAAACUUCUUAAUCUCUGUUUGGAAUUUUCUCAUCAGCUCACCUACCUUUCUCAGAUAUUAUUAGAUAAGGCUAUAUAUGGUUGUACUUGUACCUUCUUCCCCAUGAAUUUAAAAUCAAUUCAAAGCAUUAGAUUGAAGGGGCAAAUUUUAUUUGUACUUAGCUUUCCUCUUCGUAUUUGCUUUUUCUUUCAAGACAAAUAAUCAUUGCUUCAAACUCAGACUGAAGUCUCAAUACAAUCAUAUUGAUUGGAUUUGUACCACGGUUUGAUUACAGGACUUCACUCCAAAAUUUUGGUAAAUUCAAAAGGAAAAUCAAGGGAAAUUUGAAAUUUCUCCUUGGAUUUCUUCAAAUAUCAAUUCAAUUAUACUUAGAUCUAAAAAGAUUAUCACAGAUCCCAACCCACAAAAAUAAAAUCAAAUAAAUUAAUACCAUGAAUUUUUAUUUUUUAUUUUUUUUAAAAAAACAUAGUGGGUAAUGAUGUCAUUCAAAUAUGCAGCCGGAUAUGACUAAGAUUUCAAAAUAAUAAUAUAAAUAAAUAAAUAAAAGAAAAAAAAAAAGUGUCACCAAACUUAUUUUCAGCCACGCUUUCGUAGAAAAAAAAUCUGGAAUUAACGGCUCUCUUUCUCUGUAAAACACUCUGUAGAUUUCCAUUUGUGAGGAGCUAUAAAAGAGAGCCACCAUUUGUCUGUCCAAGAAAGAUUUCCAACAUAUUCUGAGAAUCUUCCUCCCACAAUCCCAUUAUUUUUUCAGAGUCUCUCUGCUUCUUCUCAUAACUUGAGCGAUUCACCAUGUGUGUCAAGGACUCUGAACAGGUCUCUGAAGAAAUGGAGAAUUCUAGUCUAAGUGAUCAUGAUGCCACCAAGUUGGGUAAUUCAUUUCCGGUGAGAGUUUUAUUCAUUUGUUUGUUCGAAUUUUUGGAGUUUUUCGUUCUUGAAGACCCCUUUGGUGGGAGUAUGCUUGUGAGUGUUUGUUUUCUUUCCGGGAGAAAAGGUUGAUGUGGGUUUUUUUGUGUUUUUUGUUAUGUUUGGGUGCUCGGAAAAGAAUGGAAAAGAGAAAGGAAUUAAAAUUCGAAUAUUGAAGCAAGCGAGCAUAGGAUUAUUUUUAUUUCACUUUGUUGUUUUGCUUCUGUGGAAGACACAUUUGGUUGGAAUUGGUUUCUGGAUGUCUGUUUUUUCUAUGCGAAUGAUGAUCGAUAAGGUUUUUGUUUUAUGCUUUCCAAGAAAGAGUAGGAAAUGCAACUGGAAUUGGGUUUAGCUUGUUCAUAAAACCGGUUCCAAUUUUCGAUUUUCUCUUCUUUUCAUCUGUUUUUCGGCGACGAAACCGAGGUUAACUUUCCUGUGCUUAUAUAUAUAUUUUUCCCUUCCGUUUAGAAUUCCCUUCUUUUCUUUUCUUUUUCUGUGUGUGUGGCGAGACGAGAGGAGAAGGAAUCAUACAAUCCUCCUUUAUGCUCUGUUUGGCUGCUGAGAAAUGGGCAGAAAAAGAAUGGAAGUUGGAAGUUUUGAAUCUUAGAUUUUUAUUGAGGCGGAUUAUUCUAUUUCGGUCAUUGGUUUCUUCUGAAACCAAAAACAGUCCGGGAGCAUAUGAGUUUGUCCCUUUCUUUUCUUUCCAUCAGUUUCCUCAGCACCCUGAUGGAUUUUAUUUCCUUUAUCUGUGAUUAAGAUGCGUUCCUAUUUUUGUGAACUGUUCCUGGUAGAUGGAUGUUUAGCUUGAGUUGCUUACUGGCAGGUGGGAGAAACUAACCAUCUGUGAUUUAUUAUGCUGAAUUGACUAUUUGGUGUUGCUUUCAUAUUCAAUUGGACCGACAAGUCAUUGGUCGGAUUGUAUGGGUUAGGUGCUGGGAGAGGUUAGAAAUUCUAAACUCCUUAUAGGCAUUAAUGACAACGGGUUAAGGCGGCGCCCUUCCAAAACCUUUACCUUCAUUCUAAUUUUUUUUUCAUCAGUUCAGAUUAGGUUGAUGAGAUUAUGGAAUUUUCUUUUUCUUUUUUAUUUUUUUUCAGAGUAAGAACCAAAAUCAUGUAUUCUAUAUGAACAUUUUUUUCCCUCACUCUGAUUGCUUUCCCAAUUAAUUGGUGGCUAUCAAUUUGGACUUCAUUGAUCCCAUUGUGUUAAGCCUAUCUUCAUCCUUCCUGGUUUUUUUUCCUUUUCUGAAUUCUGUGGUUGCAUCUUUAUUGAAUCAGAUCCUUAUACUUUUCUGGUGGAAUUAAAUUUUCUUCUCAAAGCAUCUUAAACGGCCACUUCUAACUAACUGGUGGUUGGAGGAGGUGAUGGUGCAACUUCCUCUAAGCAGCCCUUGGCAUCCAUUGAGGCCGAGUACAAUUAUUUGAAUAUUUUAUUCGACUUUUUCCUUUUUACUCUCAGCCGACAUCUCACAGUUCAGUGAAACAUUAACUUAAUUCAACUCAAGAAAGCCUUAGCUAAAGAGGCUAAACCGAAUCUCUUUUUCACCAUUAUGCUCUGUCUGAGGUCGCGUUCAAUACAGCUAAAAAUGCUAAGUUAAGAGGGUUUUACACUGGUUGGAAGCAUAAGGUAGCAUGUUUUCCUCCGAGUCCUGGGAACAACUGUUUAAAUACAUCACACGCUAACCCUUAUAUCGACAGAGCUUGAUCAAUUCUUGUAUGCUGUUGGAAAUUUCGACUUCAAAUAGUUGCAAUUUAAGGCUCUUUGGUUACUGUUGUAGAAAUCCUGUGUCCAAAUGGCAGUACAGGAGAAAGAUGAGUUUAGGAACUGCGUUUGAUAUUUUAUACAGGCUCUCAAUUGAGGCUUUCUUUUGGUCACAUGGAACAAGCACUUGGGUUGCGUGGACCCAUAGACUUAGUCUCUGUCAUGCUGUGUAAACUAUUAUGUUUUGUUUGAGGCACUUUACUUAGAUUUCUCUUUACUGUUGGUGAUCGGUUUGUGUUACUCCUCAGUAACUUGAAUUUUUGUAGCAUAAUCGUAUUUAUUUCAUUUAUUGAGAUUGCACCUUCUUCCAGCCAAAGGUUAUACUGGUUGGUGAUUAGUAAAAUGAACGAUGACUAAUUCUCUUAAAAAAUUGUCUAUGAACUAGUCCGAUGAUUUACCACUUAAAAAUGAGUUAACUUAGUUUCAACAAUACAUCAAUAAAUAAAAGUAACUUUGUUCAUUUUCGGACUUAAUCUUAUCCUGUAACUUGUUUUUGCUUCCAGCUGCAAAGCAUUUCAGAAGAUAAAGUGGCUUCAGACAAAGAACAGAACCUGGUAUCCAUCUUUGUCCCUGCUCUUCGAUCAGGGGAGUGGUCUGAUAUUGGGGGUCGGCCCUAUAUGGAGGACACUCACAUAUGCAUCAGUGACCUGGCUAAGAAGUUCAAUCAUAAUUUGCUUGAUAAGGAAGCUAUAUCCUUCUAUGGUGUAAGUUCUUCACCCUAGUUAAGUUGAAUGUGUGUUGUUCCUGUUGUUUCAAUCUGUCACAUGCAUUUUUUGUUUUUUUAGCAUGAUCUCCUGCUAGAUUAUAAACAUGAAUCCUUCUUUCUUGAUGAACUCUUUUGUAUGAAAACAAAAAUAUGGAGAUUUUCAGUUCUGGCACUAAUUUGACGGGAUUAUUCAGCAUAGCUUGCCUACUUGGAAAUGCAUAGCAGGCUUAGGGGUCACACACUGAAGUCAUAGGGAGAAAUGCUGUGGUUUCUGUUUUCCUUUUCUAAUUUCUAAUUGUCAGUUUAAACUAUAAUGUUUGGUUGAAGGGGUCUUUAAAAUUUUAAAUAAAUUGGAACUUUCUUGUUGCUUCUAGGCAUGUUUGGAGGUUGAUAGACCUUGUCUUUUAUAGGAAAUGAAAUCUAGAGAAAUUCAAAAGUUGAUAAACCUAAAAUAUCAUGUGGAUGAGAAUUAGCUACCUUUGUUCUGUCCUUGGUAAUUUCGAGUUAUAGCUUGUUGAUCAGAUAGCUGCAUCUUGUUCUAGUUUGGGAGUGACCAAGGAUGGAAAUAACCUGAAUAUAGUUGGAUGUAGAAGCAUUUCAUUAAUCCUUUCUUUUGGUACGAGGUACAUGACAGCCAUGAAAUUGACAUUGCAAAUAAAUAUAAUUGUGGUUUUAUCAGCGCAAGCCUUAGAACUAUGUUGUUUCACAAGCUGUCGGAAAAGGAGCAAAAUAUAUGUUUGUAUGACUAAGACCCUAGCACUCUGAUUUGAAAUAGAAGGUUUAGUUUUUGAUAUCUGCCUGCCAAACAGUAAUUUAAUGGAAUCACUUUUAAGCAUGGAAAAAAAAUAGAGAAAAAGUGGAAAAGAUAAGAAUGCUAGACUAAAGGAGUAAAAUUGCAGAUGUUUGACUCAGCUCUAGGAAUCUAAAAUAGCAAUGGUUUUGAAUAACAGGUAUUUGAUGGUCAUGGAGGAAAUGCUGCAGCGCAGUUUGUCCGUGACCACUUGCCAAGGGUCAUUGUCGAGGACGCUGAUUUCCCCUUAGCACUGGAGAAGGUAGUUAUGAGGUCAUUUAUAGAGACAGAUGCUGAAUUCGCAAAGACAUGCUCUCUUGAGUCUUCCCUGUCUUCUGGCACAACUGCACUUACAGCGAUGAUAUUUGGGAGGUAAGCUUCUCCCAUCAUUCAGUGCUAUUUGGAUUUUUUCUUUCUUUAUAGUUGGGAUUCCUUAUGCAAUUAUGUGAUCAAAUAAUCUAUGGCCAUUAAAUAAAGUAGAGUUGCAGUUGUGCAACCUGUAAAAGGGUGUAAAGGUGGAUUGCUGAGUUGAGAAAAACUGAAUCAAUUGAAGAAGAGCAUGAUGACAACCAAAAACCUUCACACCUUUCGGAAUUGUUGAAUCAUUUCCAAUGGUGCAUCUGUUUGCUUCCUCUCAUGGAAAUUUUUUUUAAGAAUGAAGUGAAGGUCUUUUUUCCAAUGACUGUUCUUUGGUUGGCGUGAAUUUGUGAAGUUAACUUUUUCUGUGAUGAUAAUACCGUACAUUGUGCCAUGCAUUAUAGAUUCUAUUCUGGGCAGGUCUUUGCUUGUGGCAAAUGCUGGGGAUUGCCGGGCAGUGCUGUCACAGCUCGGAGUGGCUAUAGAAAUGUCGAAAGAUCACAGGCCAUGCUGCACAAGAGAAAGGAGCAGGAUUGAGUCCCUGGGUGGAUACAUUGAUGAUGGGUAUCUAAAUGGUCAGAUAUCCGUCACCCGUGCGCUUGGUGAUUGGCACCUUGAAGGACUGAAAGAUAUUGGUGAAAGGGGUGGACCUUUGAGUGCUGAACCAGAACUUAAACUAAUGACACUAACCAAAGAACAUGAGUUCUUAAUCAUAGGCAGUGACGGAAUCUGGGAGGUGUUUAGGAGCCAAAAUGCAGUAGAUUUUGUCCGGAGGAGACUCCAAGAGCACAACGAUGUGAAGCUAUGCUGCAAGGAAGUAGUUGAGGAAGCAAUUAAGCGUGGAGCAACAGACAAUCUCACGGUUGUGGUAGUGAGUUUUCACUCUGAGCCACCACCACUGAAGGAGGUGGUACGAAGGGCAAGAGUGACAAGAAGCAUUUCAGCAGAGGGGCUUCAAAAUCUCAGAUCUCUGUUAGAAGGAUAGAAGUUUAUUUCACUUAUUUUUAAGUGAAGGAGAGAACCAAUUGAAUAAUUAAUCACGUAGCUAAUAAGCGGAUAUUUGGUAGAGGCCUGCUUGUAUAUACAUUCAUUCGGGAAGUAGAUGAUAGAAACUGCAUCUUCUUUCUUCUUUACCACUGGAGCUCCAUUUGAUUUUCAGAAAGAUGAUGUUUGUAAUGAUUUCUCUCUUGCUGUCUUAUUGACAAUCAAAUGGAGCUUUAGAAUGGUUGAAGGGAGAUGAGUCAUUCCAAAGUGCAGGGGAGUGGGGGACUUUGAUCUGUAAACGGUUGUGAUUCUAGAACUGUAUGUAUAAUCCCUUCUUGGUCAUAUAAAAAUGUGUACAUAUUCAGUACCCUUCGACAAUAUAAACAUUUUUAUUCCUCUUUUUUCGGUUUAGGUUGAGUGGGGCGCAUUUGUAAUUCAGCAGCUCAAAAGGUGGAAUGUGAUUCACAGGUGCAAGGGUAAGUUGUUUGACCGCAUAUUAGCAGCUCAUACCCUGAACAAUCAACUGUCCCAAUGCGUGGUGUGUUCAAGGUUGCAGUUGAUUCAGCAAGUCUUCCAAAUCAAAGCAAAGAGGGCCCAGAAAGAGUAUGUAAAUCCCAACAUGCAUUUGUGUGCAUUUCUCAUAAUCAUACAAAAGAUGGAACCAUUUCAUUGCAAAUCCAAUUGCUCAAUACACAUAUCAGAUUUUCUGAAGAAGCAGUAGAAAGAGUGGAGCACAUUACUAUUGAAUUCCCUUCUUUCCCUUUCAUCGCCAUCUUAACAAUAAAAUAUUCUAAUAGUCGCAGAGGCACAAUUGAAGCAAGCAAAAUUCUCAAAAAUUCUAAUAACAGGUUUUCGUUUUUAAAUGUAAAACAUGGCACAAUGUAGCAAUGGAGGUGAAAAGCUAAUACCCUUUUUUGCCUUCCACAUUGCGAAAUGGUAGCACAAGCAGCUUCACCCAGUCCCCACUGCAUAAAUGUUGAUAAAAAGAAUCUAAGCAGAACCGGUCCCAUGUUCUCCAAUAAUGAGAACCAGCAUAAAGUUCAAAGCAUCAACAGAUGAGAUUUGGUGCCUCAUUGUCUCAUCACAUGACACCCGCAUGCAUACAUACACCAUUAGACUGCAAGGUCAGAAGCGCAGUGACUUGACUCAUUCUUCCUUCUCCAUUGUCAAAUUUCAGUGGCACCAUUCUGGUGACUAUUAAUCUCUGGCUUUAUACUUCAAGUUGGCAGUACUCUGCUACAGGACACAAUGAUAACUAGGCUGUUUUUCACAUGAGAUGCCCUUUACAAGAUCUCGGCAAACUAUAGGUAUAUCUGAGCACUUUUUGAAAGUCUUGGGACAUAUGCUCAAAACCUGCCAUUUAAGUCAUAGUUAGCUAGUUGUAAUUACUAUAUUUUGAGAAAAGUGUGAUCACCUAUGAACUUUGUUCCAAAUAUGGAAGCUAAUGGCCUGUUUAGCAACUGUUUUUUAGAACAGUUUUUUGUUCUUCGGAACAAAAAAUCAGAAAAACACGUUUGACAAUAAAAAACUGUUUGUUGUUCUAAAGAACAAAAAACAAGGUGUUUUCAAAUAACUUUAUUUAAUUGUUUUCUGUUAUUUUUAGUUGUUUUCUAAGGGUUGUUUUAAAAAAAUAAUUAUACAAAUAUGCAAAAUGAUUAAAAAUAAAACACUAGAAAUAAAACUUAUUUUAAAAAUAUUAAAAAUAGGUCAAAUACAUUUUAGUUUUUCAAACAAACUUUUAUUCUACAAAACAUCAUAAAAUAGUUUUCAAAAAUUGUUUUAAAAAAUAUUUUAGAAUAGUUUUCGAAAACAGUUAUCAAACAAACCCUAAGAAUCAGACAAAAGUCUGUAAUUGAUUAAAAAUAAAUAAAUAAAUAAAUAAAGUAAAAACAAAUAAUUAAAAAUUAAAAUUAAAAAAAUAAAAACCAAGAAGAAGAAAAAGAAAAAACAUUGAAAGGAGAGCUAUGAAAAUUCUAUAUUUAGAAAAAGAAAAAAUGUACAUAUGGAACACAUGCAAAUUCUGGGAAUAACAAAGCGGAAGCAGAAAAAAAGUGCAGAAACUUUGCUAAAUUUACCUUUCUCAUGAUUUAAAGAUGAGUGUGGCCGAUCAGUUCUGUUCCAUAACCUGUGUUCAUAUAUACCACCCUACACAAACAAAACCAAACCAUCAUUAACUGCACCAGUUUUACUACCUGGGUCAGCCAAGAAAAAAACAGAUUGGUUGGGAAUGCUCCAGCCUCUGGAGCAAGAAAAUAGGGAAACAAAAUGAAAAGCACAAACCCAGCACAAAAAACAGAAAUUGCACAACUAAACUACAAAAGGAAGGCCCUAAAGAACUGGGAAGAGCUCAAGACACAAACAGAGAGUAUUAGAGAGAUAUCCUUAUUUCUAGGGAAAGAAUGCUCCACCAGCUCAAAAGCCCUACUCUAUUUCAAUAGAGGAGCUGUCUUCCAUAAUAUCCUCUUACCUUCCUAACAACCUCCCAUGACGCCUCUUAAAAAUCUCCAUUCACCAUUGCGACCCUACGAAAAGAAAAAAAAGAGAGCAAACACCAGCUACAAUGGAGAAGAGGAUAAUUCACUGUUUCCUCUACUUCUCCACACAAACAGCAUUUAAUUAUUAACUGUGAGUAUACUGCUUGAAAAGCCUGCUCAAAAAAAAAAAAAAAAAAAGAAACCUUCGAAAGGACCAAACUACACCAAGCUUUUCUCCAGGCAUACCACACCUCCUGCACAGAAGAUAAAAAAAACUUCUUCACAUAAACCUCCCUCAUUCAGAACCCUUCCAACACAAUAUAUCCUCAUUAACUGUUGAGAAUCUCAAUCAUAUCAGAAUUUUUCUGAUCUGGUUGUUACUUAUUUUUUAGGGAUAAUCCGGGAAUAAUUUGUUGUUGUUUUUUAGGGUUAAGUUGUAUAUUUUAAAUUUAUUUUGUUCCUAGAAAUUUGGGUGUACAACUAUAGAUUUAGUUUGAUUUCUUGUAACUUUUCUAUAAAAGGAAGCAUGUUUCCCUUCCUUAUUCAAUUUAAUAUACGACAUUUUUUUUUCUUUUCUACAUGGUAUCAGAGCCAAGUUAAUUGACUAUUCCCUUUCUUUUUCCUCUCAUUCUUUCCAGUUCUGUUCUUCUUCCCUUUUUGUUUCUAUUGCUAUCUCUUUACCAUGUCAGAAAUUUCCGAAUCUACUCCUUCCAUUACUGUUGGUUUCAAUUCCUCAAAAUUACCCACAUCCAAUUCUCACUCCCACUCUGUCCAAAUCACCACAAUCUGCCUUAAUGAGAACAAUUUUCUCAAAUGGUCACAAUUUGUUCAGAUGUACAUUAGGGGCCGAGGCAAAAUUGGUUAUUUGAUUGGUGACACCAAAGAACCAGCGAAGACAGACCUUAGCUAUGCCACUUGGGAUGCGGAAAAUUCCAUGAUCAUGACAUGAUUGGUAAAUUCCAUGGAGGAGGAGAUUAGCUCAAAUUAUAUGUGUUAUCCUAUUGCCAAAGCUCUUUGGGACAACAUUAUUCAGAUGUAUUCAGACCUUGGAAAUCAGUCCCAAAUCUAUGAGUUACAACUCAAACUAGGCGAUAUUUGUCAAGGUGAGAAUUCGGUUACCAAAUAUUUUAAUGUGCUUAGGGGUUUAUGGUAGGAUCUUGACUUAUUCAAUGACUAUGAGUGGAAAAAUACGGAUGAUUUUAACUAUUUUAAGAAGAUGGUAGAAAGUUCACAGAUAUUCAAAUUUUUACUUGGGCUUAAUAUUGAGUUUGAUUAAGUUCGGGGUAGAAUCAUUGGUUGGCAACCUCUCCCUUUUCUAGGUGAAGUGUUUUCCUAAGUGCGUCAUGAGGAAAGCCAGAGGAAUGUUAUGCUUGGGAAGAAGCUCCUUAGACCUGUGGAAAACUCAACCUUGUUGAGCACUACAACAGUGACUUCUCGCAAUCCUAAUAACCGAUGUUGUCAGGAUGACAAGCUAAGAGUUUGGUGUGAUCAUUGUAAUAAACCACGCCACACUCGUGAAACCUACUAGAAAUUACAUGGAAAGCCAACUAAUUGGAAGCCCGUUGAAUGGAAGACUAAUAAGCAAGGCGACUAUAAUCGUUUCCCUGCAAAAGCACAUGCUACCGAGACACCCUCAUUGAGCAAAGAACAAUUAGACCAACUGCUACAGCUGCUAAAACCUGCUCUGCCAACUCCUGGUACUCCUAUAGCAUCUCUAGCUUAGUCAGGUAGUCUUUCGUGUGCAUAUUCUCUUUCAUUAUCUGUACCUUGGAUCAUAGAUUCAGGCGCAUUUGACCACAUGACUAAUUUAUCUCAUUUGUUUAUUUUUUAUACCUUGUUCUGGAAAUAAAAAAAAGUACGUAUUGCAAAUGGAAGCUUAUCUUCUAUUGUUGGGCAAGGCUCUAUCCGUUUGUCUGAUAAGAUUGUUUUACAAUAUGUUUUACAUGUCCCAAAAAUCUCUUGUAAUCUCUUAUCCAUAAGUCGUUUAUCUAAGGAUUCUAAUUGUCGUGUUGUUUUUUGUGCCUCUCUUUGUGAAUUUUAGGAUUUGAACUCGGGGAUGAUGAUUGGCUAUGCUAGAUUGAUUAACAAUCUCUACUAUUUUGAUGAUAACCGGUUUGAGAAUAAACAAGCUCAAGGUUUUAUUAGUUGUGUUCGUUCAAUCCCUGUGCAUGAUCAAAUAAUGCUAUGGCAUAACAGACUAGGACAUCCUAGUUUUUUCUAUUUAAAACAUUUGUUUCCAAGUUUAUUUAAAGGAAUGGAUUGUACUUCUUUUGAUUGUGAAACUUGUUUAUAAAAUAAAAGCCUUUUUAUUUGAUACAUCGUGAUGUUUGGGUCCUUCUAGGAUUACUACUUUAACUGGGAAAAAAUGGUUUGUGACAUUUAUUGAUGAUCACACACGCCUAUGCUGACUUUAUCUGAUGAACUCUAAUUCUGAGGUUGCAAAACUCUUUCAGGAUUUUUAUUCUAUGGUUGAAAACCAAUUUCAAACCAAAAUAAAUAUUCGUUGGAGCGACAAUGGAACAAAAUUUUAUAAUGAUUGUUUAGGUGAUUUUUUUGCUAAAGAAAAGUAUUUUACAUCAAUCAACUUGCAGGGACACUCCUCAACAAAAUGGAAUUGCAGAAUGUAAAAACAGACAUUUACUUGAAGUAGGUAGAGCUCUUAUGUUUUAUAUGAAUGUUCCUACACACCUUUGGGGGAAUGCAAUUUUAACAAGUUGUCAUUUGAUUAAUAGAAUGCCUACAAGGGUUCUAAACUAUGCAACACAUUUACAAACUCUUAAGAAUACUUUUCCAAACACAUGCCUCACCUCGGAUUUACCCUUAAAAAACUUUGGUUGUACAGAGUUUGUCCAUGUGCCAACUCAUUUUCGAUCCAAAUUUGAUCCAAGAACCAAAAAAUGUAUUUUUCUAGGUUAUACUCCUAAUAAAAAAGGGUAUAAGUGUUUUAAUCCUACCACUAGGAAAAUUCAUGUUAGUAUGGAUGUCAACUUUAUUGAAAAUAUUCCCUUUUAUAACAAAACUACUCUUCGGGGGGGCGCUCUAAUGAAGAUCGGUUUUGGCAACAAGAACAACCAAAACCUAGUUUUUUUUUUUCCUGAAAUAAAUCAAAAAACAGAUGUUUUAAUUAGUGAAAAAGGAGGAAAUACUGAUUUAUCUAUGCCAAACAAAAUUGCAUCACAAACAGGGGGAGAAACUCUACAACCUAUGUCCACUGAGUUCCAUGUUUAUAUUAGGCGCAAAUUUAUUUCUAAUACUGAGAAUAAUCAAGUCAAUCUCGAGCAUGGUCAAUCAUCAGCUCCUAGUUCUCAAAAUCCAGGUAAUCUUCCUAUGGACUCCACUCCUUUACCUAUUUCUGAUCUUGAUAUUCCUACUACAAUCCGAAAAAGAGUUAGGAAUUGUACCAAAUAUCCCAUUGCCAAAUAUCUAUCUUAUCAAAGACUCUCAGGAAAAUAUAGAACUUUCACUUCAAAUAUCUCUCACUUAUUCAUUCCAAGAACUAUACAAGAAGCACUAAGACACUCAGAGUGGGGAUCAGCAGUUCAAGAAGAAAUGAAUGCUCUUUUGAAAAAUAGAACAUGGGAAAUUGUUGAUUUACCUAAGGAGAAGAAGACAGUGAAAUGCAAGUGGGCUUUCACAAUCAAGUGUAAGCCCAAUGGUAGCAUUGAAAGAUAUAAAGCAAGGUUAGUAGCCAAAGGUUUCACACAAACCUAUGGAAUUGACUACCAAGAGACCUUUGCACCUGUUGCAAGGAUCAAUUCCAUUCGGAUUUUGCUUUCUCUUACAGUACAUUUUAAUUGGCCUUUACACCAAUUAGAUGUGAAAAACGCUUUCUUAAAUGGUGAUUUUGGAGGAAGAAGUGUUUAUGGAUUUACCAUCGGCUUCCGAAGAAAAGCUAGAAAAAAAAAAAGGUUUGCAGAUUAAAUAAGUCCUUGUAUGGUCUUAAGCAGUCUCCUAGGGCUUGAUUUGAGAGAUUUGGAAAAGUAAUCAAGCUUCGAGGAUAUAUUCAAAGUCAAGUUGACCAUACAAUGUUUUAUAAAUACUCAAGAAAAGGAAAGAUUGUUGUGUUGAUAGUUUAUGUGGAUGACAUUAUUCUAACUGGUGAUGAUAGUCUAGAAAUUGAGAGAUUGAAGAAAGCUUUAACUUGUGAAUUUGAGAUAAAAGAUUUGGGUCCCCUGAGAUACUUUCUUGGUAUGGAGUUUGCUAGAUCCAAGAAAGGUAUUUUCAUUUCUCAAAGAAAAUAUAUACUUGACUUAUUAAAUGAAACAGGUUUACUUGAAUGUAAGGCUAUAGAAACUCCUAUAGAACCAAAUUUGAAACUCCAACCAGCAAGUCCAGUAGAGGUGAUUGACAAAGAGAAAUAUCAAUGCCUAAUUGGGAUACUUAUUUAUCUCUCUCAUACUUGUCCCAAUAUUGCUUUUGCAGUAAGCAUGGUUAGUCAAUUCAUGCACUCACCAAAUCAAGGACACUUUGAUGCAACGUACAGAAUUUUAAGGUACUUAAAGGGGACUCCAGGAAAAGGACUUCCAUAUGAGAACCAAGGACAUCUCCAAGUGGGUGUGUUUACUGAUGCAGAUUGGGCAGGAAGUGUAAUUGAUAGGAGAUCAACUUCAGGGUAUUGUACUUUUGUUGGAGGCAAUCUUGUGACUUGGCGGAGUAAAAAGCAGAGUAUUGUGGCUAGAAGUAGUGCUGAAGCUGAGUUUAGAGUCGUAGCCCAUGACAUUUGUGAAGUUUUGUGGAUUAAACAAUCACUUGAAGAACUUAAGGUUGCUAGCCCUUUACCUAUGAAGGUCUUUUGUGAUAAUAAAGACGUCAUUGCCAUUGCACUUAAUGCAGUCCUCCAUGAUAGAACUAAACAUGUCGAGGUUGAUAAACAUUUUAUCAAGGAGAAAUUGGAAAAUAGACUGAUUGUUAUGCCCUAUAUACCUACGGUUGAACAAGUUGCAAAUAUACUCACUAAGGGAUUGCCAAAGAAGCAGUUUGAUGAUUUUGUAAGCAAGCUGGCCAUGAAUGACAUCUUCAAGCCAGCUUAAGGGGGAGUGUUGAAAAUCUCAAUCAUAUCAGAAUUUUUCUGAUCUGGUUGUUACCUAUUUUUUAGGGAUAAUUUGUUGCUGUUUUUUAGGGAUAGGCUGUAUAUUUUAAAUUUAUUUUGUUCCUAGAAAUUUGGGUGUAUAGUUAUAGAUUUAAUUUGAUUUGUUGUAACUUCACUAUAAAAGGAAGCAUGUUUACCUUCCUUACUCAAUUUAAUAUACGACAUUUUUUUUUUCUUUUCUACAUUAACCUUUUCCUAAAUCGCUUGAUACCAAAGGCAUAAGAAAUUAUCAGUAGACUCCAUCUCCAGUUUGCAUACAAGGCUCAUCUGCCGGAGCUUCCCCAACAUGCCCUGGUUUUGGCCAAGGUCGAACAAACCUAAUAUCAAGGCUUGAGCAAAAACGACUACUACAGCUUCACUUACCCAAAUCUCUACAAACAGAGUGAUAAAGGAGUCAUCCUCCUCCACACCCUGUGAGUGUUGAAGACUUUUUUCUAAGUUUCUCCACAACUUCAAUCUUCAAAUUUUAUUCUAACAACCCUAAUUAUAACUGUGGCUACAGAUGUCAGUCUUCAAAGUUUAUUGGUAAAAAAAAUAACAUGUUUCAUUUCCAUCCGUAAUCCCAAGGAUCAAACAAAGGGAACUGUCCAUGUUGCAAUCAGUUAAGGAUUCCCAAAAAAACUUAACUGAAUAAAUUGAUUACUGAGAAAUAAAUUGCACAAUAGAUUCAAGACAAUUUUUGCAAAAAGACCAGGUGUGCACUGUACAUUUCACCAAUAUUCUAUGUUCUCAGUGGAACUGCCAAUAUCAUUCUUCUGGACAAUGCAACUGCUGCAAAUAAUUGGAGAUAAAUAACCCAAAGAACCAUGUGAAUGCAAAAUGCUCCACAUUUAUUGUCACAAAGUAAGACUACAUAAAUAACAAAAAGCUAUAUUUUUUUGGGGAAAAAAGGCUGGAAUGCAAUUUAAGAAUUAUAAAUUACCUUCAACAAAUUCACUAAUUCCAUAUCUUUUCAAUAAUUAGUUAAAUAAUUGCUUCUUUUUUUUUUUUUGAUAGGCAAAAAAUAAUUUAUAAAAAAGGGGGCAGAAUCCAAAUACAUAGGAAGUAUGCAAAGGUCAACAAAGGUUGGGAAACAAGUAAAGGAAACACACUAAUGCAACCCCACCCAACCCACAAAAUCAUACACGGAUAAGCAUCCCCUCCCACACAAAAUCUGAACCAAAAAAGGAAUGUCUAAAUAAAAGAAACCUUUAACAAUUAAAUCAACUUCUCCUCUCUCUGUUUUGUUGCCUUUUUGGUACUGGUGUAUGCUCCUUGUAUACUUUGGUGCACCCUCUUUUGAUUAGUGUUGUUAAUAAUAUUCUUAUUUUCCUAUCAAAAAGAAAAAAAUAAAGAAAGAAAAAAAAACAAUUAAAUCAAUGUCUCCACACCUUAAAAGUUCUUUGGUUUCUCUCCUACCAAAUAAUCCAUAACAAAUAUAAUGGGACUAACCUCCAAGAUUUCUAUGUUUUUCCCCAAAAAAAAUCUUUGUGCCAUCCUAACAAGACAUCUGACCAAUAUUCUCUGUUUUAAUUGAAAUUGUUUUGAUUUUAUAAAAAUCAAGAAAAACCACAAAGAGGAUAACUAUGGUGUGUAGUAUCUGGAUGUCAUACUCUGGGACCAACAUAGUUGACUACUAAUGUAUUGUCUAUAAUAUUCAAAAGGCUAGCUUUAAAUCUAACAGAAUAAUUUCAUAUCAAAAAAUCAAAUUAUGAUGAAAAUUUGUUUUAAGUCAAAUCUAUAACUAAAGCUCUGAAGUUUUCACAAUCCAGCUUUGGACCCAGGACGCGGGAGAGAGCAAUAUCUAAAUCCAAGGUUUAGGAUCCAAGGUAUAUUCAAGAUUGAAUUAAGUCUAGAGAACAAUUCGCAUCCAAAAUGAGGAAACGGCAAACCACAUCCUAAUUCAUUGUGGUAAGACAAGGGAUCUUUGGAACUUAUUGUUUUCUUCGUUUGGGGUGGUGUGGGUGCUCCCGGAUUCAGUGAGAAAUUUGCUUCUUGAGUGGAAAAUGAAAGGCAUGGGGAAGAAAAGGAGUGUAGUUUGGAAAAUGGCGCCUAUUUGUUUGUUUUGGUGUAUUUGGGGAGAGCGAAAUUGAAGAACCUUCCUAGAGGAAGAGAUGACAAAUACGAGCUUGAGGAAACUUUUUCUUCGGUCCCUGCUUGAAUGGUCUCAACAAUUUGUGGACUUGGAUUUGGACUAUCUAUCUUUUCGGAAUUUGAUGGGUGAUAGGGUUGUUGCUUAGCUAAUCCUUUUUAGACUUUAUUUUUCUCUUGUUGCCUUGUUUUGGGCCUUCUUUGUAUACAGCUUGUGUACUUAGGGAGCACCCCCUGUUUUCUGGCGUUUUUUAAUCUAAUGGUUCUCUUUGUCUAUCAAAAAAAAAAUUCGCAUCCAAAACCUAAAUUGAUUCUUUUAUAUUCUAAUCACUAAAUCAAAUUGACAAAUCGAUUAGGUCUUAUGUUCAUUCAUUCAAGUCAUUAGUCCAUCUUGUAGAUUUAGCUUUGGACUUAAAUCCCAAUAGAUAAAACUAAGUUAACUAGUAAUCAAGUGGUGUCUAAGUACCACUAGUACCUCAAAAAACAUCUAAUAUAUCUUAUCUAAUUAAAACCACACAGAGAGUUUCCAUUCCUUCAUAUUUAAACAUUAAAACCCUAAUCUACCAAUCUAACCUUACCAUACUGAAUUGCUCCUCCUUGUCAUCCUCCACCUUCAUGAUAUAUCUCCAAAAUUAAGGGGUUUAGCCUCUCGUGGAUGAGCUUUAACACAAAGAUUCCAAAAGAGAAAAUAAGAAAUCUAAUAUUGAAAUUUAAAGAGCAAAGAGUCUCCAACAUACAAAGCAAAAUCAAACAAAGAAUGAAAAAACUUCUUUCUAACCUAACAGUGAAGAGUAUUAAUAUCCUAAUAGCAUAUUCCCAUGGCCACUUAAACCAAAAUAAUGUUAAAAAACCCUAAAUUACAAAAAUAAUCUUCGAAAGCAGAAUUUUCUAUUUGAACUUACAAGGAAUCUAAUGAAAUUGAUUUCAAGAUAUUAAAAUAAAAAAUUUCGAUGCAGAAUCAAUUUCUCCAUCAUGCUGAAACCAUCAAAUCAGUUUGAACCACUCCCAAAUCAGUAUUUCAAUGUGAUACACUGACUUCCCUUUAACAUACUUUCCCCAAAUUGAUUUCAAAUCGGUUAAACCGAUUUCAUGCAUUGGUAUGAGAUGAAUCGGUCUUCCUAAAAUCAAUUUCCUCUCCUGAAAUUGGUUUCUCUGAUCUCCAAACUGAUUUCCCAUACAUUUUGUGACUUCCUGCAUUUUCUCCACUUUGGCACACUGCAGCAACCACCAGGCCUCCUCACAAGCAAACUCGUACCACCAUUCCACCGCACAUGCUUAGACCUGCAUCAAAUAUCUCUUAUUUUCUCCAUUUUCUGCCCUUUUACUAAAAAAUAAUGCAUUACUCCUCGAGGUGGGCACUAGCACCAAUCUAAGCUAAAGGUAGUGGUUUGACCCGGUCCCAUGCCUAAAAGACAGUAAUAUUUUUAUAAGCAUACACAAUUAUUAAUAUCUGUAUGGUGGUGGAGUCUCCUUUUACUUUGAUCAGGUUUUGUAUUCUAUGAGAAGUAUCUCUCAUCCUUCUCUCUUUCUUUUAUCAAUAAAAUUGAUCUUUGUUUCUAAUAAAAUAUAUAUAUAUAUAUAUCUUUAUAAGCAUAGAUCUUGGCACAAAUCAACAUAUUUCACAUUAAAAGCAACAUAAAUCAACAUAUUUCACACUAAAGCAACACCCAUGACACAUUAAAGAGUGAGAACAAUAGGUACCAGAGACUAUGAGUUGCAUGCACCACAAUGAAGAAGGAUAUGAUUGGUUCAUUCCUCCUAACUCUUGCACAAGCAACACCAGUUAGCUAUAGCCCACCUCUCCUCCUUAGCUGGUCUAAUGCCAUAAUUUUUCCCCAAACCACCUCCCAAGUAAAGAAACCCACCUUAUGAGGAUCCUGAGAAACUCAAACUUCUUUGAUUAGAAAAGGAUCUUUAGUAACUAACUCCAAAGAACUGUAGCAGGGUUUUCCAAAGAACUUCCAAUCCUUAUUCAAUUUCCAAACCAACUUGUCCUGGCACUCUUUUUGAACAAACAUGUCUUAAAUUUACUUAAGGAAAGUUUCAACCAUUUCUAUCACCCAAUCUUGAACAUUUCUGAGAAAACAAGGGCUCUAAUGUCCAACACCUCCCACCUCCUCCCAAAGUCCUGUUAGCCAAGCAUCCAUAGAACUGGCAAUGAACUACAAAGCAGGAUACAAGGCUCUCAAAGAAAAAAAAGAGGGGGGGAAAAUCACCACAACACAGGUCAUGUCAAAACCUAACUCUCCAAUGGUCCUACCAUUGCAUACUUCAAAACUAUUCCUAGCCUGAAACUUUGCCUGCCUCUCCUUCCAUAGCCCCACCCCAUACCCUUUCCUCUCUUCACAAGAACACCACCCACCCAUCCUUUCAUCAAACUUAUGUGAGAUCACUCAUCUCCACAAGCUAUCCCACUCCAGAGAAAACAUCCAACAGCAUUUUCCAAGGACCUUGUCAAGUAGCGACAAAUCAGUCAACCAAUUAACUAAAUGAAGUUUUUCAUCCAAAGAGCAAACCCUCUAAAGGAAGUCCUCUGAGCCUUUUCCAAUCUUAAACUCAUCUUUGUUGGGAUAACAAAGGUAGGCAUGAAGUAGACAACCUUUAAACGGGUUAACCCUUGGAGAGAAACUGACAUUCUCAGAAAGCCAACUUCUUAGCAUAUGAAGUUGCUUCUCAGUAUGUGACAAGAUAACUUCUUGAUGAAAAGCAGUGCAUAGUUAAGUAACAAAAAUGCAAAGCAAUACAUCCUGAGAUGUAAAAGUAAAAUGGCUAAAUAAUUUCAUUUGGAAAUGAAUAGUAUCUGUAUACAUAGUGACAAACUGAACAUUAUCCAAGAGUAAAGAAUGAGAUACAAAAAACACAUACAUGAUGGAUUGUUUUGUGAAGGUUCUCCAUCAGUGUGCUGUAUGCUGUGAGAAAAAGCCAGUUUCCAAGGAGGUACAGAACAUAUAAAAUGAUGGUUUGAGAAACGUUUCCACCAGUACUCUGUGUGAUGUUCAAAACUUGGCUCCCUAACAAGAUGGAAAAAGGAGUUGCAAAGAAUGUGUAGAGAAAGUCCUGCAUCAUUGUGCUGUAAUACUGUACCAUCGUCAUUUCCCGUCAUUCAGCUUGCUUUUGAUCUCAGUUUUGACAAUACGAAUCAAGAACAAACCCGCUAGACAUAUUGCAAGGAUAAGCAUAAAAAAUACACUGUUCCAUCCUCUAGUGGAAAUAUAUCCAGCAAGAAGUGGACCAAGAGCUGCGCCAACAGAACCGGUACCAUCUAUAAUUGCAGUGACAGUAGCUAAUGCACGGGAAUUUCCCUUGAUCAAGCUCUGUGUACCAAGAUCAGCAGCGACAGCUGUUGUGAUAAGCGAGUAUGGACCAUUCACAAGCAACCCCGAAAGAAACAUCAACCCAAUGUUGGUGUACAUAGAUAUACUUCCAUAAACCCGGUAUAAAACAAGGGCUGGAAUAGAUAGUAACAAGAAUAUAAUUGAAGUAACAGCUCGAGCUUCAAUCUUAUCCGAAAUGUACCCUGCCAAAAUUCCUCCUAGAACUCCACCAACAUCAAAUAUAGUAGAAAGAAUCCCAGCAGUUUUGUGCGACAGGUGCACACCAGCAACAGCUUCAAUCCAAAACAAUUUUUAAUGGAUCUCGUUAGUUAGUGAUCAAAAGAGUCUCUUUAAGAAGUUAAACCAGGGGCGUGCUUAACACCCCAUGGAAAUUGAUGGCUCUAUUGUGUUUGUACAUAAAUUUACAGAGGGCCAUAAAAUAAGGCAAUUCAAUCUCCAUAAGACAUUCAAAAGCACUUCUAUACAUAGUUAAUAUUGAAAGAGAAAAAGAUUAAUAUACCCGUGUGCCUUAUGUAGAAGGGCAACCAGUAAAGGAAAGUGUAAGCCACAAGCUUGGAGAAGAAGAGGCAAAACGCAAAAGGCGCCACACCUGGUAACCUCCACGCCUCCAAGAACCCAAUUGCACCCGAAGAAUCUGUAACAUCGGAUGGAAGAAGCCCCGCAUCUUCCGAUUCAACUUUCUCUGAAUUUUCCAUAGAUUUAUUGGAUUCUACUUCCACAUUCAUCUCUAUCUCCUUUGCUAAAAGUUCGAAUCCAAGAUCUUCCGGAUUGACAACAAGAAACAUGAAAACAAAAAUUCCAAUGAUAAUGAUCAAAAUACCAGGCAACACAAACGACCACCCCCACCCGAAUUCCAACACCGCCGAUGACACAACUGACCCAACAAUGUUCCCAACCGAAGUAUGCGAAUUCCAUAAUCCCAUUAUCAACCCUCUCUUCUCUUUCCCAAACCAAUUACCCAGAACAGCCACAACACAAGGCCACCCAAUACUCUGAAACAAUCCACAUACAAUUUGCACCCCCACAAAAAACCCUAAUUUAUGAACAUUCAACCAAUCCCCCAACCCGAAUAUAAUUGUUAAAAUUCCACUACCUAACAUUCCAAUCACAAGGAACAGCCGGAGAUCCAACCGAUCACCGGCGUGACCAGAAAAAUACAUCCCAAUUGAAUAUGAAGAUAGGAAUGCGAGAUCGAGCUCGCCGAGACGGUGGGUGCCGUGAGGUCCAUUAAACGGAGCCCAACCGGUGUCGACUGAAGUGGAGUUGGAUUGAAUUUCGGGACUGAGGACGCUUUUGACUAUGCUGGGCGGUUUGCGGGAGGCGUGAAAGGAGGCGUACGCGACGAAGGUGAUGAGGAGAGCUGAGAUCCGAUGGAAAGUUAGGGUUUUGUGAGGGGGCUUGAGGGUUGGGAAGAGAUUAAGGCCAGGGGCUAGGGCUUGGGUGUUAGAUUGCAUUGUGUUUGGAGCCAAAAUUUGUUAAGAAAGAAAGGCAGUUUAAAACAUUUUUGUGCCCCUUUCCCUCAUUUUCCCGAGAAACAUUCAGGAAUUAUGCAGAAAUUACAGGGAAGAAGAUGAUAAUCUCGAAGCCAAGAAAACAUGCUGUGUUUGAUUUUUUGGAGGGAGAAUGCCAGGUUAGUUGGUUUCCGUUUCGUACACCCUAUGAUAUGGCUUAAAUUGAUUGGAGAACAGAUAGGGCAUGUUGUCUUUUUGAGAAACUCCAUGGAGAUUUUAGUAAUUAUGCUCUACCUAUGUGGAAAAGGUUUUCCUGUCAGCCCUUGCCACGUUGUCACGCGCUAAUGAAGGAGGAGGUCGCUCCAGCCUCCAGUAUGGGCUACAUCACACAGGCACCACUCUUUUCCCUUCGGGUUAAAGCAAACCUUUGAGUUGACUUUUGACCUAACGAAAAAUAAAAAAAUAAAAAAAUGAUAAAUGACUAAGCUAGAAGUGAAUAGGAUGUCCUCUGGCGCAUCCUAGUAUUGAAGUCCUGAACCAUAUGAUGCAUUUUCUUCUAUUAAUAACACUUGAACAGAAAAUGUUCCCUUCAAGUUUGCAAACCUACAUUCAUGUGGUUUCAUAACCUACCUAAUGGGCCUAUAACAUCUUUUACUUUGCCGAGAUAUCACAAAAUCAUUUUUAUUUUUUAACUUUUCAACAUUUACCCUAUAUAAUAUCCUAAUCCAACUUCUUACUCAAAUUAAAUUAAAUUCACUUUUAAAAUUAUAUAUUAAUUUUUUACUUAAAAAUAAAUUAAAUUAUUAAAAUUCCUUAAAUAUAUGUAAAAUCCUAAUUCUAAAAAUUUCAUCCUAAUUUUCAACCACCUAAAUCCAAAGUGAAGUGGAUACCAAUUGGAGACCUUAGAGCCUACGAGAGAAGUGUUUUCCAAACUCAGAAAAUAAUUUUAAUAAUUUUUUUACCUAAAACAAUUUUUUGAAAACCAAUUCUAAAAUAAAAUAUUUUCUUUGAAUUAUUUUCAACUAUUUUUAAAAAAUAAUUAGAUAAACAUAUAAUAUGAUUAAAAAUAAAAUAUUACUAAAAAUAAAAAUCACUUUUUAAAAUAUUGAAAAACACGUUAUGUUUAAAAGCUUUCAAACAAACUUUUAUUUCAAAAAUUAUAAUAAACUGUUUUUGAAAACUAUUUUAUAAGAGCCCGUUUGACAAUGAUUUUUAAAAGUGUUUCUACCCUUAAAAACACUUUUAAGUGUUUUUGGGAUGAAAAUAAAGCGUUUGACAAAUUUUAAAAAACACUUUUAAAAAUCUGAAAAAACACUUGAAGUGAUUUUUAGAGAAUCACUUGACAGGUGUUUUUUUUUAAAAACACUUCAAUUUUUUUGAAAUAUUCCAAAAUACCCCAGUGAUAAAUCAAUUAGAAAAAUCUUUUUUUUUUUUUAGAAAUUAAUAGGUGGUCAUAUAUUGUUUUACUUUUAAAAUUAUCUUUUAUUCAAUGUUUUUUAUUUAUUUAUUGAUUUAGAUGUUUUUUGUAAAUAUUUUUUAAAAUUUUAGUAUAGUGAUAAAAAAAUUAUUAUUUUUAAUUAGAAAAGUCUUUUUUUUUUUUUAGAAAUUAAUAGGUAAUCAUAUAUUGUUUUAAUUUUAAAAUUAUCUUUUAUUCAAUGUUAUUUUUUUAGUGAUUUAGAUGUUUUUUCAUUAAUAAAAAGUUUUUUUUGUUUAUCAUACCAUUUUUUUUAAUUAAAAUUGUAUGUCCUUUUUGGUAAUUUAUUAAUAUUAAAAGUGUUUUUAUAUUUAUACAAUAUAUUAUCAAAAACACUUUAGAAUCAUUUUUUCCGAUUAUCAUAAAAGUGUUUUUCACAGAAAUACUAUAGCAGAAAACACUUCAAAUAAAAACACUUCCACUAGAAUCACUACCAAACGGGCUCUAAAACAUUCUCCAGCAUGCCCUUUAAUACCAUCGGGAGCCAGUAAGCUUGCCCAUUCCACUAAUACAUUGGGCGGCGAACUUGAUAAUCAACACGACUGCCCCAUACUUUUAAGUACACCUCUUGACCUUUUCUAUUCAAUCUGGUUGCCAGGUCAAAAGGAGAAAGAACAGAAAAACACAAGGCCUGUGCCUUGGGAACGACUAAAAAAGCAUUAAAUUUCGUAACAAAAAUCCACCUAAGGCAAUUCCGUUGUUUUUUUAAUCCCCGAAUGGCAAUCAGAUGCACAAGUUUUUUGCAUUUGAAUUGAACUUGUACAGCUAACUAUGAUGAAAAAUGUGAGGAAGAGGACCAAAACAUCUGUAACAAAACCCUGCUUGGUGAUGCAGGAUAUCCAGCGAUCAGAAGAUGAGAUUAAACAGAGGAAUGCACUCCUGUCUCCUGACUUAAAUCAUUUGCUGAUGAAGGUCGGCUGCCUGCUGGGCUAGCUCCACCACCAUAGCCUCGUCGAAGAAUUUAUUGAUGCUUACAUCUUCACUCAUACCCUGCCAAAGAAAAUGGAAAUGCAAAAGAUUGGAUUAUAUAUCGUCUUCAGAUGGGUUCAUUAGAUCAUAUUAUUCUGUGUAACUGAAAUUGUCUGUUUGAAAUUCAUGGUUGUAGAAUGUCUUUCCUUCUGCAUGCUGAUGACUACUGAACUAACUUCAUUUGUCGUAAAACUUAUUGUUUGUGUUUCCUUCCACAAAGGAAAGACAUGAAAGGCAUGCAUUUGGCAACAUGCCAAUCAUCCUUGGCCUUUACUUGGAAAGAAAAAACAUUUGACUAGCAACAUGGUUAAAGAAACAUAUCUUAAAAACACCUUCCAAUGCAUAUUACAGCAAAAACCACACACACAUAAAAAGUGCUAUGAAGCACCUUUUCAGAUUCCAUACCUUUCUACGCCUUGUCUUAACCAUGAACUCACGAGCAAGGUGCUGAAUCGGUGCAGGUUCCAGUGGCCGCAGGACAAUACUCUUAUCAAGAGGGUCCCCUGGAACUAUAGCCCAGUGAUCAAACACAGAGGCGCAAAACGCUUGCCCUUGAGUAUGGUACCUCAAGUCUGUCUCAAACCCAAAUGAUUCUAUCACUGGCAAAAAUGCCUGAAAAUAAAUAAAUAAAGACAUUCAAAAAAUCAAGUUGCAAUUAGAUGAGUUUUCAAGCAUGUAUAUCUAGAAAAAAGACUUGGAACAUAUAAACCAAUAUGACCAACAAUAUCAUGCAUUUUACAUGAGAGAUAAAUUGGCAACACAUGUAACAAGAUGGAAGGAAUAAUCCCAACCAUAUGGGGUCAGCUCCAUUUAAUCCAAUUAAUGCUAUUCUAAUGUAUCUUCGAAAUUUAUAAUGAUAAUCUUGCAUAUUGUAUUAUCAAAUUUCUCAGUCAUAAAAAUUGGACUGGCAAGUCGGCUGGCAGUUCCAAGUGUUACUAAUUGUCCUCAAUCUCAUAGAAAACCAUUAAGAUCAAUCAUGAAAAUUUUCCAAACAUUUCCUUCAAAACUGUAACUAUAAAAGCAAAGUACAGCCAUCAAACCUUAACAAUAUAGGCUGGGGUCCCUGGUUGAGGAACAUCAGCUGUAACAUGCCCACGCCUGCGAGAUAAGACAGUGUAGAUUGCAGAGACACAGUCUAUUGGUGUUUGUAUCUGAAACAGAGAAACCAAAUUAAAUAACACAGUGAUGUCAUCAGCCUGAUAAGGGAAAAACACAUUUAAGUCUAAUAACAGAUUGAAACUAAAUAUUCUUUUUAGGGAUGAUUAAAUAUCAACUUGUUUACUGUCUGGAUCUAUGAUCCCUAUGAUUCUAUAUUCAGAUACACCUUCAAGGAAGAAAGACUUCCUUCUUAACUUUUAUGAGAAAUUUCUAUGAACUAGAAAAUUGCACGUUCUAGUUUUAGCAAUAUCCAGAAAUUUCACUUAAAAAAUGAAGCCUAAUUAACAAAUUUUCUACAUUUUUUGAGGCAACUAUGAAUGGUCUUAGGGGUUGGGUUGCUCAAAAGAUAAGUAAUAUGUUCAGUUCCCAUGCCCAGGCACAGUCCAUUUGCAGUCUUUUUUUUUUCCUUGAAUGAUGAGUGGAAAGAGGGGUCAUUAGCCUGCAUUCUUCCUUCAAUAGCUUAAUAUAGCAAAGUAUUUACCUCCACAUAGUAUACAGGUUCCAUAAGUCGUGGAGUUGCCAUAAGGAAUGCAGAGUAGGCCACCCGCCGAGCUGUAGGAAUGAUCUGACCAGUUCCUCGAUGCAAGGGCUCAGGUGCAAUCCUUGCAUCGACUAUUUUGAACUUAACAUUUCUGAUGGGCUCAUCACACAGGGGUCCUUCUCGGGCACCCCAUUGAAAUCUAUCCAGAACAACACACACCCUUAAUAAAAGGCAAAAACAAUAAUAAAUGAAAAAAGAAACUAAUGACAACAUAGUUUACCCUUGAACAAUGGAAUCUUUGACAGCAUUUAGUAAGUUCUUAUCAACUUCACUAGAGAGAGUAUCAUCUAACAAAAUGUUAGGCCCCUGCAAGCAGCUCAUUGGUCAGACAGAAACAUGGCAAUCAUACACAUAAGAGCUAGAUUGGAAAAAGAUUUGCAAGAAGUUAGGAAUAUAUCAAAGGAAGCGGAUGGAAUAACAAGCUGAAGUUAAUUUUUUUAAAAAGGGAGGUAUUGAUUAAACAACAGUAGGGUUGUAUCACUGUUAGAAGUUGAAACUUUUGCCAAGUACAUUACCUGCUUAUCUGGCCCAAAUGCCCAUAUGGACCUUGCAGCCAGCAAAUCCCAGUCAUAUUUUGUUUGAAAAAAGUCACCAAGUUUCUUUCGAUGCCAAUCAAUGCUUACAACACCAUUCUCAAUAUCCUCCGCGAGUCCUUUCUCCAAUGGCUCUGCAAUCUAGCAAAGAAAAAAACACAAAAAAAAAGGUUGUUUAAAUAAUUAAUAUACUGCAUAAAAUUGAAUCAUAUAUGAUUCUUGAUAGCCCCAGGAUCAAGGGAAGGGAAAAAAAAGGCAAUAGAUGACUUCCCUACCAUGGUUAUUUUAUUCUUCUUGUUGGGUGUUUCAGCAAAACAUUUCAUUGAUGAAGACUCCACCACAGUUUCACAAAAUGAUACAACAGGAUCUGCCACCUAUAUUUUAAGUAAAGCACAAGAAGCAAAAGCAUGCUCAUCAACAAAAGGCACAUCCCUCCAUCGAAAAGGCAAAAAGGGUACUCACAUGAAAGUUAAGAUCAACCAUAAAUCAAAUAAGAGAUCGAUGUGAAAUAGAUACCUUGACUUCAACUUCAGAAUACAGCUCUCUAAGGUCCUUCAUGAUAGAAUCCAAAUACAACUCCCCAGUACCUAAAAUAGUGUGUUCUCCAGACUCCUCAACUUUAGUAAUUGCUAAAGGAUAGCUCUUACUGAUCUUCCUAAGACCCUCCACCAUUUUGGGCAACUCACUUGGAUUUAAAGGCUCAGUAGCUGUUUUAACUACUGGAAGAGUAUUAAACAGAAGAGGCCGAAAUAUGUAUACAUCCUCAUCAUAAUCCAAAUUACAAAGUGUGGCAGUCUUCAUAAUUGAAGCAUCCACACCUUCAAUGAGAACCCAAGAACCAGGAGGAGCCUUGCUUAUGGGUAUUCUGUAACGAGCUUGAUAAACCCAUAAUUUUGUAACUUCCUUUACUGUCAUAUCCUCUUCGUCUUCUGGUGAAUAGCCUUCUCCCAGCACACGUAAAGUCUGCCCUGUUUGGAUUUCACCACUAUAAACCCUACCAAAAGCAUCAAAAACACUGCAAUCAGACUUUGGAUACAGUUUAGUCACAUUAACCAUUAGAGGACCAGAAGAAUCACAAUCUUCCAUGGCCUGGUAUAUUGCAGAAUCUUUGGGUCCAGUAUAAAUAUGAUCAACCUUCUUAGCUGCAGCAUCUUUGGCAGAAGGAAUAUGCUGAACCAGCAUAUCAGUGAAACCUGUCGCUGAACCAAAGACUGAGCUACAGGCCAACCUCAGCAAAGGCCUAACAUUUAGUUUGUAGGCUGCAUUACUGAGAGUGACACCCAGUUCUGCAAGGGUACUCUCCACACUCUUCUUAUGUUCUCCAAUUACUUGGCUAUAUAUCUUGUAGAGGGGCUCAAGCACAAACUGGACAAAUGAUCUUUCCCCUCCACUUGCAGGCGGUUUCUUCCUGAAAACCCUAGCAUCAGGAUGAUAAUACAUAUCUCCCCAAAGCCGAGAUGCAAACUUAUUGGCAUCAAAUGGGACGCCAUGGAGUUUGACAUAUAGUUUAGCAAAUGAUUGCAAAGUAAAAGACCAUCCUGCACUAGCACUAGCAAAACAGACAUUUCCAGCAGCCGGGUCUAUGAUUUGGACAUUUCCUGCAGUUGAUGAGGCAGCAGAUAUGUGAUUAUUGAUGAGUUCCAGAGUAUGCCUUAGCUUAUGAUAAGCAUCCUUUGGGGGCAAUUUGAGUUCAGUGAUCAGCCUGUCAACCUUGAAAAAAUAAGAGAUUAAAAUAAAUUAAUAAAAGAGAAUACAAGGAAGUCUAUGAAGUGCUCUGCUUCGUAGAGUUGAUUAAAAUGGUACAAAGAAGUUUUGACCACCAAAACAAAGGGUUAAAAGGUACCUUAUUGAUUACAACUACAAUAGGAAGGCGCUCUUGGAUUGCAUGGCGUAUAGCCCUUUCUGUAUUUACCUGUGCACAAAAGAAUUAUCGAACAUUUCAUGUCAUUACAAUCUCUCUCAAAGCAACUGCCAAAGCCAUUAAUUCAGGAAAAGGACAGAAAUGAGCAUAUUGGAUAAUCAAUAUGAACGGGUUGAACAUAAUUCUUCUUUAAUGAGAAAGUUUACCUGCUUCCUAUUAGUAAUUUGGUUCUAACUAUUCUCUCACUAAGGUAAUCUAAGCCAGGCCCUUUUAAUAUUAACUAGGUCGAUUAAACCUUGAUUUCCACAACUGGAUACAUUCAUCACUUGGGUACAGACAUCUAUACUUAUUCAACAUGGUAUUAAUCAUAUAUCUCUAUUUUGACUUAGUUAUGGAGUUUGCAUCUCUCUCUAUCUUUAACUUCAAAUUGUCUUUCUUCAACAUUCCUUUAUUUUCAGAACUUACUUUUUUUCUUUUUUUUCUUUUUUUUUCCAGGUGAUAGGCCAUAGCUUACUUUCAGUUAUCACCCUCAUUAAUAUUAAGCUUGUUCCACUAAGUCUGAUAAAAACAGGGAGAAGCAAAAACAACUAUCUUAAUUACAUGCAUCCUCCAACAGCAGGCAGAAACACUCAAAGUUGGGGUCAAAUAAUUAAACCUGCAUAUAUCUCUUAACUUUUAUUCCACUACUCGACCUAUAAAUUAUCAAAGCUAAAGUUCUAAUAGACUUGACACUUUUGGAAUUCCCCAAUCAAAAAAACAAAACAAUAAUUUCUUAGUUCUGAUGGGGAAUAAUUAAUAUGGAAGGGCUUUAAAGAAGAAGAGGUAUUUGGGUAAUACAUGAGUAAAGAUAGGCAGUAUGAACCUAAAACUAGGUUGAAAAGCUUUGUAGGUAAGAAACCAAUCAUAGAAGCUUACAGCAGAAGUUCAGAUUGAGUCAUAUCUAUUUUGCACUGAUUAUAGAUAAGUUAGUUGAGCAUUUAUGUGUUGGUGACAUCUACAAUACUAUGUUAAAGGAAGAGGUGUCCAAUCUACACAUCCACAAUUAGUGACCUGGCAUAAAUUCCACCUCCAAUUAAAAGAUAUGGAUAUAAUGAUUUUAUAGGAAGUACAGGUGAAACACUGGAAUCCAUUAUUACUAGGGUAGAGUGGAAGGAGGGAUGAACUCACAAGACCGCCACUCAUAAAAUUUUCACAAGAGCACAACGUAAGGAAUGUGCUCAGUUGUACAUUCCAAUUGACAAGACUAGGAAAAAUACUAAUGAAAAGUUAUAACCAUGUAAGGAAGCUUUAAAAUAAAAUAAAAAAAGCUGUGAGAAAAUAACUAAUGUGGAAAAUGUAAUAAAAUUACAAAAAUAAGUGCUUUUUUGGAUACACUUCAUGUUUUAUUGUUUUUAAACAAAGAAAAUAGUAGUUUCUAUCCCUUUUACGCAUCCCUAAAUCUGUUACAAAAAGGAUUGAGAAAAUCCAAAGAGAUUUCCUUUGGGGGGGAGGAAGUUUGGAGAGGAAAGCUCACUUAAUUAAGUGGAAGGUGGUUUGUAGCCCUAAGGAGGAGGGAGGAUUAGGCAUCCGAAAAAUAGAUGUAUUGAACAAAGCCUUGCUGGGCAAAUGGGUGUGGAGAUACGCCUAUGAGAAGGAGAAUCUAUGGAAAAGGGUGAUAGGGGUGAAAUAUGGUCAAGAGGGGUGUGGGUGGAGGACUAAGGACGUUUGUGGGCCUUAUGGAGUGGGACUGUGGAAGGAGAUCAUGAAGGAAGCUGAUUGGUGCUGGGAGAGUAUUGUGUUUAAGGUAGGCAAGGGGACCAGAAUUUUGUUUUGGAUGGAUAAGUGGUGCGGUAAUGAGGCCCUUUCUCAAAUUUUCCCUCAGCUGUUUACUUUGGCGGGUCAUAGGAAUGCCAAAGUAAGUGAAGUGUGGGACUCUAGCCUGGGUCAAGGAGGUUGGAAUCUCAGAUUGGCUAGAGAUUUCAAUGAUUGGGAGCUGGAACAGAUAGGAAAUAUGCUGAAUCUGCUGAAGGAUUUCAGGACUUCGACUGAGGAGGAUGCUGUAAGAUGGAAAAGGGAAAGCAAUGGUGUUUUCGGGGCUAAGGGUGCUUACAAAAUGUUGGUUGGGUCCUCAGCCUGUGUCUUCCCGAACAGACGCAUUUGGAUGAAUAAGGUGCCAACAAAAGUAUCUUUUCUUGCUUAGGAAGCUUCGUGGGGGAAGAUCCUCACCUUGGAUAAGCUUCAAAGAAGGGGGCGGCAGCUCCCUAACCGGUGUUUUCUGUGUGGAUGUGAAGAGGAAAAUGCGAAUCAUAUUAUGUUACAUUGUACAGUGGUUAAGACUCUUUGGGAGAUCGCUCUCGCCAUUUUUGGAGUCCAAUGGGUGUUCCCAGAAUCAGUUAUAGAAGUGUUACUUAGUUAGAGGGGUUCUUUUGUGGGGAAAAAAAGAAAAGACACCUGGAAUUCCAUUUCGUUGUGCAUUUUUUGGACGGUUUGGAAGGAAAGGAAUAGGUUAGCUUUUAGGGGGGGGUCUUUAGAUAUACAAAAAUUCAAGAAUUUUUUUGUAUGUAAUUUGUGGAGUUGGGCUAGGGUGUAUAUUGGUGAGGAUACCUAUUCUCUUUUAGGCUUUUUGGAGUGGCUUGCGGUCACUUGAGGGUGGGUGAGGUUUUCCCUCUUUUUUGUUCAGUUCGUCUUUUUGGGCAUUUGUGUAUACCCCCUGUAUACAUGCGGCUUUUUAGCCUUUUCUAAUAUAUUCUGACUGUUUAUCUAUAAAAAAAAAAAACAAAGAAAAUAGUAGUAAUUUUCAUGUAAAAUAUAACAACUCUUAUAUGAAAAGUAUAAACCUACCUCAUGUCUUUAAAAAUUACUUUGUAAAUUAGAGGUAGGUUUAUACCUCAAAGCGUAAAAUCCAAAAUCUUUUUAAGGCAAGUCUCAAAGAGUUCUUGCAUUUUAGACAGAAGUUACCAUUGUUUUCCUUUUGAAAAAAUAAAAAACAAGAAGUGCAUCCAAAAGACACCUAAAUAAUCUGAUGUUAGAUUGACGUCUACAAGAAAUCCAGGAGCAACUAUUUGCAUUAUUUUCUUUUCAUACAUGCACAGUGAUUGAUGAAUCAAAGAGAACAUUCCUUGAAGAACUAAUGCUAUAUGAAUGAACAAGAGAGUUAUGACACAACUAUGAAUACAUCCUGUGUACUUGGAUUGCACCUUUUUUUUGCUAGGCCCCUUCUAAUAAAUCAUUUUUCUAUCAAAAAGAACUACAAUCAUAAAAUCCUCAAAUUUCAAAUUUCUAAAUGUUGCAGCAUGUCAGCCUAAAAAGCACGAGAAUAAGAUGAAUUGAGUACAAAAACUAGAAGGAAUAGAUAUUAAGUCAUUUCCAGCAGAAAUGGGGGCAAAAUAAAGGCCAAUGAUUAAACUAAUUAUGAUUGAAAUGGUUAAAGUAGCAAGUACUAUGAACAGAGGGAAGGUCCAAGGAACGUAAAUCUUAAGAUAGUGCAAAAGAACCUAGUGGCCUACCAUUCUUCAAGAAAAAAUGCACACAAGUCACAACGUAUAAAGAUUAAGAUUCUGAUGGUUGAUGACGUAUGGUUGAGAUUUGAUACCAGAAUAAGAUGCAUACAUAACAUGCCUCAAGCUCAAAACUUUUCAGUGGGUAUGAGGGGUUGCUCAGUGUUUCAUGCGGCACUUUGUUAUUGGGCAAUUUUCUGUGUGUUUGCACGAGUGCCAUCAUGUGUUUGGCUUCCUCAGAAUUUAAAAAAAAAAAAUAGCAUACCUGAAAAGAAACAACAGAAGCAGCCAAAGAAAAGGGUCACUUACCAUUACUCCUUCAGCAGCAUCCACAAUCAAGACAGCACCAUCGGCAAGUCUGAGAGCAGCAGUCAUCUCAUCAGAGAAAUUUACAUGACCUGGAGUGUCCAUGAUGUUACAAAGAUAAGAUUUUGAAUUGCUAUCCUCAAGAACAAGUGACAUGGGAACAGCCUUAAUUGAUAUCCUUCUCUCUUGCUCAUCAAUCCUCGUAUCUGUGUAUCUCAUGUGCUUCUCACUAUUUGAAUCAAAUGUUGAAAUAUGGUGUGUUUGCUCAACCAGCAUGUCCAUGAAUAGUGUCUUUCCAUGCUGUAAAUGUCCGACCAGAGCAACAUUCCGAACCAAAGCUGGGUUUGACAUAAGACCCAAAAGAAACUGGGUUGACACAUAUGUCGACGAAUCCUUCACUCCCAACUCAAACUUAAUAUUCCUAACAGGUUUGAUUAUUGGUUGUUCAAGUGGUUGCUCAUCUUCAUCCAUUACCAAGGUUUCAACAUCUUCACCAUAGACUUCUUCAGCAGUAGGAUAGUACUUUUUGUCUUCAGCAAGGACAAUCUGGUUGUCCAUGUCAACAUCAUUAGAUGCAGUUAUCCACCCAUUAGAGGCUGCAACUGCAUCCUCAACAUCAGAUACCAUUUCCUCUUCAUCAGGCUUGUCAGGGAUGUCCUCAUCUUGAUCAUCUCCAUCACUUUCUCUGUCAGACUCAAUUUCUGGUCCAAUGUAGUUUCCAAAUUCAUCAUAUAAACUGUCAUCCAUGGUUCUUUCAAAUCUGCCACAUUGUAUAACCAAUUAUUAGUAUGGAACAGCAACCACCCAAUCAAGAAAGAGUUGUUUAGGGCAAUGUUCGGUUCACAAUCAUCAAUGGUCUUUGCCCACUUAAGACCAAAUGUUCUCUUAGAGCCUAGGCACGACAGGGAAGCCCAUGGCAUGGGCUCGAGUGAAAUGAUGCAACAUUAAUUAAUGUAAUUUUAUAAAAUUUAAUACGCUAAUACUUGUUGCAUACCAUAAAAAAAUAAGAAAAAAAUAUUCUCAAGAAAUUCAGGGAAAAGAACAUUUCAGUAAUUUCAUGAAGAGUUUCAUUGAAUAGUCUCAGUAAUUUCAGUUUUUAAAAAAUGUAUAAGAAAAAAGGCCAAAGUUUCCAAAGAGUGCACAUGUGAGCUAAAAACAGCCAAGUGUCCAGAAAAUGCAAAAUCAUCUAAGAAAACUUAAGUGAGAAAAAUUAUAAAUAUGUCAUAAUGCAAAUUGUACCAAAAUUUUAAAAGAAAAAUUUUCCAAAAUAUCAGGAAAAAAAAUCUCAAAAAGACAUUUCAGGAAAAAUUAAAAGAGAAAACGAAGAAGUAGAGCGACAAGUGUGUGCAGUGUGACGAAGUAAGAAACAAUGAAACAGAGAGCGUGUCGGAGCGAGUGGUGCAGUUGGGACUUGAAAGUUGUUGGUAUCUUCUCCUCCCCCAAGGAGGAGCAGAAGAGACUUGCAGGAAGAUUAGGAUUAGGGUUACUUUUUACAGAGAAGAGAGAAGAAAUUAAAGAAAUGUCGGGGUUUGGAUCUUUCACCUUUUCUCAAUUUGACCCAAAAACGAAAAAUGAAAUGGGUUUUUGAUUUGGUGAAUCCUGCAUCUGGGUUUCUUUUCUGAUCAAUUUUCCAGUCAUAUUCAAGAUGGCAAACAAUUCAAGGGUUUUAACCUAAAUACUACAAACCAUCAAACAGCUGAUACUAGAAUCAAAAGAAUAACCCGUUUUUGGAUUUUUUUUGCGCAGAAAUUGAAUUAAAAUUACCUAAUCCUUACAGACACGUAUACAUCCAGAGAAAGAGAUAUAGAGAGUACCUGAAGAGGGAGUUACAGGAAGUGAAUCCAACUGAGUGUUCAAGAGUAUUGAAACGAGAGGGUUUAUAGAGGGGUUGGCCACGGCGCGGCUGUCAAGAGGAAUUGGGCCUACACCUGGCUAGAUAAAGCUCGAGCCAUGUAGGUUGGACUGAGUUUGAGCCCAAUGGGCUCGAGUAUGUUGGCCUCCGGUGGCUUACUCUCUGUUUGGAAACUAUUUGGCACUGUACCUUGAAAACAAUGUUCUGUCGAACUUAUGACAAAAAAAUUAAAAAAUAAUAUUUAUUUAUUGAAUACAAAUGUUUAUAAAAUUGAUGGUAUUAAAAUGCUGUAGCAAAAAUAUAAUUGUUGGAAAAAAAACCACAUAUGAAGCAAUUGUCAAAGAAUCAUUUAAGUAAUUACUCAAAUCUACUUCAAAUGAUUAUUUAUAUUUUUAAAAUCAAAUUUAAAAACAUUGUUAUAAAAAACAACUUUUAAACAUUAGGAAAUGUAUAUAGUAUUUACGAAACCAUUCUCAAAUAAACUUCAAUUACCUAUUAAUAUUAACUAUUAUAAUUUUAGAUUAUUUAUUUGAUUUCAUCGAUACCACAAAAUCAUAUUUGAAAAGUCGCAGUAUGUUUCUCAAUUGCCAUUUAAUGGAAAAAGGUUUUGAAUUAUCUUAUAAAAUGCCUAAAAUCUACAUUGGUUGUUCACGGAUGAAUUCUUUUUUCAAGUAGCGAAUGAAAUUACAAAAAAUUGAGAACCAUUAUAUUUUUAUGAUACAAAUGUCUUAACCUUAAGAAAAACAGAGAAAAAAUAAAUAGAUAUAAUUCAAGAGAAAAAACUUUUUUUAAAGAACUCUAUUCAUUUGACUUUUGUCAUAUAAAGAGUGUGUGAGAAAGAUUUUUUUUUUAUUUUAUUUUUUUGUAAUUGUAUAAUAGCAUUUUUGUGUAAUUUUAAUUUCCAUAAAUUGUUUCAUGUUUCUUAUUUUGUUGGAUCGAGUCGAAUCAGUCCACAUGAGCACCCAAACCCAACUCCAACACCAUUAAACCCAUUUUUACAAUCAAUGAAGAUAAAAAAUUAAAUUAAAAAUAAUGAUUGGUAAAAUUAAAAAUUUUGAUAAUGAAAAUGUAUAAUAUAUAAAAUUUAAAAAAUGUUAACUUAUAGAAAAAUUAAACUCAUAGUAAGCUAAUAAAAUAAGAGUAUAUUCAUGUUCUUAAAUCACCUAUAAGAAGUGUAUUUAAUCUUCAACCACAAGUCAGCAAGACUUUAAUAUUACUUCUUUUUUUUUAUCACGUUUUGAAAAAAUAGAAAUAUAGUAAUGAUUACUCCAUGCUAUCAAUUACUAUACAUACAUAUAAUUAUUUACUUAAUUUGGAUUGGAGUUGCUUUAUUUUCCCCCAUACCUAACAUAGAUCACAAAAAGGCCUGCCUUAACCCUUCCAAGAUUGGAUUAAAUUCAGUUAAACCUGUUCAAAUUACAUCCUUAAUUGAUUUAGAGUAUUAUUGACAACGAUUUUAAGAAAUGUUUAUGGUAUUUAUAAUUUUUAAAAGAUAAAAUUUUUUAAGUAUUAAAAAUAUAAAAAUACUUUUUAAAAUUAAUGUUAAAUGCAUUCUUAAAAUUUGUUUAAAAAUGUUAGACAAUUUGUCUAAAAAGUAUUUAAGAAAAAUGCUUUUUAUUAAAAACAUUUUGAGUAGAAAUGAAAAUUUUUGUUAUGGAGUACAUUUACCCGAUCAUCAUCAAUUGUUGAGCAAAAAAUUUAAUGACUUGCUCAUGUCAUAAAAUACGGUAGUCAUGAAAAUAUUAAUAAAUUAUUUAGUUGAAAACAUUAAUUUAAUGAUUUGAAAUGUUACAUGAAUUAUUUAACAGGGACAUACCACCUACAAUCAUAUUAAAAAUCAUGAGAAAUAUUUGAUAAGUAAUUUGUCUAAAAACACUUUAAGAAAAACACUUUUUAUUAAAAACAUUUUGAGUAGACAUAAGGUGAAAAUUCCUUUUAUGGAUUACAUUUACCCAAUCAUCAUCAAUUGUUGAGCAAAAAAUUUAAUGAUUUGCUCAUGUCAUAAAAUACGAUGGUCAUGAAAAUAUUAAUAAAUUAUUUAGUUGAAAACAUUAAUUUAAUGAUUUGAAAUGUUACAUGAAUUAUUUAACAGGGACAUACCACCUACAACCAUAUUAAAAAUCACGAGAAAUAUUUGAUAAGUAAUUUGUAUAAAAACACUUUAAGAAAAACACUUUUUAUUAAAAACAUUUUAAGUAGAAAUAAGGUGAAAAUUCCUUUUAUGGAUUACAUUUACCCAAUCAUCAUCAAUUGUUGAGCAAAUAAUUUAAUGAUUUGAAAUGUUACAUGAAUUAUUUAAAAAGGACAUACCACCUACAACCACAUUAUAAAGUUUGGAAAAGAAUGUCCAUCCAUUGAACAAUGGAAGAAAGUGUGCCACCAUAGAAAACAUUAAUAAGCUCAGUCAUGAAAAUAUUAAUAAAUUAUUUAGUUGAAAAGUCCAUUCUUCCUUGUGUACGCUCAAAGGUCUUAGGUUUGAUGAGUUAAAUUUUAUUUUAUAUCUUAGAAUAAGAAGUUAAAUUGAAAAACCGAGAAUGAGAGAGAAGAGGAAGCCACAAACAUGGCGGUCGCUUCUCACAUUUAUUGUAACACACUUCACACACAUACACACGGAUGAAAGUCCUAGGCCACCACGUGUCACAAAUCACAGAGUCUGAGGGCAUUAUUUAGUAUUUAGUAUUUACUACAACACAACCCAGAAAGCAAAAAAGAGAAUUACAAACACAACCCUCUCAUUCAGCUGCUGGCCGUCACGUCCCUCCAUUCACAUUAUGACUUGUAGGCACGAGUCUCAAGGGUGGGUGGUUAGCGACUUACCAGGGGCGUUGGGGAGGGCCAGGAGGACCGGGAGGACCAUAAGGCCCCGGAGGCGGAGGGCCAAAGGUACCUGGCGGACCCGGGGGUGGCGGACCAGGGGGUGGCGGACCAGGGGGUGGCGGACCCGGGGGUGGAGGUCCCGGGGGCGGCGGCCCGUGGUGGUGUGGGUCGUGUGGUGGAUGAUGCAUCUUCUCUUCUUCUUCAAGGAAGCUGUGGUGUGGCGAAGGGGUUGGAGGGGGCUUCUCAAUUUAUAAUGUAGGGGAUGUGUGAGAAGUGGGAAAUGAGAUGAAAGGCAGCUUAAUUCAUCCUAUGUUUAUCUUUUUUAUCUACAAGUCAAACUUUGAUUUCUUUGAUUUUUUAUUAUUUUUUAGACGGUGUCACCUACUAUUCUAGAAGGCAAAGGGAAAUUGACAUCCAAAUUUUAUUUUCAUUUUAUUUUUUUGCCUCACGGCUCGGGCAUCUAUAAUUAUUUAUUUAUCAAUGUAGAAAAUCCUUGUGGGGAUAAAAGACACGUGAGUUCUGAUGGGGCGGGCCUCCAUCCCCGCAAUUCAAUCUCGCAUUCGCAUUCAUGUAUUAGGGUUUUGGACCACAAUAAUUAAUUAAAAAAAAUCAUAUUUAUAAUGACCUGUAAAAUAAUUCUCAAUUUAAUCCUUUUUUUUACAUGAAUUGUCACGUUCAUAAUUUUUAUUUUUAUUUUUGAGGUGCUUUCCAAUUUUUUAAUUUAAAAAUGACCUCGUUGAACACGUGGUCAGUAUGAAUUAAAUUAUAUAUUUUUAAAAUUCAAAUUAUAUUUAUAAUUAUUCCAAUCUUAUUAUGUAGAUAUUAUCCCAUUUGAAUCAAAAGUGGACAAUAUUUACACAAUUGUAUAUUGAGGAUUUGAUUGAUUCAUGAAGAGUAUUUGUUUACUUGACUUUAUAAUUUUUAAGAAAUGACAAAAACAUUAUGUUUGCAUGUGAUGUUCGUAAUAUUUCACAUAGGAUUGAGAAGGAAGUUAUUAAUUCUAUAUAAAUAUGAAAUUUUCUUAAUCAUGUAAAUGUGUUAUAAAGUUACAAGAAUCCUGUCAUCCUUAAAGAGGAUAAUGCUUACAAAUGUUUCAAAAUUAAUUUUGACUUUGUAGGGAGUGUUUAUCUUUUUGUGAAAAAGGAAAAUUAAAACUCUUUUUUAAAAUAAUUUUAUGAUAUUAAAAAUUAGAAAUUUGAAAAAUAAAAAAUAAUGUUUUGAGAACUUUUGAUGAAAUUAGGAUAUUUGAAUUAUUUUUCUUGUUUUAAUGAGAUUAUUUUUAAAAAUAAUUAUAUAAAUAUAAAGAAUAAUUUAAAAUAAAUUAUUGUAAAUAAAAACUAUUUUUAAAAAUAUAAAAAGAAUAUUUUAAGUGUUCAAACAAAAAUUUGUUUGGUAAACAUCAAAAUUUUGUUUGAAAAGUGUUUUUGAGUUCUAUUCUGAAAAUAGUCUUUAAAAACUAUUUUAUAAUCUUUCUAAAACAAAAGUUUCUGUUUUGACAGCUUGAAAGUUUGAAACACGGAAUUGCAGGCUUAUGCCCUACACGAGCAGGGGAACCUUCUGGAACUCGUGGACCCAAUUCUCGGUUCUAACUACUCUGAAUUUGGAUUUCUUAUGCACCAGCCCAUCUCCCACUCUCAGGCCAAAUUCCGCGUCUUCUGUAGUGAGCACGCUCCAAGGCAAAAUCGCUGUCCAAGCACCAAUAGCCAAGAGGAGCUCAAUGAACCAGGACAUGAGGUUCAAAGCCUUUGAGAGGCUGUCACAGGACAUAUCAUAUUAUGCUUUAUUUUCUUCUUUCAAUUUUUCCUCUGCUUUCUCUGCUACCAAACAAUGGCUUAUAUCAUUCUGCUGGAAAUUCUUUGUCCCUCUAUGCCAUAGCGAACUUGAUCUGAACCCAUAAUGUUUAUGGCCGAGUUGGAAUUCUGGGUAUUUAUUUUUUUCCUUUCUUUAAUUGGUUUGAAACCGGCACUGAAGCCGUAUUUUCAAAUUUUGACUGUUACAUAGGUUUUAAAGCCGCAUUUCCAAGAUGAGUUUUCUCAAUUAUGUAAGGGUUUGUUUGGAAAGUAUUUUUUAGAAUAGUUUCCUGUUUUUCAGAACGAAAAAACAAAGAAAAUGUGUUUGACAACCAUAAACUAUGUUAUGUUUUUUAUUUUUAAGAAUUAAAAAUAUAGUGUUUUAAAAAAACAUUUUUAAUUAUUUUAUAUUAUUUUCAUUUAAUUUUUUAGGGUUAUUUUAAAAAAUAAUCAUACAAAUAUGUCAAAUAUAUAGAAUAAUUAAAAAUAAAACAUUAGAUAUAAAAACAUAUUUAAAAAUAUUAAAAAUAGGUUAAAAUCAUUUUAAGUUUCACAUAGACUUAUGUUCUAUAAGAAUCAUAGAACAAUUUUUUAAAAAUAUUCAUAAAAACUAUUCUUCAAAAUUAUUUUGAAAAAUAGUUACCAAAUAGACUUUUGUCCUAGAUAUGAAAAAUCAUAUAGUUUUUUAUAAAUUGUUUUUAAUUUUUUAUUAUAUUUAUUAUUGUUAUUUUUAAAAAUAAAUUAGUUUAAAAAAUUAAGUUUCCUUAAAUACAAUAUUUACAUUUAUGAUGUAAAUUGAAAUCGAUAUUCAAAAUUUCAUAUAUUAAUUUUCCUUUUGCAAUGAUGUAAUUUCUUCUUAUUUAUUGAAUUUAUAAUUUUAUCAUCUAAUUAUAUAAAUAUAUAAAUUGAGAUCUCAUAUUACUAUGAUUCUAAGUCAUGUGAUGAAAAUAUUUUAUUUAGUUGCUUUAAUUUUAGAAAACUAUCCAUUCUUUCUAUUAAUUAUUAAAUAUUAAUUUCAAAAUUUUAUUUUUAGUAUUUAGUAAAAAACAAAAUAUUUUGACUUUUUCUAUUCAUUCAGAUAAAAAGUUAUAAAAAUAAGUAAUAAAUAAUAAGUUAAAAACAAACAAUUUAAUGUUUGAAAGCAAAUUACAUUCCAAUUAAGUUAAAAAACAAAUACCACUUCGAUAUUUGGUAAAAUUUAAUCCUUAUUAUUUAAUGACUUAAGUCAAAUUAUUCUUAAUAUGUUAACUUAAAAUUUGUUACUUACUUUUUUUUUUAAUCAUUAAAAUUGUUCGAUGAAAUUAACUUCAAAUUUAUUUUUAUUCCUCAAAUUAAUAUAAUUACUUUUGUUAAUUAUAAUUAAUAUUAAUCUUCAUUCAAUUAACUAAUUUAUUUUCAUUAAUUUUAAGCAAGACAUUUCUUUAUAAAACAUUUAUAUUUAAAGUAUUGAUAAAUAAGAUAACCAUAAAAGAUUUAUUAUAAAAAAUGAAUCAUAAAUUUGGAAUUAUAAUUUUAAAAUAUAUUCUCAUUAACAUAUGCAAAUGAAAAAAAAAAAGAUUUUGAGAUUAAGAAUAAGUUAAAUAUUUUGACUUAGUACUUAAAAGUUAUAAUAUUAAAUUAUUUUACCAAAUAUGAUUAAUCUACUUAAUGACUUAAAUUAAGUUGUCAAGUCAUUAAGUAAUUUAUCAAACACCUUGUUGACUUUAAACUUAUUGUUUAUUUUUUAUUUUAAAGUAUUAAGGUUGGUUGGUGAAAUUAACUUAAAAUUUAUCCUAUAUCGUCAAACAUAUUUACCCUUAUUAAUUUUAACUAAUAUUUAUAUUUUCAUUCAUAUUAAGAUAUAAACUUAUUCAUUAAAAAAAUCAUAUUUGAAGUAUUUUACAUAUAUAAAAUAACUACAAAAUAUUUACAUUCAAAAGAUGAGUUUCAAAUAUAGAGUUAUACUUGUAAAAUAUGGAAAAAUGAGAUAAAAAAGAUUUAAGAUUAAGAAUAAAUUACUUAUUUUAACUUACACUUUCUUCUUCUUCUUCUUUUUUUUUUUUUUGAAAUUUAAGUAGUAAUAUUAAGUUAUUUUCCAAAAUAUAUUUAAUUUACUUAAUGACUUAAAUUAAUUUAUUAAGUCAUAUUAAGUCAUUAAGUUCAUUUAUUAAACACCCUCUUAAAAUAUAUUUAUUUAUUUAUACUUAAAUCUAAAUAGAACUUAAUUUUAAAUACAACUUAAUAAUAUCAAAUAUUAAAUUAUUUAUUUUUUAUUAAUUUAUUUUUAUUAAGUAAUAAGUAUUAAUAAGGUGAGGGUCAUGCUAAAAUUGUGUUUUAAUUGUUUUGAAAAGUUAUUUUUAACGUUCAACAAAAAGUCAAAAUAUUUUGAUUUUUUCUAUUCGAUCAUUUUUAAAAAAAUAAGUAAUAAGUUAAAAAAAAAAUCUAAAGUCUAAAUGCAAAUUGCAUUAGACAUUAAGUUAAAAAAGCAAAUACCACCUUGAGCUUGGAACUUAUUAUCAAACUCAAAUAGUUAAUUUCUAAUGCUUUUUGGUUUGCAUGCCCAAUUUUAAGUUAGGCAUUUUAUAUUUUUCUUAACAAAAAAAAUUAUUUUCUAAAUUAAAUUGAAUGACAUUGGCCUUAAACAAUUUAGUUAGUUAUUGUCUAUGAAUCUAAUUGGACUGAACAACAUGAUUUUCAUUUGAGAUUUGGUCAGUAUGAUUCUCAGUGCAUAUAAACCAAUUACAUUAAUUUGAUUAGAUUUUAGUUUUCAAUGUGAAAUAGUUAUCAUUUGUAGUGAAUUUGAGGAAAUAGUAAUUAUUUGUAGUCAGGGAUAUUAGUUAAUGUUCAAAAUGAGAGACUAAUUUGUGGUCUUAGAAAAUGAGAAUAAUUUUUGUCAAGUUUUUAUUUAUUUAUUUAUUUGGAUAACCCAAAUGCCAAAAAUAUAUGUUCAUUUCAAUAUUUAAUAACAAUAAAAAUAAAAUUAGAAAAUAAACGCAUUUUUAUUAUGGUUACAUUUUACAUUUUACUAAACUUUUGCCCAUUUUAUUACUAGCCAAAAUAAAAUAAAAUGUAUUGAAAAUUAUUAUUAUUAUUAUUUGUGGUUUUCUCAAUAAUAAAAUAGAACCUAAUAACUUUGUUAUUAAUAGAAUUAAAAUUUAAAAUACUAAAAAAUUAAAGAGGGAAUGAAGAAUGCGAGAAAUGAUAUGAACAAUGUAAGGAUUAUCAUAUUUUUCAUACAAUUUCUCACAUUCUUUGUAAUUUUAUAAUUUUUUUUUCAGUUAAAAAUAUAAUAAUAUUGUUUAUCCAUAUUAAUUAAGCUUGGAAAUGAUGAAAAUUAUCAUUAAUAAAACAUUAAAUAAUUGUAACUAAAUAAUUGUAGAUGGUAGAAUAAGAAGAAUGUGAGGAAUGAUACAUGAGGAAUCCUUACAUUUUAAUUGGAGAGGGUACGAUCACAUACGAAGAAUGUUAUAAAAAAGUAUGAACAAUAUGAAAAUUCUUCACAUUUUUUUUGUCAUUCCCACAUUCUUGGUACCGUCCAAAAUUUUCUAUUUUUUUAUUUUAAGAAUUUUUUUUCCACUUCCCAAAAAUACUUUCUAUAUUUAAUCCAGUCUUCUCCAUAAAAAAAAUUACAAUUAAUAAUACAAUUUUUAAUUAAUAAUUGAUUGAUCAUAAUUCUAAUUUAAUAAUAAAUACUCAUUUUAAGUUAAUUAUAAAUGAUUUUUUCACGAGGUCUUAGUGUUUAAAAUUUAUAUCAUAAAAGGAUACAAUACUUCUUUGAAGACAUGGAUGCAAAACAAGAAGAGGAUAAGAAGGUAAGCAAUCGGAUUGCGGAAACAAGAGAAGUCGCCUACAAUGCUGAGGAUGCUAUUGAAAAUUAUAAUCUCCGUGAUUUUGCUAGUAAAUGGACCCUGAAAAGAAAAUUGACUUGGUUCUGAUUCCUCUAUUUUUUUAAGAAUACCGAGUCGGGUUCUUCUCCUACCCGUAUUGAAUAGAACAUGCUGAGGCAAAUCUUCUUCACUGCUUGCUUUAGAUCGGGAAAAUCGUAUCGAAUGUUGGAUCUGAGAUUGAGAGUAUUCAAAAAAAAAUAUCUCUGACCUUACAAGAAGUUUAGAAACCUAUGGCAUUAAAGCUGUGAAAGUCUGUGAAAGCUUGACUCGGGCCGUGAAUGUCAACAGACGUAAUCUUAUUCUCAUGUUAACAAAGAGGAUGUUGUUGGGUUGGAUGGUGAAUGAUGAAAGUUGUCUGGUUAUUUCUAGUUGCGGUAUGGGUGGUUUGAGGACACGAGUGUUACGAAUUACUUCCAAGGUUUUUCUUGGGCAUAUAUAUAUCCUGACGAUGCCGCGAAAUCAUGUUUGAAAAGUGGCAACAUGUUUCUUGAUAUUAAACCUAAUUUUGCAGUUCAAACAUAUCCAAAUUACAUCCUAAAUUGAUUUGAGUAUCUUUGAUAAUAAUUUUAAACACUAAGAAGGUUAUAGGGGUUUUAAUAUUUGAAAUAUAAAAAUUUUUAAAUGUUAGAAAAGUUAGAAAUAUUUUUUUAAAAUCAUUGUUAAAUGUCCUAUUUAAAAAAAACAUUUAUAAUCCAAAAAGUGUUUUAAAGAAAAACAAGGUAUUUAGUAAAAAUAUUUAAGAAAUAUUUAAAAAAAUUUUAAAAAUCAAUUAUAGUGUUGAAAAAACAUUUAUAAUAUUUUUUAGAUAAAGAUAUGUAAUUAUCCUUAAAACAUUAAGGUUAUGUUUGGUUCCCGGAAAAUACUAAGGAAAGAAAAAAAAUGCAAAGGAAAAUAAUUUUUUUAUGUUUGGUUGUCCUAUGAAAAAUAUCAAAGAAAAUCAAAUAUGAUUAAAACUAAUUAAAAACUUAUGUAUUUUUAAAUUAUUUAAUCUUUAUAUUGAUGAGUUAAAAUAAAUAAAAUGAGUUUAAAGUAACAAAAAAAAUAAUUUAUCAACUUUUAAUCUAUUUUUUUAUUUUCCUUCACUUUUUCUUUUCCUCUGCUUUUCCUUUGUAUUUUCUUUCCCUUGCAUUUUCCUUCAAAGUUUUUGGGAACCAAACAUAGCCUAAAGAGAAAAUAUUUCUGCUAAAAACACUUCAAAUGUACUCGAAUGAUCAUCAAUUGUUUAGCAAAUAAUUUCAUGAUUUUGAAAUGUUACAUGAAUUAUUUGACAAGGACAUAGCACCUACAACUGCAUUAAAAAGCUUGAAAAAUAAGGUCCCUCCAUUUAACAAUGGAAGAAAAUGUGAAAUCAUAUAUCAAAUUAAUAAGCUCAUGUCAUAAAACACAGGUAGUCAUGAAAAUUUUAAUAAAUUAUUUAGUUGAAAAGUCAAAUCUUCUUUGUGUACACUCAAAGGUCUUGCGUUCCAUGAUUCAAAUUUUAUUUAUUUUUAUCUUAAAAUAAGAAGUUGAAGUUAAAAUAAUUUAGGUCAUUGAUUAAUCUUCAAACAAUUAAUAAUAUUUGUCAUUUAAGUUUUUAGUAAAUGAUGUUUUUAAUUAAUAUUGUUAUAAUGGAUUUAUAUAAUCUUCAUAAUUGAAUUUAUUUAUUAAUUAAAUAAGAUUUCUUUGGAUCUCUCUUGUAAUACCAAAUAUGGAAAUAACUAAUAUUGAGAGUUUUGGAUCAGUGAUUGAUGUGAUACUUAUGUGAUUCGAAGCUAUAUUAAACAUAAAUUUUAAAAAACGACUUAAAAAUUAUAUUUUUAUAUUCCAAUGGCUCUCAAGAGACACGUGACAUGUUUUUUGCACAUAAUUAUUUCAAUUUAUCAUAUCUUUUUUUUUUAACUUGAAAUUAUGAUCCGUUUGAAACAUUAGAUUCAUGACUUCUUGAGUAUCAAAAUCAUAUGUAAUUUGGUGUGAUAAGAGGGUUUAUGGUUGGACAUUUGAAUCCAAACUUCCAAUAUUGAUCUCUUAUAGGAUAUUUUGCUUAUAAUUUUUCUUUAAAAACGACACAAAGAAAAACUGCAAAUGAGAGAGGAGAAAGCCAUAAACAUGGCUUGUCACAUUUAUUGCAACACAUUGCACACACGUACACACGGAUAAGAGUCCUGGGCCACCACGUGUCACCAAAUCAGAGACUCUGAGGGCAUUAUUUACUACAACAUAAACAAGAAAGCAAAAAACAUAGAAUUACAAACACACCCCUCUCUUCCAGCUGCUGGCCGUCACCUCCAUUCACAUGAUGACUUGUAGGCACGAGUCCCAAGGGUAGGUAGUUAGCGACUUAGCAGUGGCGGUGGUGGGGAGGGCCGUGCGGACCGGGAUGACAAUGAGGUCCCGGAGGAGGAGGGCAGUGGUGAGGAGGGCCGUGGUGAGGAGGGCCGUGGUGAGGAGGGCCAUGGUGAGGAGGGCCGUGGUGAGGAGGGCCGUGGUGAGGAGGGGGGCACAGCUGAGGGGGCGGCGGACCGUGGUGGUGGGGAGGUGGUGGACCAUGGUGCGGAGGGCAAUGGGGCGGGGGCGGAUGUCCGUGGUGGUGGUGGUGGUCGUGGUGCGGGUCGUGUGGUGGAUGAUGCAUCUUCUCUUCUUCUUCGAGGAAGUUGUGUUGUGGCGAAGGGUUGAAGGGAGCUUCUCAAUUUAUAGAAGCAAAGCUAACUUUCAUACUAUGUCUAGUCUUUUUUUAACUGCGAGUCAAACCUUCAUUUUUUUAUUUUUUAGACGGUGUCACCUACUAUAAUUAUUUAUUUAUUAAUGUAGAAAAUCCGCGUGAGGAUAAAAGCCAUGUGAGUUCUGAUGGGGCAUUGUCAGGGCCCCUGCAAGUCUCCGUCACCUCCGCAAUUCAAUCUCGCAUUCACAUUGAUGUAUUAGGGUUUUGGCCCACAAUAAUUAAUAAAAAAAAUCAUAUUAAUACUGACAUGUAAAAUGAUUCUCAAUUUAAUCCUUCUUUAUACAUGAAUUGUCGCCACCAUAAACCUUUUUUUUCCGAAGCUUCUUUUCUAUUGAUGUAUUAGGGUUUUGGCCCACAAUAAUUAAUAAAAAAAAUCAUAUUAAUACUGACCUGUAAAAUGAUUCUCAAUUUAAUCCUUCUUUAUACAUGAAUUGUCGCCACCAUAAACCUUUUUUUUCGAAGCUUCUUUUCUAUUGAUGUAUUAGGGUUUUGGCCCACAAUAAUUAAUAAAAAAAAUCAUAUUAAUACUGACCUGUAAAAUGAUUCUCAAUUUAAUCCUCCUUUAUACAUGAAUUGUCGCCGCCAUAAACUUUUUUUUUUUUAAGCUUCUUUUCUAUUUUUCUAAUUAAUAAUUACCUAACCAUGUGGCCAAUCUAGAUUAAAUUAUACAUUUUUUAAAAUCAAAUAAUAUUUGUAACAUUUGGCGUACAAUCCUAUAAAUAUUAUCUCAUUUAGAUUUAAAAUUGACAAUAUUUAUACAGUUGGAUGCAAGUUGUUAUUAAGAGUUUAUUUAGCUCCAUGAGGGAUAUUUGUCUAUUUGACAUAUAAUCUCAUUUAAAAGAUGUUUGUAAUAUACUAUAUUGGAUGUGAAAGAAAAUUAUUUACACAAUAUAAAUAUGAACUCCUUUAAAUCACUUAGACAUAUUUUGAAGUCAUAAGAACCCCUUUAAGCUCAAGAUGAACAUUAUUUAUACGAUUAAGUGCGAAUUAUUACAAAUUAUAUUAAAGUCAGUCCAAUAAUCCUCAAUUUCAAUGUAGGGGGUUUGUUUGGAACUCUUUUUAAAAAUAAAUUUAUGAUAUUAAAAAGUAGAAAAUUGAAAAAUAAAAAAUAAUGUUUGGAGAACUUUGGAUGAAAUUAGGAUGUUUGAAUUCUUUUUCUUGUUUUAAUUUAUUUUUAAAAAUAAUUAUAUAAAUAAAGAAUAAUUUAAAACAAAGUACAGUAAAUAAAAACUAUUUUCAAAAAAUAAGAAAACCAUGCUGAGAAUAUCGUAAGUUUUGAAAUAAAUUUGUCUUUAAAAACUAUUUUAUAAUCUUUGUAAAACAAAAGUUUUUUUUGACUACUUGAAACGUAGAUUGCAAGCUUAUGUCCUACGCGAGGAGGGAAACCUUCUAGAACUCGUGGACCCAAUUCUCGGUUCUAACUACUCAGAAGAAGAGGCAGCAAGGCUGCUGAAUUUUGCUCUCUUAUGCACCGGUCCAUCUCCCACUCUCAGGCCAAUAUCCGUGUCUUCUGUGUUGUCCAAGGCAAAAUCGCUGUCCAAGCACCAAUAGUCAAGAAGUGCUCAAUGAACCAGGACAUGAGGUUCAAAGCCUUUGAGAGGCUGUCACAGGACAGCCUAUCUCAUGUCUCGGCAUUCUCCCAAGAAAGCCAGGUGCAAGGCAGCAUAUCAAUGAACGGGCCAUGGAGCUGCAUAGAAAACUUGGAUUCUCUAUGGCAUAAAUUUCCUGGGAAUUCAUCCUUAAACUCACUUGCAUUUAUAAAAUAAUAAUUUAAUGAUAAAAAAACGGAGUUCAACUUUUCAAAGCUUUUCCUCUUACAUCCCCUCCCCCUUCUCCUCUUAAAUGCUCGAAUUUAUUCAAUUAAGAGCUCUUUGAUAGUAAUUAUGAAAAAUAUUUUUAAUAUUUUCAAUACUUAAAUUUUUUUAUCAUUUAAGCGUUAAAAGUUCAACUUUUCAAAGCUUUUCCUCUUACACCCACACCCCCACAUUCCCCUCUUAAACGCUCCAACUCAUUCAAUUAAGAGUCCAUUUGAUAGUGAUUAUGGAAAACAUUUUUAAUAUUUUCAAUGCUUAAAAUUUUUUAUUAUUUAAGUAUUAAAAAUACUAAAAACAUUUUUUAAAAUAACUUCCAAACACCCUCUUAGUAUAAAGCAAACUAGUCAAUCAAGAGUUGCUAUUGACAAAAAAUUUUAAAAAUAAGUAAUGAGCAAUAAGUUGAAAACAAACAAUCUAAUGUUUGAAAACAAAUAAUAUUCAAAUUAAGUUAAAAAAAAAAAAAGCAAAUACCAUUGUGAUGUUUGAUAAAAUUUAAUACUUAUUAUUUAAUGGUUUAAGUCAAAUCAUUCUUAAGAUAUUAACUUAAAAUUUAUUAUUUACUUUUUAUUUUAAUCAUUAAGAUUGUUUGACAGAAUUAACUUAAAAUUUAUUUUUAAUCGUCAAAUUAAUAUAUUUACCUUUGUUAAUUUUAAUUAAAAUUAAUCUUCAUUCAUUUUAACUUAUUUAUUUUCAUUAAUUUUAAGCAAUAAAUUUCUUUAUAAAACAUCUAUAUUUAAGGUAUCAUAGAUACAUAAAAUAACCAUAACAUAUUUAUUAUAAGAAAUAAAUCAUGGAUGUGGAAUCAUAAUUUUAAAAUAUAUUCUUAUUGGCAUGAGCAAAAAAAAAAAAAAAAAAAUAAAUUAACUAUUUUAACUUAAUCCUUAAAGUUAAACAUGAUUAACUUUAAGUUGUAAUAUUAAAUUGUUUUAUCAAACAUGAUUAAUUUGUUUAAUGACUUAAAUUAAGUUGUUAAGUUGAUUUACCAAACAUCCUCUAGUUAUUGACUUUAAACUUAUUGCUUAAUUUUUAUUUUAAAAUAUUAAGGUUGUAUGAUGAAAUUCAUUUAAAGUUUAUUCUAUAUCAUCAAAUUAGCAUAUUUACCCUUGUUAAUUUUAACUAAUAUUUAUAUUUUCAUUAAUGUUAAGAAAUCAAUUUAUUCAUUAAAAAUUAAUAUUUAAAGUAUUGUACAUAUAUAAAAUAACUACAAAAAUAUUUACCCUCCAAAGAUGAGUUGCAAAUAUAGAGUUAUAGUUAUAAAAUAUAUUUUACUAAAUAUGGGGAAUAUGAGAUAAAAGAGAUUUAAGAUUAAUAAUAAAUUGAUUAUUUUAAUUUAAUACUUAAUUUUAAAAAAUUUAAGUAGUAAUAUUAAGUUAUUUUACCAAAUAUGUUUAAUUUACUUAAUGACUUAAAUUGAUUAUUUAAGUCAUAUUAAAUCAUUAAAUUAAUUUUUUAAAUACCCCUUAAAGAGGUAUUUAUUUAUUUUUACUUAAAUAUAAAUAUAACUUAAUUUUAGAUACAACUUAAUAGUAUUAAAUAUUAAAUUAUUUAUUUUUUAUUAUUUUAUUUCUAUUAAGUAUUAAAUAUUAAUAAGGCGAGGGUCAUAUUAAAAUCAUGUUUUAAUUGUUUCAAAAAGUUAUUUUUAAUAUUAAGGAAAAAGUCAAAAUAUUUUGGAUUUUUCUAUUUAGUCAAUUUUUUUUUAAAAAAUAAGUAAUAAGUAAAAAAAAAAAUUAAAAACAAAUCAUUUAAAGUCUAGAUGCAAAUUGCAUUCAACAUUAAGUUAAAAAAAAAAAACGAAUACCACCUCGAACUCUUAUUAUCAAACUCAAAUAGUUAAUUUUUAAUGCUUUUUGGUUUGCAUGCCCAAUUUUAAGUUAGGCAUUUUAUAUUUUUCUUAACAAAAAAAAAAUGAUUUUCUAAAUUAAAUUGAAUGGCAUUGACCUAAACCAAUUUAGUUAGUUAUUGUCUAUGAAUCUAAUUGGACUAAACAACUUGAAUUUCAUUUGAGAUUUGGUCAGUAUGAUUCUCAGUGCAUCUAAACCAAUUACAUUAAUUUGAUUAGAUUUAGUUUUCAAUGUGAAAUAGUUAUCAUUUGUAUUCAAUUUGAAUUUAUUAGUUAAUGUUCAAAAUGAGAGAUUAAUUUGUGGUCUUAGAAAAUGAGAGUAGUUUUUGUCAAGUUUUAUUUUUAUAUUUGGAUAACCCAAAUGCCAAAAAUAUAUGUUCAUUUCAAUGUUUAAUAACAAUAAAAAUAAAAUUAGAAAAUAAACAUAUUUUUUAUUAUGGUUACAUUUUACAUGAACUUCUUUAUUUAUUUAUUUAUUUUAUAGCCAAAAGUUACAUUUAACUCAUAAAAACAUGAUACAUUUUAAUAUUUACAUUGAAAUUAAAAGUGGAGGAAAAAAUCUUAAAGUAUUUUUUAUAUUUUUUAUUUUAAUUAUUAUUAUUAUUUAAGAUGUCAAUAGUCUUAAUUUUAUUGUUAAAAAAUUAUUUUUACAAAAGUUUCUCAAACAUAUUUGUUAAGCAAGAAAGAAAACUUUUCUUGUUUAUAAAAUAAAAUAGAAAAUUGUUAGAAAAGAGUAAAGACAAUUUCCUUUAUGUUUGGUUAGAACGGAUGAGGCAAAAAGGAGCAAAUAAGAAGGGUAAAACCGUCAGAACAAAUUGGUUAUUUCUAUUUGCGGUAUGGGUGGUUUGGGGAAGACCACUUUGCCCAGAAGGUUUAGCAUGACACCAGUGCAACGAAUUACUUCCAAGGUUUUUCUUGGGCAUAUAUAUAUAUAUAUAUAUAUAUCCCGACAAUGUCAAGCAAAAGAUGUCCAAGUAAUUUUAUUUGAUCUCCUCCGUCCAAACAAAAGUAAAGAGGAAGAGAUGUUACAAAUGUGAUAGACUGAACUUGUUAGGAGAGUGUACGAAGUCCAAAUAAGAUAAAGAUAUUUAAUCAUUCUCAAUGAUGUUUGGACUAAAAAUGCUUGGAAAAGCCUAAGACUUGCAUUCUUAUUGAAACAAGGAGGUUCCAAAAUACUGCUCACUACACGGAAUAAAAAUGUAGCCAUGCAUGCAGAUAUAAAAGGCUUUAUUUAAGAAACUGUGUAGCCAUGUAUGCAAAUACAAAAGACUUCAUUUAUGAACCUCAGUGCUUGACUCUUGAAAUGAGUUUGGAGCUGCUCAAGAAAGCAAUAUUUCUAAGAGGCAGUCCAGGUAUGUAUCUUGAGUCACUCCGCUCUCUAUAUAAAUUGAGCUAUAUUCCAUUAUUAAUUUUUUUGUGACAUAAGGCUUCCAUUGAAUUUCAAUUGUUUAGACAAUUAAUAUCAGCUAGUUUGUUCUUUCUUUGAUUUUCAGAUUUUACACGGGAAAGUCUAAGGAAGCAAAUUGUGACGGACUUAGGUUUCUCCUAAACUCACAUGCAAUAUUUAAACAAUUCAAUACAUUUGAUGUUGUUAAGUCGGUCUUCUCGUUGUACUUAACUUUUUAGGCUAAGUUAGGCACACGACUUGAAAUUUAAGAAAACCAAAGGCAACACUUAAACUAAAGGAAACUUGUAUUACACAAAUGAAUGCUUACAAUGACUAGAUGCUCUCACUUGUUUGGUGUCUUGAUCAAAUGAGACUCACCUAUUUAUUGACACUUUAAGAACUUAAAAUCUUGAAGGGUUCCUUACAAAUCAAGAAUUCUUUAGAACAUCCUACACAAGUCCUAUGCAUAAGUAUUUACAAAAAAUCUUUGAAACUCUCCAGCUCCAUACUCUUCUCUUGUCUUCUAGCUUAGUGUAGAGAUGCGUGAAUAUAUAUAUAUAUAUAUAUAUAUAUAUAUAUAUAUAUAUAUAUAUAUAUAUAUAUAUAUAUAUAUAGAAAGAUUCCUUAUUUUUCAAUCCGAGCCACCUAAGCUUCAACUAGAUGCUUUAUGUAAAAUUAUUUGUAUAUGCACUACAUCAAUGUAAAAGGUUGGAUCUCAUAUAAAUUUUCCUGUCUUAUAGUUUUAAUUUGAUAAAAUUAAAAUGGUAAUAAAACUUCAAUUAAACUAAAUCUGUGGACAAAUACUUUACAAUAAAAUUAUUUAAUAAUAACUAUUAAGUACACAAGUGUAUUAAAAUUAAAAGGAAAACUAGUUAUGAUACGAAGAAGAGAUUAAAAAACAGUUAAUGAUUUAUUGUCGAUGGUCCACCAUUGACAAUCAGCAACAAGUGGAAACGGCCCUGUACUUUUCAGGGUACUAUGAUACUAAUAUGAAACUUGAAAUGAAAAAUAAUAAUGAUGAUGAUAAAAAAAUUAUAAUUUUUGUUGAGAUAUAAGGAAUGUUGAGAUAUUAUGAUAUUAGUUGUUCUUUCCUUAUAUCAUUCUUUCAUUGUAUUAUUCUUUCCCAUUCUUAGACUGGUGAUUAUCCUCUAUAUAUACUCUGUAGAUGAACGAAUGAAAUAAUCAAUGAAAAACUACCAUUCAUCAAUUUGAAGAUGGUAUCAGAGCCAUGAAGCUGAAAUCCUGGAUAUUUUGUCAGUAAGGCCAACCAUCGCCCCUCCUUCGCGAUAAAAAAAAUAAAAAAAAAAUGAAUGAAAAAAAUACUAUUGUUUUUCAAUCUGAAGGUACUUUUAAUCCAUGAAUUAUUUUAACUGAAUCAAACUAUGAUAUUUAGUCACAACUCGUGGAGAUGCAUAUUGUCGAAUGGGAAAAACUUUCCUACAUUCGAGGUAAGACAAAUCCACCAAAAGAGUCAGAAGAUGGAUAUGAAAAAUGGUAUGCUGAAAAUCAAAAGGUGAAAAGAUGGUUGUUAAUGUCCAUGAGUCCAGAAAUUAUGAAACGUUACUUAAGCUUACUGUAGACCCCUAUUUGGGUGCUAUUUCAUGCAGCUCAUUCUGGCCACAUGUCACUCCCGGAUUAGUCAAUAUGGGAUCACUAUAGUGGAAUUGAUGGACUAAUCAGGGGAAGACACCUGUAAAGGGAAAGAAUCUUCUAGAAGGGAAAAAGGUUUUCUGUUAUGGGAAGGUGGCAGAGCAGCUGCAGGGGGAAGAGCAUUUUUGGCUGCAGGGUGAUGGUUACUGGCAGAGAGCUGCAGGAGGGCAGGUGCUUUUGGGGACGUGUUGGAGGAGGCCGUUAGGGAUUUUUUUUGGAGAGUUUAGAGAGACAUUCUUGAGGGGCAAGCUGGAUAUGCAGAGAGGGGAGAGAAAAACGAAAGGAAAAAUCAGAAGAGAGAGGUACUUGGGCUGCUGAAAGGAUUGCCAAGGGAGUCCAGAGGGAGUUUCCAUUAGAGAGGGAGUUGAGAGCUGUUAUUGAGAUAACAGAGGAGGGUUUUUGACCAAGGGUAGAGGAAGCUUAAGUUGCAAAGGAGUGAUAGCAGAGAGCUUUGGGAAAAGAAGUGGUUCCUGGAGCUGCAGAGGAGGUUUUUCUGGAGAGUAUUCCUGGAGCUUAGGCUACUACGGAGGGAAGGCUUAGAGGAGAUAUUCUCUGAUAGCAAGAAGAGGAAACUUUCAGCGCAUUCGCGAUUGCCGCCCAGGUACGCAUCUAUUCAUAUUUUGCUCAUUCUUUAUACAUGCUUUGCUUCUCACAUGUGCAUGAUCACUCUGAGUAUUCAUUGAUUCCCGCAUCAAUUGCUAUGAUUGCUUCAUUUUAUUAUUAAAGACCCGACUUUAUGGACUUAGAGGGGUGCUACGGUCGUUACCGUAUCUUCCCGAUAAGUAACCUGACCCCCGAACCCGAUCCGGUUUUUCGUAGAUUACCUUUUCCAAAAUAAGGAGUCGCACUUAGGGUUUUCUUUCUUAUUUUGUUUACCCUUUUAAAAAAUAAAAAAAUAAGUGGCGACUCCAAGUCAUUUUUCUUAAUCAAUAAAAAUCAUUUUUCAAAUUAAAAUCGAGCUCGCCAUCAAGUGGGAAAAGCAUUGAGCCGAAAUACGGGGUCCACGAAAUCGGCCAUCUUCUUGUCAUGUCAGUUCAGUUUCUAGGACCGCACCUAUACAAUCGGUCAUCAUCUUAUUAGUUUGAGUCGGGGCCGCACCUAUACGAUCGGUCAUCUUCCUGUCAUGUCAGUUCAGUUUCUGGGACCGCACCUAUACGAUCGGUCAUCAUCUUAUCAGUUUGAGUCAGGGCCGCACCUAUACGAUCGGUCAUCAUCUUAUCAGUUUGAGUCGGGGCCGCACCUAUACGAUCGGCCAUCUUCCUGUCAUGUCAGUUCAGUUUCUAAGACCGCACCUAUACGAUCGGUCAUCAUCUUAUCAGUUUGAGUCGGGGCCGCACCUAUACGAUCGGUCAUCAUCUUAUCAGUUUGAGUCGGGACCACACCCAUAUAGAUCGGUCAUUCAUUCUUCCUAUCAGGUCAGUUCGGCGUCCAGGUCUUUGCUUCAGUAUGACAUUCAGGGUCACAUUUCCAUUUUGGGCGUUCAGAUUCAUUUUCUUCCCCUUGUUACCUUAUGCUUAUCGUUUCAUCAUUGCUCUUCUAGACUUCCCCUUCCAUUGCACAUGACAUAGUUCUUUGAGUUCGUGACACAUACUUUUGUCAUGUUAUUAGGCACCCUACACCCAGCAUUCUCGUAUAGCUCACCUAGGGCAGUCUCCUUUGAGCGUAGUCUUUUCUAUACUCUAGGGUGGUUCAACCGUUACUCAUCUUUGACAUCGAUCCUUGAGUCACUUUUGGAGACGUCUUAGAAGGAGCUUGGAUCCUUAGUGUGGCUUCAGAGGCAUUUUGAGACAUCUUUUUCUUUUAAGAUUAGAGCCUUUGUGUUCAUCUGUUAGUCUGAGUGAGUUUAUAUCUCACUAGUGUCCCUAUGGGGGUCUCCUUGGUUUUUCGGUAGAGUUCACUUCAUUGCACUCACUAUUCACACUUACUUUUCACUCCAGUGUUCAUGUUCUUCACACUCGUGAACUCUACCGAAGAGGGGCAUAUUUGUAGACCCCCUUUUAGGUCAUUCCUACCUUGCAGCUCAAUUUAACCACGUGGAAGAGCCUUGGUCAGCCACGUGUCAACACCUGAGAAGCCAUGAGAGAAUCAUAAUAGUGGUUUGGGGAGCCAAUCAGGAGGUGACGCGUACAUGGGAAUAUACUGGCCGUUAGAAGAGCAGAUGCUGGCAGCUGGUGGCAGCUAGAGGUGAGGUGCUUUUGGAGAGGUUUGCCAGCUGCAGGAAGGGUGUCGUCUGGCAGAGUGGAAGGAGGUACCUGGGCUGCUGGCAGGAGCUCUCUGAGCAGGCCGUUGGAGAUAUUUUGAAAAAGGAGGCUUUUCUGAGGGUCUCCAGGAUGGUCUGGGGAGAGGCGGGGGAGAGAUUUUUUUCAAGGAUAUUUUAGUUUCAGAGUUUUCCGGAGAGAACAGAGAGCUAGAGGGAGAGAAGAGAAAAGAAAAAGAAAGAAAUCAGAGGAGAGGGAGAUACCUGAAAAAGGAAGAGAAAAUGAGAGGAGAGCUUUAGAAAGAGGAGGAUAAGAGUUCUUGAGAGUUGAAAAAAAGGCUUAGAGGGGAUUAGCUAGAGAAGAGGGGAGAGCUUUCACAGGAGGUCAAGACAAAGGUGAGAGCAGAGUGUGAUAUUUUUUUGAGGAGGCUACCGGAGAUAUUUGGGGGAUUCUUUGCUUUCCGGUGAGGCAGGGAGAUAUUUGAGAGAACAUCUUCUUAGCUAGAAGAAAAGAACGGAGACAGAGGAGGGAGGAAGCAUCCUCAGGUACCUUCAUCGUGGAUUCCCUGUUAGUUUCUAUCGGUAUGUUUUUCUAUUCUGUUUCCGCUGAUUCUUAGAUGAUGUUUAUUGAUUAGGAGUGAGCAUGUUGAUAUUUUGCUCAUGGUCUUUUUGUAGUUUGAUUUGCUCUUGUUUUGUUCUUUUCAUGAGAUAUUUCCGUAACAGUGUUCUAUCUUUUAUUUGAUACUCGUUUGAUUUCACCCACCCUCACGAGCUCAUUGAUUGAUAUAUGAAAUGAGGCUUGAGUGAGUUCAUGUUGUUCCUAUUGCUUGCACUCUGUUUUUGCUGUCCGCCCUGUUUCUGGUACCCAUACCUGGAGUGCAUUAUUUUUCUCAUUUCUACCUUUGGAAGUAAGGAAUUACAGAGGGUCAUUCUCAGUAGGAGAGUGCUUGGUGAACACUUAGGCACAAAGAUGACAUGUUCAUCAGGGUAGGAAGGCCCUGAGUGUGCAGUUGCUGGGUUGAUUCAUUGCCUGAUAUUAUUGCCAUGCGACACAAGAAAGGUUGUCUCAUCAUUUGAAAAGAAUCUUGCCUGGCAAAAGGCUCUUUGACUAUGGGACUGACGAGUCUUAACCGGAGUUAUGCUCAUCCGUGCAUGGUUAUGAAAUACCAGAUGUGACUGUGUAACAUUGAGGUGUCUCACCUGUGGUAUUGAAGGAGCUAGAAACAGAAAUAUUAGAAGCCUAUGAGCAGGCUCCGGAGUCAGAUAAAUGCUGCGCGGGGUAUACCGUCUAAACAAUCAUCAUGGAUCGGGCCUUGAAAAUUCUUGGGUCAUGGCAAGCCUAGCACCAGAAGGUUUAUGAUUUGACGCUCGUAAUUGUGAUGCUAAAACGGAUGAAUGCGUUUAAUGGAUGGACGGAAUUUCUUCAUAUCUCAUGAUGAGAUCUUAAGAUAAUUUUGAUGCUAUGGGUUUGCAAGAAAGCCGUCUCCGAGCAGCCUGUUUGUGAAUUGGUAGAAUGUCAAACCUCGAUUGCAUGUAGCUUGUAAUCCCGGAGCAGAAUAAUUCACAAUGAGAGGGAAAAUGGAGGAAUUUCUGAUAGACCUAAUGUUGCUGUGGGUGUCUUCCAUAAGUAUUUUUGAAGUCGCAGGACUCUUAUUUCUUGAAUAUCCAGGUCUGGUCGCCUAUUCUUACAGACAUCUAAGGAGCUUGAGAGGAUGGAAAUAGGAUUGCCGGAACGUGGCAGGAUGGUGAUAGGAAACAUUCACCACUGUCAUUACUGUUGAGGGCCACGUGUUGACCAUUAUAUCUUUGCUUGAACUAUUACUGUUUCUGCUAAUUGAGGUGUCAUGCAGCACUGAAUCUCCACACCCAGGUUGAGGUUUAGAUCUUGGGGGACUGCCGAAACUUGCCGGAAAAAAUAUGACAAGGUAACCUCAUACAAACCCUUCUCUCAUAUUAUCCAUCUUCAUUCUUCCCACAUCACCUGCCCAUGUCCUCUCAUCACCUUUCCAAUUUCACACCUCCCCGCACCCGUGACCUUACUCGCAGCUAAACCCAUAAAUCCUUUCUCUCACUACUUCCCUUCCUCCAUCUCUGCAUGCAUGGCUGCUCUACCUCUUUGUGGCGAGACCUAGAAUAUAAAAGCAUCCGAUUGGAAAGUUUGCAAGCUGGGCUUAAAUGGUUUUCCAGAGGAUAAAUCCUUAAAUGGACCCUGUUCCCGUCCGUCGCUCUCGAUCUUCGUGGAAAAUGAAAGCGGGGUCACAUUUGAAACUUCCAAAGUGUCUCAUCUCAGUGCACCAGAAAUGGGUUUUCUAAAGGACAUGUGGAAUCCAUGGUGAUCUCUUGAUAUUGGAUCUUCACGGGAAUAAUAGGAUUGGUCUGUCACGGACCUUUCCUACUGUUGCAGUUCAACAUAAUUGCACCCCUGGGACCCACUUGUGCAUGAACUGCAUGGCCAUCUUCAGGCCACCUGUCUUUCUGCCAUUGCUCUCUCUUAUUUCCUUAUUAUUUAAUUUUGAAAAUAAUUCUUCCAGACCCCAUUUUGUAAAUAACCUUUUUCAAAUUGUGGUUUUUCAAAUAAUUCCAACUCUCCUUAGUUUUUCGUCCUUAGUUUUUUUUUAGGUCCCCAAAAUCACUUUUUUAAUCAAAUUUGCUUCCAAUUCCUAUUCGGCAAGCAAUUUUCAAAUUUAUUUUGGUAUUUUAAAACGUUUUAAAAUAAAUAUGAAUUUAAAUUCCGUAAUCCGGACUAAUGGAAUUUAUGGAAUUAAUUCAUGCAAAAUAAAACGGGCUUUGGUGGGGGCCCCACAUAGGUGAUUUUAUAAUUGAUUGAUUGAUUGUUUGACUGAUUUACUUAUCAUGCAUGAUUGAUUUAAUCUAUUCCUUGAUAUGCGCUUCACUAUAUUUGUUCAUUGUUCACUGAUCCUGCUUCAUGAUAGCGCAUUUGUCACUGAGGAUCCAAGUACGCACCUACUUUCACUCUGGUAAUUAUCCUCUAUUGCAUAUUCUGACACUCAUAUGUGCAUGAUUGAUUCAGGUAUUCAUUGAUUUCUUUAUUAGAUGCCACGAUUGCUUCAUUUUAUUAGUAGAGACCCGACUUUAGGGACUUAGAGGGGUGUCUUUUACCGUACCUUCCCGAUAAGUAAUCUGACCCCCGAACUCGAUCCGGUUUUUCGCAGACCACCUUUUCCAAAACAAGGAGUCACACUUAGGGUUUUUCUUUCUUAUUUUGUUUACCCUUAAAAAAUAAAACAAAAAUAAGUGGCGACUCCAAGUCAAUUUUCAAACAAUAAAUAAAAAAUCAUUUUCAAAUAAAAAUCAAGCUCACCAUUCGAGUGGGAAACGCAUUGAGCCGAAAUGCGGGGUCCACAUUUACCCACUGCUCAAGAAAUUUGGAGUGCAUUAUCAAAGGUCUUCUAUGAUGGAAGUGAUGAAUUACAAGUUUUCACUUUGAAUCAAAAAGCCUUCACUGCCAAACAAAAUGGCAGGUCUCUUUCUGAAUAUCAUGGAGAGCUAACUGAAAUUUUUUGCGAAUUAGAUCAUCGGGAUAAGGUAGUCAUGAAAGACUCUGACAUUGCAGCAUACUAGAAAUCCCUUGAACAACAACGAGUGCACAUCUUUCUUGUUGGAUUGGAUGGUGACUUUGAGCAAGUUUGAGGAGAGAUUUUAGGCAAAGAUCAUCUUCCCAAUUUGGAAGAAUGUUAUACACUGAUUCAACGAGAGGCAGUGCGUUAUGCUAGUAUGAAAGUAGAAUCUGACAACCUUGACACCUCAACUAUGGUAGUCCAACAGCGAUCAACCUAGAAUUGGCAUAACCAAUCUAAGACCAACCAUCCUAAGACAGACCCUAAUAUUAAUAAGUCAACCUUCAAAUGCACUCACUGCAAUAAGACUGGUCAUACCAAGAGUCGUUGCUUUGAAAUUGUGGGAUAUCCAGACUGGUAGGAUCAUAAUCGUGAUCAACGGAAGAAGGAUUCCAAGAAAACCUCGACUGCAGCUGUUGCCGAAAUAAAAACAGAGGCUAAUGUUGCUAAGAAAGCCUCUGCAUUGGUAGCCGCUACAGAUUAUGGUGGUAAGUUUUUAAAUACUUCUACACCUGUUAUUAAUAGUGCAUGGAUAAUUGAUUUUAGUGCUACAGAUCAUAUGACUUUUGAUUCUAGACAGGUCUCACCCCUUAGACAUUCCCUACAAAAAAUUGUUUCCACAACCAAUGGUAACACAACCCCAGUCAUUGGGGAAUGAUCCUUAACUCUUACUGAUACUUUGAAUUUGGAUUAUGUUUUAAUUGUUCUAUCUUUAGAUUACAAUCUUUUAUUAAUUUCUCAAAUCAGUACAACCUUAUCUUGUAUUGUCAUUUUUUGGCCUGAAUUUUGUAUUUUUAAGGACAUCCAAAUAAGAUAGACGAUUGAUUGUGGUAUUAAGCAGGGAAAACUCUAUUACUUGGACUUGCAAUCAAAGGAUUCAAAUAAGUUACGACAAGCCUUGAUGACAGAUGGAUCUGAGGGGGAGAAGAAAAAGUUUGAAAUUUGGUUGUGGCAUCGACGUUUGGGGCAUGCUUCAUUUGGUUAUUUAAAAAAAUUGUUUCCUAGUUUGUUUGCAAAGAGUGAUAUUUCUGGUUUCCGUUGUGAUAUUUGUGAAUUGGCUAAAAGCCAUCGUGCUUCAUUUCCAUUAAUUUUGAAUAAAAGUCUGUUUCCUUUUAUGGUUAUACAUUCUGAUGUUUGGGGCCCAUCCAAAGUCUCAACUUUGAGUGGUUCGUGUUGGUUUGUUACUUUUAUUGAUGAUUGUACCAGAAUGACAUGGUUAUACUUGAUGAAGACCAAAGAUGAAGUGAACUUGUUGUUUCAAAAAUUUCAUAAAAUGAUUGAAACUCAGUACAAUGAAAAGGUUCGAGUUCUACGUAGCGAUAAUGGUGGAGAAUAUCAGAGUUCUAAUCUUCAAAAGUAUUUGGAAGGACAUGGCAUCAUUCAUCAGACUACUUGUUCCAAUACACCCCAACAAAAUGGAGUCGCUGAACGGAAAAAUCGUCACUUGUUAGAGGUUGUUUAUGCUUCCUUGAUAGCAGCAAAAAUACUGAUAUCUUAUUGGGGAGAAACAAUCACAUCUGUCGCAUACUUGAUCAAUCGGGUACCUUUUAGCUCAAUUAAAUUCCAAACACCUCUCCAAGCUCUUAGUAAUGUCGUAGUUGCCCCAACCUUCCCAAAUCUACUCCUCGUGUUUUUGGUUGCGUGGCAUUUGUGCAUCUACACAAACACCAACGCACCAAGUUAACUUCCCGUGCAUUGCAAUGUGUGUUUGUUGGAUAUGCAUUGCACAAAAAGAGAUAUCGAUGCUACCAUUCUCUAACUCGACGAAUGUUUAUUACAAUGGAUAUGGUGUUUCAUGAAGAUUCGAUGUAUUUUUCAUUUGAGUCUGAACUUCAGGGGAAGUACCAGAAGAAAAUUCAGACUCUCGAUUAUGAUUAUCAUAUCUCUGAGGAGGAUGAAUCUGGACAAUCUGAACUAGUGAACCAGGAAGCAGGUGAGUUGGAUAUGAGUGGUACAACUUUGGAACCAAGUAGUAAUGACCACNNNNNNNNNNNNNNNNNNNNNNNNNNNNNNNNNNNNNNNNNNNNNNNNNNNNNNNNNNNNNNNNNNNNNNNNNNNNNNNNNNNNNNNNNNNNNNNNNNNNAAUAGAGGUAUUCCUAAACCCACAUAUGAACUUGAAUUGUCUACCAAAGUCAAAUAUCCCAUCAACAACUAUGUGUCUAACCAUCGUUUGUCUGAAUCAAAUAAGUCAUUUGUAAAUCAAUUAUCUACUUUAGUUAUUCCUAAUAGUGUGCAGGAAGCCUUAGCUGAUCCAAGGUGGAAAGCAGCCAUGAAUGAAAAGAUGAAAUCAUUGCAGAAGAAUGAAACAUGGGAACGCGUAGAAUGUCCACCAGGAAAGAAGCCAGUUGGGUGUCGUUGGAUCUAUACUGUGAAGUACAAGGCAGAUGGUAGUAUUGAACGAUUUAAAGCAAAAUUGGUAGUAAAAGGGUACACUCAAACUUAUGGAAUUGACUACACAGACAUUUGCACCUAUAGCUAAGAUCAACACAAUUCGAGUAUUACCGUCUUUAGCUGCAAACCUGGAUUGGCCAUUACAACAGUUUGAUGUGAAAAAUGUCUUUAUGCAUGGCGAGUUAUCUGAAGAAGUAUAUAUGGAUCUUCCACCAGGAUACAUGGUGUCAGAAAAGCAAUAUCAGAAGGUGUGCAAAUUGAAGAAGUCAUUGUAUGGGUUGAAGCAAUCCCCGAGAGCAUGGUUUGGAAGGUUCACAAAGUCAAUGAGAGCUUUUGGUUAUCGUCAAAGUAAUUUAGAUCACACUUUGUUCCUAAAAAAGCAACAUGGUAAGAUUACAACACUCAUCGUAUAUGUGGAUGACAUGGUAGUUACAGGAAAUGAUCCUGAAGAAAGAAAAGCUUUAUAAAAUUAUCUAUCUAGAGAAUUCGAAAUGAAAGAUCUAGGUCAUCUGAAAUGCUUUCUUGGGAUUGAAGUUUCUCGAUCAAGUGAAUGAAUUUUUCUGUCUCAAAGAAAGUAUGCUUUAGAUCUUUUACAGGAGACUGGAAUGUCGAGAUGUCAACUUAUUGAUACACCAAUAGAAGAAGGUUUGAAAUUGUGUGUUGAGCUUAAUCAAAUAUCAACCAAUAAGGGAAGAUACUAAAGACUUGUGGGGAAAUUAAUGUACUUAGCUCAUACAAGACCAAAUUUUGCUUAUGCAUUGAGUGUAGUAAGUCAAUACAUGCAUAAUCCUGGAGAGCAACAUAUGAAUGCAGUUAUGCGUAUUUUAAGGUAUUUGAAGAAUGCUCCUGGAAAGGGAAUUUUGUUCACUAAAAAUGUUGAUCAUUAGAGUAUAGAAGUAUAUACUGAUAUUGAUUGGGCUGGUGUAGUGGAUGAUAGGCGAUCUACAUCUGGUUACUUUACCUUUGUAGGUGGUAAUCUUGUGACAUGGAAAAGUAAGAAGUAGAAUGUCGUCGCUCAUUCAAGUGCAAAAGCGAAAUUUAGGGGUAUGGCUCUAGGACUUUGUGAGGCAUUAUGGCUAAAACUCCUCUUAUAGGAUUUAGGUUACCUAUCUAGGCAACCAAUCCAAUUGUUUUGUGACAAUAAAGCCGCAUGUGAUAUUGCUGAUAAUCUAGUACAACAUGAUCGUACAAAGCAUGUCGAGGUGGACAAAUUCUUCAUUAAGGAGAAGUUGGAUGAUAAGAUUGUGGAAUUGCCUAAGAUUCGAUCAGAAAAUCAAUUGGUCGAUAUCCUCACCAAAGCUGCAGUCUCAAGUCGAGUGUUCUAAAAAAUUUUAGACAAGUUGGGCAUGUGUGAUGCACCAACUUGAGGGAGAGUGUUGAGAUAUUAGAAAUGUUUAGAUAUUAUGAAAGUUGAGAUAUUAGAAAUGUUGAGAUAUUAGGAUAUUAGUUGUUCUUUCCUUGUAUCAUUUUUUCUCAUUCUUAGAAUGGUGAUUACCUUCUAUAUAUACUCUGUACAUGAACGAAUGAAAUAAUCAAUGAAAAACUACCAUUCAUCAAUUUGAAGAAUUUUAGCAUUUUUUAAAUAAAUAAUAAAUAAAAACACCAUCUUUAAAGGCACCUCCAUUUUAGGUAGGUGCCCACUGAUAAUCACUUACAUGUUGAUUGGGCACUUGCAUGCUUAGGACGGUAUCUAGGAACACGUGUGAUGAGUGGCUCCAGAAUUAAAUGGAAAAUUCUAACGUAUCAAAAGGUGUAUCAUAUCAAAGUGUGGGGUGAGAAAUUAUUUGAGUUUAUAGGAAAAAAAAAUGGAUAGAAAGGAAUAUGAUAUAGAUUUUCUCAAGUUUUUCUUCAAUAUGGUUUUGUCCGAUCCAAGUCUGAUUAUUCUUUGUUUAUCAAAGGAUCUUGAUCUUUUUUGUUGCUUUAUUGGUUUAUGUGGAUGAUAUCAUCAUCACUGAUCCAAACACUCAACUGAUCCAGUUUUUGAAAACGUUUCUUCAUACUCAGUUUAAGCUUAAGGAGUUGGGAUGUUUGAAAUUGUUCAAUCUACCACAGGUAUUGUGUUAUCUCAAAGGCAUUACACGCUUCAACUCCUUGAAGGUGUAGGGACCCCUUCUCUGAUGACACGUGGCACGCACCUCUAUCCGGAUCGACCCUGGCCGUACCCCCCCAAGAGGACACGUGGCGCACACCUCUAUCCGGGUCCCCCAGGGAGGAGCACACGACACUCGCAAGCAUCAUGCCCGGACGGCAAUAUAUCCUACCCGGAUAUAUUGUCCAGAUCAUUGACUAUAGCGAGCAUGCCCUGCUGAGUCAUCCUCGAUAGCCUGCCACCACCCACGUUCCGCCACCUGCAGGGCGAAAGGACAGGAGCGAUGACAAGUCGCCUCCCACGAUCUCUGACAGCCGCCUGCAGGGUGAUGAUGACCCUGCCACCACCUUGAGGGCAUCAUGACGAGCCAAAAAGUCUUCCCACCAUUAAAGAGGGAAGUAGAGCUUCUGACACUAUAUAAAAGGGUCUUCACACAAGGAAGAAAGUAAGCUUGCUAUCCCUGAGAAGAGGCCGACAGCUUAAUCUCUAGAGCCAUGGCUAACAAAAUCAUCGGAGGGUGUGUCCGGACAUCCUGUUCGGACAUCUUUUGCAGGGACAACUGAGCUAGAACUCAAUCUUGGUUGACAGCGUGCGUCCACUUAGCAGCAACGUGGAUCCCUGGGACGCAAGACCUCAACAGAAGGUACUGGGUAUCUUACUUGUAAGCUGACAUCUGCUCCUAUGGAUCCUAAGGUUCAGCUCAGUGCUCAACCUCGGUUACCUCACUUGUAAGCUGUUCAUCACCUUUUUAAGUCCACUCUAGAUCAGGGCCUUUUCUUCUCUUCCUCAUCUUCUCUUCAGUUGAAAGCUUUUUUCAGAUACUAAUUGGGGCUCUUAUUUAAAUACCAAAAAAUCUAUCAUUAGUUUCUUUAUCUUUAUUGGUGAUUUUUUGGUCUAUUGGAAAGCUAAGAAGCAAACCACAAUUUCUUGAUCCUUUGUAGAGGUCGAGUAUAGAACUUUACCUUCUACUACUAGUGAAUUGGUCUGACCACACCAAUUGCUGAAGGACUUUGAAGUUGUUAUUUCCUCUCUUGCACUUUUGUUUUGUGAUAAUCAAACUGUCAUUUAUCUUGCUUCUAAUCCUCUUUUUCAUAGAAGGACCAAACAUAUCAAGAUGGAUUGUCAUUUUGUUCGUGAUAAAGUUGUUUUAUUUGCUUAUUAAAUUGUUUUUCUAAAUAAAAAAUAGAAUAAUGUUAAACUUUUAUAUUUAACCACAAAAAAAAUAGUUAUUGAAUUUUAUUUUUGAGAAUGUUAUAUUAAAAUUAUUUUUAUAAAAAAUAAUAUAUAUAUUUUAAUUUUUUUAUUGGGCAUAUAUAUCCCGAGAAUCUCAAGCAAAAGAUGUUCAAGUAAUUUUAUUUGAUCUCCUAUGUCCAAACAAAAGUAAAGAAGAAGAGUUUUUACGCAUGGGAUAGACUGAACUUGUCAGGAGAGUUUACGAAGUCCAAAUAAGAAAAAGAUAUUUAACCAUUCUCAAUGAUGUUUGGACUAAAAAUGCUUGGGAAAGCCUAAGGUGGUGUUUGUUUUUUUACUUAAUUCUAAAUAGAAUCUUAAUACUUAAUAGUAUUAAAUAUUAGGUUGUUUGUUUUUGUAGUAUUUUAUUUCUAUUAAGUAUUAAAAAGUAAAAAAAAACCAUGAUAUUUUUUCUAUUUAGAAAAAGCCACAUAUUUUGGCUUUUUCUAUUUAGUAAAAAGUUUAUAAUAAGUCAUGAAAAAGUAAAAAAACAAAUAACCUAAAUUCUAAAACUAAAUGAUUUUUAGCAAAAAGCCAAAAAAACAAACACCACCUAAGACUUGCAUUCUUAUGGGAACAAGGAGGUUCCAAAAUACUGCUCACCACACGGAAUAAAAGUGUAGCCAUGCAUGCAGAUACAAAAGGCUUUAUUUAAGAAACUGUGUGGCCAUGUAUCAUGUAUGCAAAUACAAAAGACUUCAUUUAUGAACCUCAGUGCUCGACUCUUGAAAUGAGUUUGGAGCUGCUCAAGAAAGCAAUAUUUCUAAGAGGCAGUCCAGGUAAUUCCUCAUCCAUCCAUCUUUUAACUUCAUUACUGGUAUGUAACUUGAGUCACUCCGCUCUCUAUAUAAAUUGAGCUAUAUUCCAUUGUUAAUUUUUAUGUGACAUAAGGCUUCCAUUGAAUUUCAAUUGUUUAGACAAUUAAUAUCAGCUAGUUUGGUCUUUCUUUGAUUUUCAGAUUUUACACGGGAAAGUCUAAAAAAGCAAAUUGUCACGGACUUAGGUUUCUCCUAAACUCACAUGUAAUGUUUAAACAAUUCAAGACAUUUGAUGUUGUUAAGUCAGUCUUCUUGUCGUACUUAACUUUUUAGGAUAAGUUAGGCACACGACUUGAAAUUUAAGAAAACCAAAGGCAACACUUAAACUAAAGGAAACUUGUAUUACACAAAUGAAUGCUUACAAUGACUAGAUGCUCCCACUUGUUUGGUACCUUGAUCAAAUGAGACCUAUUUAUUGACACUUUAAGAAUUCUUUAAAAUCUUGAAGGUUCCUUACAAAUCAAGAAUUCUUUAGAACAUCCUACACAAGUCCUAUGCAUAAGUAUUUACAAAAAAUAUUUGAAACUCUCCGGCUCCAUAUUCUUCUCUUGUCUUCUAGCUUAGUGUAGAGAUGCGUGAAUAUAUAUAUAUAAAAAGAUUCCUUAUUUUUCAAUCGAGCCACCUAAGCUUCAAUUAGAUGCUUUAUGUAAAAUUAUUUGUAUAUGCACUACAUGAAUGUAAAAAGGUUGGAUCUCAUAUAAAUUUUCCUGUCUUCUAGUUUUAAUUUGAUAAAAUUAAAAUGGUAAUAAAACUUCAAUUGAACUAAAUUUGUGGACAAAUACUUUACAAUAAAAUUAUUUAAUAAUAACUAUUAAGUACACAAGUGUAUUUAAAUACCACUUAUUUAAAUAGUAAGUUAUUAUUGGUGUAUUUAAAUACUCCAAGUGUAUUUAAAUUUUCUUCUCAUCAGUUGAAAGCUUUUUUCAGAUACUAAUUGGGGCUCUUAUUUAAAUACCAAAAAAUCUAUCACUAGUUUCUUUAUCUUUAUUGGUGAUUUUUUGGUCAAUUGGAAAACUAAGAAGCAAACCACAAUUUCUUGAUCCUCUGCAGAGGUCGAGUAUAGAGCUUUACCUUCUACUACUAGUGAAUUGGUCUGACUACACCAAUUGCUAAAGGACUUUGAAGUUGUUAUUUCCUCUCUUGCACUUCUGUUUUGUGAUAAUCAAACUGUCAUUUAUCUUGCUUCUAAUCCUCUUUUUCAUGAGAGGACCAAACAUAUCAAAAUGGAUUGUCAUUUUGUUCGUGAUGAAGUUGCUAAUGGUUUCAUUAAACUAAUGCCUCUUCGCUCUCAACAUCAACUAACUGAUAUUGGAAUUCGGUGGCUACACAUUAGUUAGUGGGGGCUGAUUUCAUGCAAGUUGUUGAUGUGUAAAAACUGAGAAUUUGUGGAUGGGUUUUGUAGAGAAUUUAUAAUAUAAGUGGCUAGGUAAUGAGGCAUGGUGGCUGAAUUUUUUUGUGGAGAAAAUCAUAGAGAUUCUUUAAGAUUUAGACAGGAAGAUUGAGGGGUUGGUGCACAGCCAUAGGAGUUUUUUUUAGAGAUUGGGAAGAUACGGAUUGGUUUUGGGAAGGUUUGAAGAGACCCACGACAUUGAAAAUUUCUUUAAAAACUUUUAGAUUUUUUGGAUAGAAUGCGAAAGGAGAUGUAUAUGGCUGCAAUAGGGGACUUUUGGGAAGGAGUAUCACGACACAUAUUUUGUGGAGGAGGUUUCUCUUAGAUUGGAAGGCAUGUGGGCUGACAUAUUCUGAGAAGGAAAGAUUUACACGGCCAUGGAGAGUUUUUUUCUGGAAAGGUGGGCGGCAUUAAGAGUCGUCCGGGAUAUUUUUAGGAGACGUGGGCUGGAUAUAAAAUGGCUUUGUGCUUAAAAUAUAAACAAAUUUCAAAAUAAGCCUUGAAGUUGGCCCAAUGGUUUUGGACUAAGUUUAAACAAAUUCAACCAAAUGGACCCAAAAGGUUUGAUAUAAUUUUGCUUUUGAACAAACCAACCGUAUUGAUUCGAUCCAAUUUUCUUUCAUAAAGUGAUUGAACCGACUUUUUUAUAACUUUAAUAUUAAAACAUUCCUAAUUUUCCUAACUUCAUCAUUUAAUCAUCCAAGUGUACCAUCCAUGAUUUGCCAUUUUUCCUCUACUUUCUAUACAUUUGUUGACGUGGAUUGAUCCCCUUUGCUAAAAAUUUGAACUGUCGGCAACGGCAGAUUAUCAUAAUCCUCUUGGGCCAUCGCAUCUUCAUUACCUCCCAUAUUUAUUCCUUUAAAUAAGAAUAAUUAUCCCAUUACAAUCACAUUGUGCCAUAAAUCAUUCCUAUUUUGUCUUCAACUUAAGCGUCCAUAUCAUGUAGAUAUUCCAUGUCACCUACCACUUUCCCAUCUGUCAUAUUGGACUGAAUUAAUUACCCGAUUGUACCCUCUAAAUCAUACGUGGAAGUGUAAAAUAACACAAAAAAGAAAUUAAAUUGAUUUUAGAGUCUGUUUUGAUUAGAAUGUUGCACGUCUUGAAGUUCAUGUGCUUCAAAAUUUUAAUUUCAUGAAAGUGACAAAAAAGAGAGAUAGAAACCAAAAGGAAAAAUCAAGGAAGAAAGCAAUACCACCAUAUAAACAUGGUACUCAUUUUAUUAUAAUUACCACACCAUAUUUAAACACAAGGCGCCUAGUAUAAGGAUUUCCUCGAGGCUUCCCCACUUCACAGACGUAAAAUGGGAUCACAGAUGUCAUCCCGCCCUUAGUAGCCUCAGCAAAAGUUAAAGGAUAAAAAAAAAAAAAAAACAUUAGCACAAACUCUAGAUUACAAUAAUAUUAGAGCACCAUAAGCACCAGCUCCGGCCCAUAUGAUCAGUGGUGAUGGUGGGGUGGUCCGGGUUUGUGAGGCUCCGGAGGCCCGUGAGGCCCCGGAGGUCCGUGAGGCCCCGGAGGUCCGUGAGGCCCCGGAGGCCCGUGAGGCUCCGGAGGUCCGUGAGGCCCCGGAGGUCCGUGAGGCCCCGGAGGCCCGUGAGGCCCCGGAGGCCCGUGAGGCUCCGGAGGUCCGUGAGGCCCCGGGGGGCCAGGAGGUGGUGGAUGGGGCUGUGGGUGAGGGUGGCCGUGGGGACCUGGCGGUGGUGGGUUAUUCAUCUCUCUUCCUCUUUACCUUCCUUCUUGUUCUUCUUGUUCUUCUUGGUUGCUGCGGCGAAUGGUACGAGGGGCGCUUGCGAAUUUAUAGUGGCAAACGGUGGGUGGGAAUCUCUUCGCCCAUUGGUAAGUUCAAAACUACAAGUCAACAAUGUGGUAGCUGUGUCUACCUAGAAUUUAAUAGAAUCAUCCGGAUGAAACUGGUUUUCUAUUCUUUUGGCUUUUGUUUUUUCUUCAAUUUAAUGUUAUUUUGCUUUGAAUUUAGUCAAUUUACUAACAGAACCGUCCACGUACAAAUCCUAUCUCCUCGUCUUCCUCCCUCUGUUCGACACCUGUCUCUCCAUUUCUCAUGUCACAUCCCACUAUUGAUAAUGACAACCAAUAUAGAACAAAGACGUUGACCUAAAAUCAAUCCAGACAGGCUGGCCCAAGCCCAGAGUUGGGUUGGUUUUGGGCCGAACAUAGAGUCCACGCCAAGCCAGGUGAAGUUCCUUGAACUUUCGUUGGAACAAGCGUCGGUGAGCCCAUUACUUCGAUUCCUGGAUUAGAAUAAAGCGACUUAUCUUCAGUGAAAAAGGUCAAUCCAAUGACUACCAUACCUUUCCAGCUUCACAGCCAUUGCGAUCAGUUCCGCGUGGGAUGAAGUUACUUUGCCUCUAAUUAACAUUUAUAAAUUAAUAGUAACUUUUAAUAAAUUAAUUAAGAACAUUUGGAGUUUAACAUCAAAAUCACUAUAGUUUUCUUCCUUCCCAAGUAAAAGAAAAAAAAAAAGAAAAAAAAAAGGGCAAGAAGUGGCAAUGACAAGUAACAGCCCUUUCAAACAGGGAACAUGUUGGGAACCGACGUGGCACCCAAAUUGGGUGUCAAGGGCAAUGGGGCAUGAGGAUUUCAAACUAAACGUUUGGGUUUCAAAAUUGAAACGAUGGGCACUUGGGUGCCUCCAUUUUUAGGGCACCUGACACACGUGGCGCAUGAACCGGGCCUCAAAAAGUUCAAAAUGGCGUGGGCGAGGGGGGUCUGAACGAGGACAGCAGGCCCUAUUUUUGUUUUCCAGUAAUGCCCCCAAAAUUGUCUCAAAUAAUUGAGAGAUGAGUCGUGGAGAAAGAGAGAAAAGGGUCGCCCUCUGAAUUGGUUAUGUUGCCAUUAUCAUCAUUUCUCAUCUUCCCCUGAAACCAAACACACCGCUCCUUCUCUCUCCAUCUCUAAACAGGGGUCGCACUCCCAAAUCCCAUGGGCUCCAGCAGCAGUCGUCUGGGUUCGCGUUCUUCUCGGCCACGACUCAACCGCAGGCUCUCCUCUCUUAUCUGCGGUGGCUCCACUUCUCGAGCUCAGCCCGAGGUAUCAUCGCGAUUGUCUUUAUCAAGAAUAUUCAGUUUCGAACCCUAGAUUACCUAUUGCUUGUUUCUUUGUUAUUAUUUGCGGUGGUUUCUGUUCGAAUUUAUCGACUUCUUGUUAAAUCCGUCGAGUAAUUUCAAUUUCCAAUCAUGUGAUAUAUUUGUUUCUGUGUGAUAUGAAAAUUGGUUAAUCGAUGCACAAGAUCGGUCAAGUUUCGGGUCAAAUUUGGGAUUAAUUAUACGAUUUAUUGUCUCGAACUUUUAUACGUUUUAUAUAUAUUGCUUUUUGAAGGGUUGAAUUUAUGCAAUACUUAUUUUGUUGAGUCAUUUGAAUAAUUAAUCUUCCUGAUUAGAAGAUUUUUAUUUUAUUUUUCCGAUUUAUUUUGGGAUGUAGGUGUUUAGUUGUUCCAUUGGAAAUGAAUGAUUUGAGUCAUUUGACUAUUUUUAAAUGUCAGAUGGAGGUACUCAUCCAGUCACCAAGAAUGGGUUCUUUUAUUAUUAAUUUGUGGUGUCUAAAAUCAACGAAAGUAGUUAGUUUUAGGGUGUCACGAAAUGCUCCCAUUUUGAAGUUUUCCUAGAAUUUUUGUUUUCUGGGUUUGUUGAAUGAUCUAUAAUCUUUUUCCAGUAUUUAUUUUUUGGAAUAUUGAAAUCAAAUAUGAUAAUUCUGUUAUCAGUUUUUCUUGAAUAGUGGUUACCUUCUUUAAUUGAUCCAAAUUCUUGAGUUUUAAAUGGGACUUCUAGGUCUAUUUGAAUCUUGGAAAGAAUGAGAGAAAGGGAGGAAAAAAUUUGGAAAAGUAGCCUAAGAAAGGAAACCUUUUUCUAAAAUAUAUAUCCAUGAUUGUCCCUUUGUUUCCCUCAUUGUUUUCAAGAUUCAAAUGUCUGUCUUAAGGCUUUCUUUGGUUAUUGGGAGGAAAGAAUGAAGAAGAAAGUGCCAAAAAAAAUGCAAAGAAAGUCAUUUGUAAUCAUUUUCCUUUUGGUUUCCCUUUCCCUCAUUAUUUCUUAGAAACAAAUGGAAGGUAAGGGAAACUUGGGUUACUAAUUUAAUUAACUCUUGUACAAGUGGGCCAAGAUGAAGAUAUUUGUAAGAAGCUUUGAGUAAAGUAGACAAAAGAAACUAGACUGAUUUUAUUGUUUAUUGGACUCCAGAAUCAACCGUUUGAUCUCUGUGAAGUUUUGUUGGCGACCCAUUUUUGGAAGGAUACCUGGCAACUUCCUUUGGUUUCCAUGUGACAUGAUCCAAAAAGGGGAAAUAGAGAUGGACACCUGGCAACUCCCUUUGGUUUCCGCUUGACAUGAUCCUAAAACAGCAAAAAGAUUCACCAGGGGUUUCACUUGCCAAUUCCAGAUAGAUUGUUCGCAAAGUAGGCCCAUGCAGGGGGCUGCUGGACAUCUCAUCUGUAUAGUCACAUGCCUUGGUAACUCAGCAUCUUCCUUGACCACAGUACUGAAGCACCCUAUGAUUAAUUCAGGUUAGGAUGAAGCUUAUGCUAUGGCUCAUUGUACUCAAGUCCUGCAAAAUGGACUGAGGUUCUUUUAGUGUGCUAUCCAUGAACAUCAUAGUGCACGCAUGGGCUAGGCCUUGGGGGGAUUGUUAGGCGUAAGAUCUGGAGGCUGGAGUUAUGGACGUCCAUGGUGUAAGAUACUUUCCAAGUUGAGCCAUGUCGGAAUAAGUUAGAUUUACCCGUUAAAGCGUUUGUGCUCUCUGCAUCAAAGAUAAUUGCCGUGCAAGAACCAGGCAGCUUAUUAGAAUAGUGUGCAAGUCUAUUUCAUGUGAUUGGUUCGUAAAUCGGCUUCUGUGUCUCAUAUUAUCAUCCUCUUGUAUACUUUGGGAUGCUGUUUUGACGUAUUUUUAUAUAUAUAUAUAUAUAUAUAUAUAUACUUUCUGGUCUUACCUAUCAAAAAAAAAUCCAGUUGAGGCUUUUGAUUAAUGAUGAAUGCAGUUUGUGUGGUACUUUGGCCUGAUUCUUGCAGAUUAGCAGGAGUAGAUUGUUUAUUGAUGGUUUGAAAUUUGGCUUUUCCAUGUAAUCAUUCUGUUCUGUUUAACCUGUUUAUGGGGCUUUUGAAGCAAACAUUGAAAUACUUAUGUUAUUUUGUCCAUUUGGCUUAGCGGAUAGUAUUUCUAGAACAAGAGGAAUGAGGACAAAGUGAAUAUGCUAGUAUAUUUCAGCAAGUUUAGUCCGUGGAGGUUUUGGUUGGUGUCUAUUUUGUUAAUUAAGAUCACUUUGAUCAAGAGCCCAGACAAGCACUGGGAUCACAAGAAAGCUUGAAGAAAACCAUAAUAAUAGGCACCAAAAAAUGUGUGCAACAUGGGUAGAACUACUUUCCUUAUUUUCAGUCCAUUAUGCAUCUGGCAAAGAAGGCCCUUCAUUUAUUUUAAUUUUUCUUUUUUAAAAUGUAAUGAGAUGAAGUUGUUGAUUAUUUUCUAGUACGGAAAAUGGUUAAAUGGAUCAUCCAUACUGCUCAACUGUGUUGUCCAAUUCCAUGAAAGAAUCACAGGACUUGGAAGAAUCCCUUCCCCAUGAGUCGAAAGAGUGCUAAAAAGAGUUCAUAUUAGUUAAGCAGUAAUGCUCAAUGUUGCUUUGUAUUAUUUAUUUCUCUUUUAUUUUUGGUUGUGACCUGACCUAAUAUAUUUAUCAGAUUAUUUUCAUUUCUUGUGACGAAACAUAGUGGAUUGUCUCUAUGUUGGGACCUUCUUUCUUGGUCUGAUAAAAAAUGAAACUUUUAGAAUUGCCCUUUUGGUAUGGUAAUGCACUCACUCUUUGUAGGGCUUGGUGGUGUCAGUUUGAAGUCAAGGGUUUUUCUUAUGAAUUGACAUUCUUAUUCUAUGGCUAUGCACCAAAAAAGAAGAAAAAGUUACACUUAACUUCUGAAACAAAAAUAAAAUAAAAUCAAUAAAACUAUGGUACAUUAGGUUUUGUUGAUUUUCCUUUACAGGUGUGGACUUUUUUUUUUUUCCUUUUUUAAUGGUAAUGAAAUUUCUUUUCAGUCAUUAAUUACAGAAUCUUUUUGGGAAGCCUUUCAUAUCUAUGCUUCAAUAGAUGAAUUUCUGAGUAGACAAAAUUGCUAAAUUAACCAAUAAGCAAGCUGUUUCUUUCUUUCUUCUUCUCUUUCUUUUUCUUCUUUUUUAAUUUCACCAAGUUGCCUCCAUAAGUAGAUGUAAGAAAGAGUGUCUAUAGACCUUGGAUCUUGGUGUGGGUAUUGUGUUGAGCUCAUCAUUGAAGUAUUAGAUUUGUUACUUUCAAUUAGUUAAUUAAUAGAUUAAUUAAUUUCUUGUUUUUGAUCUUCAUUUUUAUUUGUUUGUUUCUGUUCUGUGUUAAUUAGUUCUUAUCCUAUAUUUGGGAUGAGUUCUUAUUUGAGAUGCUUGUGUUACAGAUUGAUCACCUUCUUUCAUCCUUUUGGUAAAACUUUGGUUGUAUCCACUGGCAGGCUCACUUCUUGAAGAAGUAACAGAAUCAUAAAUUUAUGGCUGCCAAACAUUUCAAUGCCAACAUAAUUUGUGCCUUUGAUAGGUAAAUAAGAGAUUGUAUUAGAAAUGCCUAGAAGCGGCGAAAAAUUUGGGCCUUUGACUGUGUUGGUAUGAAGAUGAAAAAUUAUUUAGUAAAAAAAUUUAUGUGGUCAAAGUUUUGAUGCUUAUAACUUGAUGAUCUUUCAUCUUCAAAGGUUGGAAGGAUAAGUUCUAUUGACCAGAUUUUUAUCUUUAUCUUUUAGUUCUAAUUUUAAUCUUUGAUAGGCAAGUCAUGCACUGUUGUCAAACAAAAAGUUCUGAACAAAAAAAAAAAAAAAAUCAGGCAUACAGGUCCUUCAGUUAACUGGAAUAAAUUUGAACCUGGCUUACUGUUCACUAUUGGGUGAAGUGUUUAUGAGUUUAAUGGCUCCCCAAAAUUUUUUUAUGGGGUCAUUACUCAGUCUUUAUACCUUGAACUUGGUGAUAUCAAAAGAGAGUGAUUGGAUUUUAGCAAAGGAAACUGACAUGAUGACAUUAUUUUCCUGAAGAUUGAAGAUAAUGAGUUUAAUGGCUCCCCAAAAAUUUGUAUAUGGGGUCAUUACUCGGUCUUUAUACCUUGAACUUGGUGAUAUCAAAAUAGAGUGAUUGAAUUUUAGCAAAAGAAACUGACAUGAUGACAUUAUUUUCCUGAAGAUUGAAGAUUGUCCAGCUGAAUUACUGGUGAAUGCUAUAGAACACAAUGAUCCUGUGACUGUCGAACAAAGCUCAACAAAGGCAUCCCAUUUGGCCUCCAGUGCUGGGACUGCAUUUACCAGCACCAGAACUGAAACAGGAACUUCAUCUGAGAGCAGUAGCGCAGCAAGGGAAGAUACUUCUUUUAUCAAUGAUUUAAGCAAUAUCGAAACAAGUAAUCGAGGGAAAUGCUUAUCUGAAAGUAAGGAAUUGAUUCCUCCUCAUCUGGUAAGUGAUGAACCUAGUCAAGUUGAUCCUUAUUGGGAGAGAAGUAGUAAUAUAGCUAGUGCUUCAUUUAAGGAUCUGCAUCCUUUGGACCCUGUCUCUGCAAAUGCAAGGGCUAACAUGGGUGCUGUAAAUGUUCAUAACUCAAUGGACAAGGAUAGGUCUAACAGUGGUGCAGGGGUCAUACAUUCAAGCAGUUCGCAUGCUCCAGAGCAUAGAGCUUCAUAUUCAGAUGGGGCAUCUGCUGAAAAUCAUGUGAGCGGAGUAUCAGCCAUUGAUAAUUCUAGUUCUGUUUCUGUUCCUGCUGUCACUGACUCACCAGUGACUUUGCACUCACAAGGAGAUGAAUCCAUUCAAGAGGCGAUACCUUCAGGUCUGGGAAUUGUGGUCUCCGAUCGGGCUGAUAGGGAGCGAGGUCGGAGAGAUGGAAGUGUACUUCAUGUUGAUGUGGUGAGCAUCUCUUCCAACAUUUUGUCUAGUACCACUGCUGAAGUAAGUAACCGUGAGGCAAGAAGGAAUAGUAGAAGACUGUUCUGGGAUGCCUUUUCAAGACGCAGUUCUCGAAGGCAUAGUGAUUCCCCAACCAUUGUCUUCUCAACAGAUGAUACUGAUGACCUAGGAUCUCAUGACAGAUGGCUCCUUGAUUUCAGUGGUGAUUUCUUUGAAGAUGGGGUUGGAGGUGACUCUGGCUACCUGGGUAGUAGAAUCCACAGCAUGAAUGAGCGAAGGUGGCACUCAAGAUCGGAGGUGGUUUUUUAUACUAUGAAGCAGCUCUUUUAUCAACACUUUCAAUAGUUUUCUUUUGAAAUCAUCUUGCAUCUCAUAAUCAGAAUUAUGUGGAAUUUUGUUGUAUGCAUGCUUUGUGAAAAAAUGUGCAGUUCAUUUCAUUUUGACUUCCUUAGUUAUAUGCACAUUACCAAUGUGAAUAGGCGCUAUUUCCCAUUGUGAUUAUAUUUCAAUUUUGGUUUAAUUUUCUUCAUAUUCUUUUUGAUUGUCCACCUAGGUAUUCUAGUGUGGGCAGUGGAAGCUAUAUCUGGAGGGGUUUAACUUUCUUUUCUUGCUCUUGGGUAAUUUUUAUAAACUCAUCCCACAAGAAUCUUUGCAGAUAUGGGAAAGGCUUCGUGGUGGGCUUGAUGAGAGUAGUCGGCGAACUACUACUUGUCCAACAGGCCUCCACCCUGAUGGUAUGUGCUCCUGCGAUUCCUUCUUGAUGGCUGAAGAAUCUAGCACUCGAGCAAGCAUCUCCCGAAUAGUCAUGCUAGCUGAAGCCUUAUUUGAGGUAGUUUUCUCUUAACCUGGCAUGGUUUUAUAUGGUUUCUCUCACUUUUGUUGUGCUCCUUUUUCUUGGCUAGUUUUCCUUUCAGUAUUUGUUUAAUUACUAACUUUUAUAUUAAACAUAAUGUUUCUUUUUUGUUAAGCUAUUUUUUUUUGUACUCCCUGUAAAUGAACUUUGUCCCUGGUAAUAGUCCUAGUGACUUUUACUUCAGUAUCAAUAUAAAAAGUUAAAAAAAGCAUUGAAGAUAUCAGCAUGAGAGUUAGCUUGGGAAUGAUCCUUUACUUUUUUGUUAUAUUUAGCCUUGAUUAGGAUAGAAUCUGCAUGUCUUUGAAAGGCUGCCCUUUGGUUUUUUUAGAUAAUUGAUUUCAGCACCUUAUCUAUUGUCUCCAUUUGUGUUACUGUGUUUUGACCCAUUGUUGAAGAAGCGUGCAACGAGUUGACUGUAGCCAUUAGUUUGGUGCUAGCAUUUUCUUGCCAGAAUUACUGAUUUGGGGACUUAGGUUUAUACUUUUAUACUGGAUCUUGUAGGAACUUUUAUCAGGCUGUGCAGAAUCAUUAGGCUGUGUGCAAUAUGCAACAUUUGAAGUUCUAUAUAUGGUUAUCUGACGAUUAUUUCAAAACAGAUAGUGGAUUAAUCCAGUACUGGUACUCCAUUUUUUAUUGAAAAACUGGGAUUUCCACCAGAAUGGAAUUAAUUACAUUGUAUUGGAUUUCUUUUAUCUCUUUCUGCUACUUGCGUAUGUCUUGGGUUAUCACUUUCUUGUUUUAGCCUAUUGAGUUUGAUAUAGUACAGGCAAGUAGACCUAAUCAACUGGAUGUCAAUGAAACCUGCCUUGACUAUAACUGAGGUUUUUUUUUUUUUUUUGGGUGGUUUAGCUUUAGGCUUCAUAGUUAGGUGAUAUUUCCAUUGCUGCAUUUGUGAUUGCUUGCUCUUCUAGAAUAUAGGCAAGGUUUUUCAUUGAAACACUCCUUAAAUGCUUGGUGAAUUUACCACUGAAAUGAGUAGUAACAUAUGCAUGGAGAGGAUAAACUGAUUUCUCUUGGCCGUGGUAUAUGACUGGCUCUCAUUGAAAUGUUUAGAAUACUGGUGAGCUAACAGAUGGGAGCAUUGACUGAUGUUAGAUAUUUCUUGAUUGCAGAGGCUAUUUUGACAUUUUGUUAUGAGCAUGGAAAAGAAAGUUUCCUCCUCAAUCUAUUUGAAGUUAAAUUGCUGUUUUGGAUGUGCUGACCUGAAUUCUAUUUAUUUACCCUUUAUAAGAAAUACAGUUUCCAAUUGCUUUUUUAUCAUGUAUAUCUGCAAUAUUACGUUUGAUUUUUUGUUGAUGGAAGUUGUAAGAAUUUUUUUUGGUUCCUCCUGAUUUUCUCUGCCAUGAUAAUGAUGAAAUUAGGUUUACUACAUUCUUGUAGGCUGUCUCAAAGGAGAAUUUUUCAUUAUCUUAAGUAUUAUGUUUGAUAAAAAAUCUUAAGGCAGAGUUUGGCUCCUUAAAGCUGGGUAAUGAGGUAUAUUUUAAAUUUUUGAUAUGCAGGUCUUGGAUGAAAUUCACCGCCAACCUGUCUCACUGGCACUGUCUAUGGUAUCACUCCCUGCCCCAGAGUCGGUUGUUGACUCUUUUCCUCUCAAGAAUCACAAAAAGGCCGACACAGCUCAGAGUGGGGAGGAUGUGGCACAGUAAGUUUCUAAUUAUAUUUUGUACUAGGACAAGCAGAAUAUGAUUGAAAUAAGAUGAUAUUGAUGAAAUAAUGCUUGAAAAUUAUUCUUUCAAUUCUUUAUUUCCAAAAAAAAAAAAAAUGAAAGAAAGAAAAAGGAUUCUUGAGUUUAUAUAUCUUUGGCAUGAAAACCAUUUUGUUAUUGUUGCUAUUAUUUGAUAAGUGAAAUAUUUUGACAAAACAUGGAAAGCUAAUAAUUUACAGUUCAUUACUUUGUAUUUGAUUGUGAGUAACAAUACAUCCCUCAAUUAUAGAAUUUCAUGAUAUUACCACCUUAAUGUAACUGUCAUUGACAGGUGCUACAUUUGUCUGGCUGAGUAUGAGGAAGGUGAUAAAAUUAGAGUUCUUCCCUGCCACCAUGAGUAUCAUAUGUCAUGUGUUGAUAAAUGGCUCAAAGAAAUACAUGGGUAUUGUCAUUCCUGUCCAGUGCUCACUUGCCUUGCAUUUGUCCUUUUUUUUUUUCCUCUUCAAAUUUUACUAAUUAGGUUUUGCUUCACAGGGUGUGCCCACUAUGCCGCGGAGAUGUUCGUGAGGGCCUUACUGGUGGUUCUGUCUCAAACGGAGAGACCCCCUCUCUUUGAUAGCAUUGUACAUAUCCAUGUAAAUAGGGGCAAUGUGCUCUUUAAAUGUUGUAUUUACCUCCCUCAAAAGAUAUUUUUGUAUCUGAAUUUUAACCGUAUAUUUUCAAAAUUCCAUACUUGGUAGGAUCUUUGCCAUGUUUUGAUUCUGCAGAAUUAGCUUCCAAGGGAUCAACAGCCUUGGUCUCACCAAAACAUGCAUUGAUCUUAAUCACACAAGACUCACAGAAGUAAGAAACUGAGAACUAGGGUACCGGCAUGUUUAAAUUCUGAAUAUUAUUAAAUCGUCAAGCCAUUCAUCACAUUGAGAUGGUUUAUUCCUGCUAAAUGUGAAUGGCAUGAUUACUUUAAAUAGUCUCUUGACGUUAGGAUGGCAUCCCACACCUCAUGAACCUGAUUAAUUUAUGGUCAUUCUACAUUCCUAUUUGCUUUUCUGGUUCUUUUAGAGAUCAUGUGCCACUAGACUUAAGGUUACAGUGAGAGGUUUACAUGGCAGGAAAUGGGUGAUUGUUUGUUUGUUGGCGCACAUUGAGGGUGUGUUUGAUAUGCUGAACAAGAAGUUCAUUCUAUUCUUAUAUUGUUUGAAUGCAUAUGGGAAUGAAAUGUUGAAAUGAUAAUUUGUUUUCAUUAUUUAAAUGUUAAGUGAAAAGGGGAAUGAAAAUGAAAAAAAAAAUAUCAAUAAUAUCUAAACAUUUGGUUUAAAAUAAUUUUUAAUUUUUAAUUAAAAAAAUAUGAUAUUAUUAUAUAUGGUUAAAAUCAAUUCUUAUUUUCAUUUUAAAAAAAUCCUUGAGUGUGCGUGGGUGUUUUUUUCCCUAAAUGAUAAGAAUCUAUUGGGGCAUAUGAUUUAAAAAUAAAAUUAUUUUUAAAAAUUUAUAUUAUUAUUUGAUUGUUAUUUUUUAGAAAUAAUUUUUAAAAACAAAGUAAAAGAGAGAAUUGUUUCAUUUUUUUUUUCACUAAAGAAAAUGACCAUAAGUUUAAUAAAUUUAAUAAUUUUUAAAAAUAAUUUAAAACUAAAUAUAUAUAAUUGAUUAAUAAUGAAAAAAAUUAAAUUUAGUUUAUUUUUAUUUAAAAAAUAAAAUUAUUCUUUACUAAUUUUGAAUAAUUUUCUGUUAGCAAUUAUUAAUUUUAAAUUAUUAAUAUUCAUAUUUUAAUUUAUUUGUAACAAAAAAAUAUUUUCUAUUUUUAAUAAAAUUUGAAUUAAAUUUAGUUUACAUUAUAUAAAUUAAAUUUAAAUUUUAUGUUACAAAAUCAAAAUAAAAAAUUAUUUUUAAAAAUAACUCAUUUAAAAGAGUUCUUAAUUUUUAAAUUUAUGAAUAUAUUUUAAAAAUAACUUGCACAUGGAGAAUCAAAAUAAAAUACCUCCUACUCUAUUUUAUUUAGAAAAAAGAAUAAGACGUACAUUCCCACGAUGGUCGUUUCCCUACCAAACACACCCCGAAGUCUCACUGCACAUUCUGAGGGAAACAACCGGGAAUAGAACGGUCCAUCUACAAAUGUAAUAGGUGGAAUUCUACAUAAGUCGAAGAACAGAGUUCUUCAUUGUUCAUGCGAUGACAAGAAAAUGAGUAAAGAUAAAAGCAUACUUCCGAGCGCGGCCUCUCGGUGCCAACAAACCAGCACUGCCCUAUUAUAUUUAACCCAUCACGGAAGAUCCUUGCUUUGGACUCCAGAAGGGGUUCUGGUUCUGGUCCUGGUAAAAACCCAAUUCAGACCUUGGCUUUUCACCUCUACCAUCACUGUAGUCAUGAAAGAAGGGAUUGUUUUCAAAGCACUUGGUGUUACUGCUAUCGAUGUUGCUGAUAUAGGAGUAAUCUUCCUUGGAGGGGGCGAGCUUUGUUUGCUUCAUCUGGAAUGAAUGAUCCUGAUGCGCAAAGAGAUUUGGGUGACAAUUCUCAUCAUCUUCAAAGGUUGUCCAUCUGGUUGAGUGGCCACGCUUCUCUCUGGCAGCAUUUCGCAUACUCUCCAUCUCUCCCACGUGAUCCUUGAAUUCCUUUUUCACCACAUCCAACACCACAUCUCCAUACCGAUCACACCAUGACCUUGAUGAUCAUCACAAAACAAGGGAAGAUUAGUGAACACUUAUUUUAGCUGCUUAUUUUCACUGUAAUUGAAGUUCUUUUAACCCACUUCAAUGUGCAAACAUUGGCUCUAAGUGAAGGAACCAUCUACACCAGAAGAAAGAAAAUGGUUGCCUUACUUGGGAAAGAACUUUUUCAGGUCUGCUUUGUCAACAGGAAGCUUGGUGGAAAUUGCUUCAAUCUGAUCAUUCCUGAGAAAUCAAAUGACAAAAGAUAGAAAGGAACAUUGAGUAGCCAUCGUAUAAACACUAAAUAAAUAGAAAUUGAGUCAUGGUUCCGUGAGAAAUCCUUACGAAAAUUGAAGAUUGUGGUUUGUGGUAUUGAGUUCCGUCUGAAUUAGCGACAGCUCCUUCUUUAUUUUCUCCCCCAACACCUACAAACGUGAGAAAAUUAUCAGGCUUGAGAAGAUAACAGUCCUAAUUUACUUGGAACAAAAUGAAUACAAGUCUUAAGAGUUCAAACCUUAUCGAUGAAAAAAUCUGAGGAGGAACCAUUAGAAUGUAUCUUCCUCUUUAUUUGUUUUGUAUCAGGGCCCUCCCCAAUGGGGCUAGCUACAAGCUGACAAGGUCCCAAAUAAGAUUCAAUAUCUGAUCUCUCGCUAAGGGGCAAUGGAGUUGUCUCGUCUUCCCAGUUGUUUCUCUUCCACUUCUUCAACCCCUCAAACCCCCAUUGCUUCUUCCCCGAUUUUGAAACUUUUUCCUCAGAUUCAGGCACAUUUUCACUGCCUUCCUUCUGAAACAGAGUCCGAAAUACUUUCUUCUUUGCCUUGUCGGCACCGCUCUUUUCAACCUUCACUGUCUCCACUGGUAUGCUUUCUGGCAUAAGUAUGGAUCGAGUUUCACUUUCUUUCUCCUUCAAAUGGAUGUUCCAAAAAGGGUUUUCUCUAGACAACCCCAACUCAUUAUGCCCAGAAUGUUCCGACACUGGACCGAUGAUGCUCUUUUCUUCCCUGUUCUUUACAUUCUUAUGAGGCGUUGUAAAGCUCAAAACUGAGGCCACGCCUUUAAUCUGCUUUAUAGCUGAACCGUGUUUCGAUUUGCUCUUUGAAUUUGAACUUUCUUUGCUAAGCAAGCACUGUUCAUCCCUCAGGUCAAUGACUGACCACUCCUCUUCUGAAUUUUCCUUCUGAUUCGCAACAAUUACGUCUCUGGCCUCGAUCUCAGCCCCUUGAACUGCAAGCCUCUGUAACAAAGGCCUCUUCGAAGAAUGAUACUCAUCCGCCGUAAUGCAUUUUGCGUAAAACAGCUCCUACAACAAAGAACAAAGGAAAGCACUCAAUUAAGGAUUUUAAAAAUAUUUUCCAUCGAAACAAACAGACCCAAAAUCUCAAAACCCAAAAAGCAAAAACUACCUGCAAAAAUAGCAGCUUAUCCCUCAAGAUCACAGGUUGCUCUUGAUCGGCUGGAGAAGCGAUAAGGGUCUCGAGUAAAUGAGAUCGAAAAGAUGAAACCUCGUGUUCUGCUAAGAUUCCUUCUUUACAAAGGCCCAUCAAUUUGAGUAUUUGAUGGAAGGAAUCUUGCUGCCAUUUCAGAUUAUCCGACUGCAGCUUCGAUAGCUUCUGCUCGGCCGCUGGCAGCCGCCGCUUCUUGAAGGAGAAGGGAAGGAUGGUCUUGCAGAGAGAGGUGAUCGAGUCAUGAAGAGUGGAGUAGUAUGUGGGUGUGUAUGAGUACAUUUUUGAACCUUUGUUUUCUGGUUGCGGACCGAUGAAGGGACUGAUCAAUGAUUGUAGAUGCUGGUUGUGAUUUGCCAGAGCUAUUCAAUUGGGUUCUGUAAAUUUCGAUUUUUAUUUUGAUUUUCCUUUCCUCUUGAUGAAGUCGAUUUGUGUACGUUUAUUGUGUGAAGAUACUGUUCAAAAAUUUGAAAUUUCGGGUGCUCUGAACGGUCACUUGAAACUAGCCGUUGUGGACUAGGAUGAAAAUGGGAAAUGUCACCGUCGUCAAUUAUUUCUGGAUAAAACGACGCCGUUUUCACAUGUUCGCUUGCUUAUUUUAUUUUCAAAAUUUGCUUAACCCAAUAUAUGUUUUUAUUAUUGUAUUUGCACUUCAUAUCUCUCCUUUUAAGAAAUCUAAUAAUUUUACCUGGCAAAAUUUUCUCCCUCAUACUUCACCUACUUUUUAACUUUUAAAAAUGGUUUGAAAAUGUAUUUUGAAAAUUCCACAAUGUUUAAAUUUGUGCGGACAAAAUAUUUUUAAAUUAUGAUUUUAUAUUAAGGGUUAUUUUCAUUCAAAAUAUCAUAAAUAUUAAAUAGGAAUUUUGGAGAAAAAAAAAUGGUUAGAUAGAAAUUAAGGAAAAUUCAUAAAAUUAUUAGACAAAAUUCUAAAAAAAAUGAUAUGAUAAGUAAUAAUAAAAAUAUUGAAGUUGUUGUUGCUUUUUUAAAAAAAUAAUAAUAAUACAUGUGUGAUAGUACAAUAAUAUGUCAUAAUUAAGAAAAAAUUUAAAAUGAUGAUGUUUGUAGUUUUUAUGUAUUAAAGUAUAUAGAAAAAAUAUGAUCAUUUUUUUGUUUACAAAUGCUUACAAUUUUGUUUACUAAUUUAUGUUUUUCAUGUGUUACUUAAUAAAAGAUAUUAAAAAAUUAAUUAAGAAAAUUAUUUUUAAUGAAAUUUGAGAAUAAGAUAUUUAAAUUUUAUUUAUUUAUUAAAAUUUUAUUCUUAAUAUUUCAUUUGAUAGGGAAGUUUUUAAGGAUAUAAAUUAAGAUUCAUAUGUUUAGUGUGCACAAAAGUAUAUAGAUGAAUAAGUGGUUUAUUUGGUGAAGCACAAGGUUGGAGCUCCCUCAUGCACUCCUUAUUUCAAUCUUAAUUUAAAAUUUUUCCACAUUCAAGAGAUUUGUGUCUUCAUUAAUCUUUUGGAUACUCUCAUCACUUAACCUAACUCCAAUAUAACAUAAUGCCUCCAUCAUGAUAAACUCUUACAAUAUGAUAAGAUUGAAAGACAAAAUGGGUAACGCCUCUUAUUCGAUCAUAAACUCUUCCAAUAUGAUAAUAUCUAAAUCCAAAAUAGGAUAAGCAAUCACACAUCUUACAAAGGAAAGGAGGUAGAUGAUUUAUAGGUUCCCACCUCAUUUUACUUUAAUUUUUUUUAGAGUAAUACUAAGUUUGACAAAUUAGAUAUCCCUCAUUGACAAUCCCAUGGGCAGUCAUUUGUAUGCAGGUUGUAGUUGUGCCCUCUAUUCAAACAACUUUCUUGUUGUAGAGUGGAUGAGGAUAUGCAUGAUUAGAAUGAUCAACCAAACAUCAAUCAACCAUUUCAAAAAAGUGUAAGAUUGUUGGUUUUGAAAAAUAGCUCAAUUAUAGUCAUUGAUCUUAUUGUAUUUAUAAAAACAUUGAAUUCUAAUCUUUUAAAGAUUUUUAGAUUUUGCCAAGUAGUUUUUAAUUUCAAAAGAACUUCUAGCCUUUGAAUCUCGUAUAAAAAGUACGAUGAGCAAGAGGAGAUUUACUACUAAAGGAUAUAAAGCUAAGGAAUAUUUGGACCUAAUGCCUAUGGAUAUGUGUGGACCUUUUAAUGUUCAUAUACAAAGAUGAUAUGAGUAUUUUACCACUUUUAUUGAUGAAUGCUCUAAGUUUUGAUAUGUGUAUCUAGUAUAUAAGAACUUGAUGUCUUAGAUAAAUUCAUUGAAUUUAAGGUAAAAUUGGAUGACCUAUUAGGUAAACAUAUGAAGGCCCUUUGAUUAGAUCGAAGUGGUGAUUUUUGUGUUUAGUAGGUUCAAUACUUUCCUUAGGAAUGAUGGGAUUAUAUUCCAAUUGUGUGUACAAAGGACUCCAUUGCAAAAUGAAGUAAUGGAAAAAAGAAAUCAAACUUUAAUAGACAUAAUGAUAUUGAUGAUUAGUUUCUCAUCACUUCCCACAUCCUUUUAGGGAUAUAUCUUGGAGACCGUCUUACCUCUUUAACCUAAGAGGUAUAUUAAUUUGUAGGAUAUCCAAAAAGAUCUCAUGGGAUUAUCACCUUUAUAGUUAGAAUUGUCAAAAAGUGUUUGUUGUUACGAAUACUAGAUUUUUUAUGAAGACUAUGAUAAGGAAUAAGGUAAAGAGUGAUACAAACUAGGGAAUGUUAGAAGAUAGUGCCUCAUUUUCACAAUAUACUUUAGAUCCAGGGGAAUAGAGACAUAUCAUUCUUGAUACUUUUAACACACAAGUACUUCAUGAUAGUGGGAGGAUUACAUCCCGUGAAUUAUGAUAAGUUAUGGUAAAGAGUUAUGAAGUAAGAGUUAAAAUUUUUAAGUUAUAGCAUAAUUUGGGAACUUGUAGAAGAACAUGAAGGGAUAAAAGUCAUAGGUAUAAAGGUUGAGACUUAAGUGGCUAAGGUUAUAGUUCGAAACAGUGUUUUGACUAUGGAAAAACCUUUUCAUUAGUAGUCACUCUCAAAUUCAUCAAAGUACUCUUAUCCAUUGAAACAUAUCUCAAUUAUGAGAUAUGACAAUUGAAUAUCAAGAUAACAUUAUUAAACAAUUAUCUUAAUAGUAGCAUCUAUAUGAUGCAAUCAAACAUUUUCAUAACAAAGAACCAAGAGCAUCUAGUAUGCAAGUUGCAUAAAUUCAUUCAUGGAUUAGUGCAAACAUUUUGCUUAUGGAACAAGUGUUUUAAUUAGGAGAUCAAGACCUUUAUGUAGACCCUAGAAUUUAUCUGAAUCUUUCUUUUCAAUCAUUUUUAUUUUAUUUUUUAUUUAUUUAUUUUCAUUUUUAAUUUUUAUUUUAUUUUUCUUUAUAUUACUUAUUUUAUUUUAUUUUUGGGUCCUUUCCUUUUAUCUUUAUUUUUAGAUCCAUUUCUUUUUGACUUUAGCCUAAGUUUCAGGCUCAAUACUUACCCAUUUUAAUUAGAUCAAAUCUUGGCCCUUGCAAUUCCUACCAUUCAUUCAAAGAGAAGCCCUAAAGACCAAUCUUCCUAUUUUUCCCACAUUUGUCGUCCCAUCUUCCUUUUUCCUUUCUUCCUUUUUUUUUUUUUUUUCUUUCUUUCUUGCACAUUUCUUUUUUCUCUCAUUCAAAACUAGUUGUCCAUUUCCGAUUUCUUCUUCUCAUUCUCUCUCUCUCUCUCUCUCUCCCUACAUUUCUUUCUCUCUCUUCUAUUCCUUCUCAUACCUAUUGAUACCCAAAACAACCACUUCGCAACCACUGAUCUAGUAAUCGUGGCUACCUUCCACCUCAUUUUUGUCACAUUCACACUCGCAGUGCACCCAUUGGUGGCCACACACCAUCAUUCAUGGUCAUCCCUUCUUCACACUAGAUUCAUUGUCAUGGAUGUCUCACAUUUCCUCUCACAUCCACUACGUAGUUUACCUUGCCACCCAUUUUGCUUCACCCUAAGGCUUUAAAAAUGAGAUAAGUCUUUAUUUAUUUAUUUUUUAUCUUAUCUCCACAAUAUUUCUUUUCGUUUCGAGUUUGGUUUUUUGAGAUCUAAAUAUUGAUUUUGGGACGUUCCUUUUGUUGAGACAUUGGUAUGAAUUUAGGUUGUAUUUCAAAUUGACUUGGAUUUGGAUUUGGUUUUGGGUUUGCUUGUAUUUGGGUCAGUAUCCUCACACUAUGUUGAAAAUGAGAAAAUACAUAACAUGUUGGAAGCAGGUGGAGUGGUUGAAGACAAGGUAUAUGCAUGAGUAGAUUUUAAGGGGAACUUGAUUUGUAUUAAAGGGAGAAGAUGGAAGCAGAAAAAUGGAAUAGGAGAACAUUGACAAGUGUGUGACACCUAGACAAGUGUGCUCUCGACCUAAUGGCUUCAAGUGCAACUUGUGUUCAAAGAUUCGUUGAUUCACAAGAUUCUGAAAUUCACACUAAGUAUCACAUUUUGCUACUUUCUUUAUCGAUGUGAGAGCCUAGAUAUUCGUUGUCGAGAGUUGUUUAUGUGAAUGAAACAACGACACCAAGGAUUAAGGCAACAGGAGGGUGUUGGUUCAUUUGUACGGUUCUUUGGCAUAUUUCGCGCUAGGGUUCGUUGUUUGCUCUAAAGAGUUGUCCAAGUCGUUCCCUGCCCAUGCGCGAGGCAUGAUGAUGGGUGAGGCUCCCAAUCGAGGGAAAAUGAGUGGUAGGCUCGUACCCACCCCACUUAGUCCCCAAGAGUGUUGCAACGUGUCCAUGGGUCAUUUUGUUAUGUAGAGAUUUGAUAAUGAUCCUUUACAGGUUCACCUAUAGAAACCUUGUUAUGACUUCUCCUUCCUCUAAAUGAUAAGGUUCAAUGGAUUUUUCACGAUAGUGCGGACAAUAGACUGCCCACGUUGUUGUGAUCCAAAGACUUCACCGGACCAUUUAAUCAAUAGGAAUGAUGGGCGGUGUGUACAAAAGGUAAGAACGUAGUCAACAUAAACUAAUGGCUCAUGUUUACUAGAAAUUCCUUGUUGAAGACCAACAAUUGCAAAGAUUAUGUGGGCUUGUCAACCAAGGCUAUAGACUCGUUGAAUACAUCAAUGUAACACACAUGCGGUCCAAAACAUCUAAGAGCAUCAUAGACCUGUUGUUGCCUCAAAUUUCCUUAUCCUAAAUUGUCAUAGUCCCUCUAAGAAGCUAGCUACGGAGGAUCACUUGUUUUGUGCAUCCAUAUAACGUAGAGCUUCCUUCAAUCCAAACAAUUAUGUGAAACUAUGAGCUUCCUUCAAUCCAAACAAUUAUGUAAGACUAUCCAAUCACAUCUUAUAAAAUUAAACUCUAGGAUCAUAUGAUAUUAUUUUAUUCAUAAAAAAUUAUUUAAAGUGAUAGGUUUUAGAAUCCAUUUGGUAGUGUUUCUCGUCAAAAUGGUUUACUGACAAUGUUUUUUUCUAUAGCUUAUUUAUGAAAAACACUUAUAUAAGAAUCAAAAAAAGAGAUUCUAAUAGUGUUUUUCACAAUGUGUCGUAUGAGUAUAAAAACAUUUUUAAUAUUAAUAAACUACCAAAAAAGAUAUAUGCUUUAAUUACAAAAAAGAAAUAUUAUAAUAAAACAAGAACUUUUCAUUACAAAAGAAUAUAUAAACAUUUAUAUGAAAAAGAAUAUAUAAAUAUUUAUAUUGUUAAAAAAGCUAAAAAAUAAUCAUUUGUAUGAUUACAAGAAAAUUUUUAAAAAUAUUUACAAAAAAAAUGUUUAAUUAAUAAAUAAACAUCGAUCAUGAUAUAAAAAAUUUUCAAAAUAAAAUAAUUGAUUUUAUUUGUUUGUAUCUUCAUCCUGUGUAUUUAUACCAUCAUUCAAUGACCAAAAUUUUAGAUAAACUCUAAAUAACUUCGAUUGUAUCUAACUUGGACGUUUCCAUGUGUCCAUUGUCUCAUUGCCUUAGUUAAUGGGCUAGACUCAUAUACUACCAACUUUGCUUUCAUUGUGUCAAAAUUUUCAUUCAAACCUUGCGCCAAUAUUAAGAGGAAAAGGGGUGUUUUAGGCGUGCAUUCUUACAUGGAUUCUUGCACAAAAUAGAGAAAGUUGAUUAGGACAGGAUUACAUUUUAUAUCAAAUUACUCAAUUUGAUAUCUUGUGCGCAUCCCAUGACCACUGACGGGUGGAUAUCAUAUUAGAAUCGGAAGUUUCGUGCUAAGCAAGAUCAAUUAAAGGACCAAUGUAGCUAAUGACUCAUAUUAGUGGGGAAAAUGACACACCCACUUUGUCCAUAUUGCGACAUUAGUAAAGCUAGGCUUCUACUCUCUCCUCUCCUAAAAAUGGAGUGCAUUAAAUAAACCCAAAAGAUGCACAAUCAUCAGCCUUCUGUGUGAUUCAAAAAGCAGAAUCGAUGAUCUUUGGUCCGACAAGAGAUGAUGGACACAUUUUUGAAUGAUUAAACCAUAGGACACCCCAUGGUUUCUCAUACCCUAUCCUUUUUAUUGUUGGUCCCACUCAUAGACGAGCGAUGCAUUAUUUGUACUCAAUUUCCGUGGUGGGCACAUGAAAUGGACGGAAAGUGAUCUCUGGUGCCUCUACCAUCACUUGCUUCUACUAUGGAACAAGUGGGUAAUCAUCCAGUAGAAUCAAUUCAUCUCUACUACACAACAUUUCAGAUAGAAAUUGAGGACACAUGUUAGAUUGAUCCUCCAUCACCACCCACCAAAGCAAGUUGGUAGGUCCUUCAUCCAAGGUGACUUUCCAAUGGAUUAGGUCUUGGCUACAAUUUUGUUACUGUUGUUAGGUCACGGCAAAGUGCUUGAGAUUUGAUGAAUAGGAAAAAUAUGCUCCUAUACCCUAGGUUGUCCAUCUAGAAUUUAGCAUCAACUUAAAAAGUAAGUCUAAGACGCGGGAUUUGGUGCGAUUUGAAUGACAUAAAAGGGAUUUACGUAGUCGCACUUAAAAUCAAUUGAUUUUUAGAUGAGAUGACUAAACCUUUAGGUGGUGAUGCAAUAAAUUACAUCUGCACCUAUUUUCUGAUUCAACAUAAUUAACUUUGUUGAUGUUCUAUUUCUGAUAAUUCCGCCUGGGCUAUCAUUAUCUUGGAUUCCCUCAGAAGCGUUGGUUGAUGCAUGCAGACAACAAACGUUGGUUACCUCAUUAACAUCUAGAGACUUAGUUGGUGAAUGGUCUAAUCAAGGCAGUGAUCUGUUGAAAAUUCUUGUGAUUUAACAGUGUCAAUUCUUAAUAUUUUCUUCCAUGAGUACAUCAUCUUUCAGACUAACCACAAUUGCGGAAAGUAGUUCCUUUGGCAAGAAGACUUCUUAGUUUUCAUUUGAUAGUACAAAAUCUUGAUCUCUUUCAGGUUGGUUUAAUAUAUAUACAUAUAAAUUAAUCAUAGAAAGGGUAAGUUUAUUAAAGAUUAUUAUUCUUGUGUACUUGCUUGAAACCCAGAAUACCUUUUACAAAUUUAGAAAAUAAUUACAACAGGAGAUAGUAGAUUCUUAGACAAACCUCACAACUUGCUGCUCACCAACCCAAACAAACUACAAGAAUGUCUUUCCUGAGAGAGAGAGAGAGGGGAAAUCAAGGAGAAGAAAAAGUAUUGAACGAUUUGGUUAAGAAACAAAGAUCCCCAUUCUGCAACAUGGACAAUGGGCAUUAGUCUCCAGCCAUGGCAUCAAACACCUUGAGUGGAAACGGUGAGCGCAGGGCAGGUGCACCAGGCUCUCGCCAGCCUUGAACCCCUCCAGGCAGAUCGCGCACUCCACUUGGUCUGAGGCCUUCCAGCUCAACUUGCCCCAGCUGAAUCUCUUUGAACCACUCCUCUUUGAUCCAAACACCUCUGUCUGCAGUUCCCCUACCACCAUGGCUCUUCCAUCUACUAUCCUCAAGCUUUCCUUGCUCUUAUUCCUGAAUCCAAUUAUCAAAAUACAAUGAUUAAACACACAUAAGAACGGACAAUUGUAACUCUUCUGUCUGUUAAUUACCUUGUGGGUUCUGAUUUUCUUUGGGUUCUCAGCCUCUCAUCCAAUCUUUCCUUGGCUUCUCUCGCCACGCCUCCCAGUUUCUCGUCGCUGUAUGCUUGGUUCAAUACGCUUCUUUGCUGUUUUUGAUUUCAGAUAAUUUCAGAAAUAACUAAGAAAAAAAAACCGACACCCCAUUUAUAGAGAUUUAGAAAAAGAUAAGGUUGAUUAUGCCGAUAGUAGUACCAUAGAAGAGCUUGAAGUGGCGUGGUGGUUUUCAUGGUUGCUUGUAUAGAGACAGAAAGAGGACCGCCUUGUGCAGCCGUGGACCGCCACCGUCGGAGAGUCCGAGCACCCUCCACUCUGGUGGAAUCGUCUCCUUCGAGCACAUUCCACACCAGGAAGCAUUCCAGCCAUCUCUACCCUCUACUAUAUAUAUGUAUCUACAAACAAAUAAACUCCAAAAAAGAAAGAUUUGUUUAUAUAUGCAUUCAAUUCAGCAGCGGCUCUAGACCUUGUCUCCCAUCUUCAAUCUGCCUAGAACAAUGAAAGAAGAAGCAAUCAGAAACAAGAGUAUCCCACAUGUAUAUAUAUAUAUAUAUAUAUAUAUUUAUAUAUAUAAACAUAAACGAACUCCAAUUAAGCAGCUGUUCUGAACUCACAUGUUUCAGCACAGUGUGAGUAGAAAGGAAAUCAUGAUUGAAUCAAUGAAACAAAAGAGAAAACAGUGAGAGAGAUGAUAUUGGCAGACAAGAGCGGGACCCCGGCAUUGAUGGAUUCCAUCGACAGUUUUGCUUCCAUCAUUUUCAACAUCUCCAUCUAUGUAUCAAUUAUUUUCGAUUUUCAUUUUUGAAAAAAAAAUAUAUAUAUAUAUAUAUAUAUAUUAGAAAUGUGAGUUGAGAGAAUAGAAAGAUUGACGGAGAAGGACGAUGGACUGACUAGACAUUUGGACACCCAAGGUGAGCUAGCCACGUGACCAACCAAAUACUGCCCUACCCCCUCUUCAUCCUCCUCCUCUCCCUCUUUAUAUUUGUUUUCACGUUCUCUCCUUUGUUUUUAUUCACACGACCGCCGGCUGGCCUGCUGCCAAGCAUCCUAUCUUCAAUAACUUCUUUUAAAAGUAGGUCCCCAAUGGGGCCAUCCUGUGCAUAUCGGAUUAUUUCAUCUAUGCAUUUUAAAUCUUCUUAACAAAAUCCGAUUUUAUUACUAUUUAUCUUUGUAACAUCAUACUUCAACCAUCGCAUUUGAAAAUCAAUUGAUGUUCAAUGGGAGUGGGUCAAAUUUUUUAUGAUAUGCUACAAGUUUGUUCUAAAAAUGGUACCCAUGACCCAGUUAUAAGAUCGGGUUUUUAUUAUCUCUUCUGAAAAUCAAUUAAUGUUUAAUAAGGAUAGGUUAAACCUUUUAUGAUAUCUAACUCUACGAAUUUAUUCUAAAAGUCAUCAUUUUGAAUCUUUGAUGACAUGUCUUCGGGUUUAAGAGUGGCAUUAUUGCACCCCAAUAACCUUAUUCAUAUUCUUUUAUUUUGUGAUCUCAUUUUUUUUAUCUAAUUUAAUUUAUUCAUACACAAUGAUCUACGAUUUAUAUUUCAUUGUGUAUUUUCAAUGAUCUAGAAUCAUCUUCAACAAAUACUAAUUUAAUGUUCUGGAAUUUUCCAAAUAAUUAAUACUUCAAACCAAAACAUGUGUAUUAUAAUGAAAUGAUUCUAUUAUAUUGUGAUUGUCACAUUAGUAAUCAAUAUUUCCUUAAUUAAUUAAUUAUAACUAUUAUCACUGCAAUUAUUAAUUAAUUAACAAAAAGAAUAGCAAAAGGAAGGAAAAAGAAGAACCUUAUCUGCAUUUAUGGAUGGCUGACAUCAUCCAAAACCAGCUUACUUGGCCAUCUUGUGUUGAUCCCAACAAACUAAACGGUGUCCCUUUUCAUCAGUCACUACUACUCCAGGACAAAAGCGGAAGGAGGAAAAAAACAAGAACACAGACGAAAACUAAAAAAACAAAUAGGCCAUUGCCAGUGGAGCUCUCAGUAUCUGCCCCAUCUGCUUCAGUAAGUUCUUCAAAUUUCACCCAUUUCAUGAAUUGUCAAAAUUUGGAAUUUAGAAUCAAAUUCUUUUGGCUCCAAGGCAUCUAGAAAACAAGACAAAAAUAUAUUUUAAAAAAAAACAAAAAACAAUCAUAUACUUUGGGACUCCCAAUCUUUUGUUUACAAUGUGAGAAAAAUUGAUAAAGGAGAGGGAGACAUGAUUUAUGCUUUAUUUAUUUGAGAAGUGUUUUUAAAUAGUUUUUUAAAAUUGUUUUAUGAUAUUUUGUAAAAUAAUUUUUUUUUUGAAAAUUUAAAAUAUUUUUAAAAUAUUUUUUAUAUUUUAAAAUAUCUUUUAUAUAUAGUGUUUUUAUGUUUAAUCAUUCUUUAUAUUUAUAUAAUUAUUUUUUAGAUUUUAGAAAAUAAGUAAGAAGACUAAAAAUAACUAAGAGAUGUUAUUAAAAAUACUUUGUUUUCAAUUUUUAAGAAUAGUAAUUUAUUGUUUGUUUCUAGUUGGAAAAUUAUUUUCAAAACCAGUUACUAAAUAUUACACUAGUUCUUUAAUUUUAUUUUAUUUUAUAAUUUAUUAUUAAGUGGACUAUAAUAUUUUGGAAAGAAGAGGCAAGGGCCCAUUUAGUAAUUGUCUUCGAGAACAAUUUUUUGUUCUUAAAAAAAAAACAAUAAGAAAACAUGUUUAACAAAUAAAAAUUAUUUUCUAUUUUCUAUUGUUAAGAAAAAAAUAAAGUAUUUUAAAAAAAUAUCUUUUAAUUAUUUUAUAUUAUUUUCACUUAUUUCCUAAUUAUUAUUUUAAAAAAUAAUUAUAGAAUAAAAAUAAAACAUUAAAUAUAAAAAUUAUUUUUAAAACACAUUUAAAAAUAUUAAAAAUAUGUUAAAAAUAUUUCAGGUUUUUAAAUAAAUUUUUAUUCUGUAAAACAUCAAAAAAUAAUUUUUAAAAACUAUUCUAAAAAACUGUUUUUAAAAAAUAGUUACUAUCCAUCCCCUAAAAUUCUUGAUUCUUGUGAUAAUUAUUAAUUAAGGUGAGAAAAUGUGGAUGUGGCCGGUGGUUGUACCCAAUUUUGAGAGGCAAUGGAGAUUAGGCAUGGAGAAUCGUUGUUUUGGGACAUUGAUGCCAGUGAUUCAAUAUUUUAAUUUGGCCAAAGUGGAUUCGUAUCUCAUUAGUAUCUCAACGGAUGGGCACCCAUCUGGAAUCAGUGCAUAUCACCCGACAUAAUUAGUACUGUACUUCAUAAACAAUGACGUAACCCAUCAGAUUUUUUUGCACUGAAAUCGGAUUGGAUGCUAGAUUGGAUUGACGGGUUGCUCCGGUUUUAUGCCCAAAUUGGGCCGACAGAAACUGGGUUAAGCCUACAAAGACAUGAGGUGUUUCAGAGUCCACAAACUCAGAUUGGGCUCAGCUGAAGAUAGGCCCACCAGAACACUGAUGGACCCCGUUUGAGCCGUUCUCAAAUCACGGAGCCCAAGUCAACCACGCCAGCGCCAAUUAGUUCUUUACCGUCUUGAAUGGUUUUCAGACCAAAGCCUUCCCAUUAUUUCGAGACAUUCAUUAACCACGUGUCAUGCGAGCAUGUGGUAAAAAUGGUAGGAAAAAUAAUAUUAGUAAUAUCAUAACUUUUAGUAUUCUUAGUUUAGAUUUUUUUCUAGGUUUUUCAUAAUUUUAGAUUUAUUACAUAUAAGAAGUAGUGGACAAACAAAAAAAAAGAGACGGAAAUUUAUUGAACAAAUAGAACUUCUUCAAUGAAGUUAUAAAAAAAAUUUCAAUUUUGAUUAGAUACUAAAAUAAACAAAAUAAAAAUUUAUUAAUAUAAAAAGGAUUUGUAUGAUAUCUGAUCUAGGGAAAUAUAUAUAUUAUACUGUGUCAUCCAAAAAAUUGAGUGAUUCCUUCUUUCUUCUAACUUUGAAAUGAUUGAUAAAUACUAUCAAGGAGCAAAUGUUUUGAAUCAAUCAAUCAAGUUCGUUUUUCAUUCAAAGGAAAAAUAAUUAAAAGAGUAAGCAAAUUCACCCAAGAUUCUCCUUAGUUUGGACUAUUAUAUACGGGACCAUAAAGACUAAUGAUGAAAAAAGAAGGCCCUCAUUCAAUUAUUUAAGAAAAAAUACACUAAAAAUGCUAUGUAACAUUGAUGGAUCCACACCACCCUAAUCAACACAUCAAAGAAAAAUGUGUUGGAUAUUGUUUUAUAGCAGUUUGAAUAUAGUCUCCCAAUUAUAUAGCUUCGCAACAAUUUCUAAAAUCAACUUCCAUGGCUUUGAUCGAUUUACACUUGAAGUUAAAGCUAGUCUACUAGUCACCCUUCAUUGAUGUAUGCCUUGGAUACCGUCACAAUGGUGAUCUAGUGAGCUAAUAUGACACAACCCAUGUUAGAGGAAUCAUUCAUAGAUGAUUGCCUUGAGCAAUGAUUAGAUUCUUUCACCAAUAUCAAUUUAGGAAGUAGUAAUGAUAUGCAUUGGGAUACUCCUCUAUUGACGGAACCAAGUGACCUAUUAUUAUCUUACUAUUACUAAAAAGAUAGAAAGCUUUUGUGAUUGACAAUAAAAGUAUAAUUAUGUGUUGAGUGAAUAAUGUAAAUGCACUCAAUAAUAUCAGCAUAUUAAUUAUUCUAAAAUCCAUGAAAUGUUUUAUACGUGACAGAGUUUUUAGUAAACAAACGAAACCCGAUAUCCAAAUAAAACUAAUCAAUUGAACAACUUGUGACAGAAAGGGAAGACAGGUAUACAGUUUGAAAACCCUCGUGGGAGGUGUCCACUAUGAGAGCAAUGGAGGCCAUGGUGCGAGCUGGCCGUGGUUACAUGCAUGGGAGAUGGUCAUGCAUAGCAUGGGAGUGUGGGUGUAGUUUUGAAGGUCGCAACUCGCAAGUAGGUGAUAUGGGCCUUGGGUGAUGGGUGCUGUGGAAGUCUUCGACGAUGAUAUUUCAUGUUCUUGUUGGCUUUUAUGAAGGUCAUAGUAUCUCUUGUAUUGCAUCUCUUUCAAAGUAAGCGUCCUUUUUACCUUUAUCUUAAGGGGUGUGAGGGUUUGUUUGAUUAAUGUUUUUAAAAAUAGUUUUUUAUUCUCCAAAAUAAGAAAAUUGAAAACACAUUUGACAAUAAAAAAAUAAAAAAAUAAUUUUUUGUUUUUAAAAACAAAAAAAAUAUAGUGUUUUUAGAAAAUAUAUAUUUUAAUUGUUUUCAAUUAUUUUCACUUUUGUUUAAGAUUAUUUUAAAAAAUAAUUAUAUAAAUAUGGAGAAUAAUUAAAAAAAAUCAUUAUAUAUAAAAGUUAUUUUUAAGACAUAUUUAAAAAUAAAAAAUGGAUUAAAAAUAUUUCAAGUUAUCAAAUAGACAUUUUGUUCUAUAAAAUAUCAAAAAUAGUUUUUGUAAAAUGUUUUCAAAAACUGUUUUAAAAAAAUAGUUGCCAAAUAAGACGUUAGUCAUUUCAACUUUCCCUCUCUUGAUCUUGCUAAGAAGUUUGAUUGGAGUUCUAUUUCAAUUAUAACCUUCAUAAUACUAGUUUUAAAAAGAAGUAAUACGUCAUACCUCUGCUUGCCUUUUCUUUCACUCUUUCAUUGGCGGACCCAUGCUUUUAGAGAUGUCCAGCUUCUUGUCAUUUAUAUAUAUAUAUAUAUAUAUAUAUAUAUAGUAUAAUAUCAUAUCCCAUUAGAUAAGAAAUACAUAUCCUAAGAUAUCAUCUUUAAUGCGAUGUGAUAUCCAUGAAUAUUAUAUUUAAUAUAAAGAUGUUUAAUAAAUAUAAUAUCCUAACAUAGUAUAUGCAAUGAAAUGUGUUGUACACACAAAUUUUCUCAAAUAAGGAAAUUAUGGACAAAAUUGUAAAAUUGAUAGUUUGAGGAAACAAUUUCCAACAUGUCCUCUAAUUUUGUUUAGAGAAACAAAAACAUCAUUUUAAUAAAUUUAGUUCUUAGUUUUGGAUCAAAAAGGUUUUCUUUAAAAAAUAAUAAAUUAUGAAGUCUUCCAAUAAAAAGAAAUCUUCAAAUCUUUUUCGAUUUUUCAAGAAAUCUUUGAAUUUUAAGAAUCUUUUACAUUCAACGAUAUUUAUAAUUAAAAUAUUUAAAUAAUACAUAUAUUGAUAUUAUUUUAUAAAUGUUUUUUUUUCUUUUUUAACUACAAAUUUAUUUUUUUAUUUUUUAUUUUUUGUAAAAAAGUAAAAUUUUGAUAAAAGGAUAAAUUUAUGAUACAUACGACAUAUAUAUCUUAUCUUUCAUAUAAAAAAGAUAUCACAAAAAGCAGAUAAUAUAUUUUUAUUAGUUACCCUAUCUAAAAUAUUAUAUUUUAAAAAAAAAACAAAAACAAAGUGGAGGAUCUUCCUUCAACAUGUACACGAACCAUGUGGUACGAUGCAUUAUGUUGGUUGUAAAAAGAAUUUCUUCUGGUAUCCCUCAAAAGCACCCUCCUUUGUAUUCUCCCACGAUCUCCUUAUAAACAUUCCCCCUGUUACAUUGUUUCAUUUCAUGGUAUAAUAUAAAGGAACAACCGCCUAUGGAUUACAUUCUUUGAUUCUCAUGCCUUUCGACAAAAAGUUCUCAACUACUCCUGAUUCUUUUCUCGUACCAAUGGCCGAUUAUUCUUUUCCCAUCCCCAACCCAAAAUUACAUACUACCAAAAAUGGGUACACCUCCUAAUUCUUUUUUUUUUUUUUUUUUAAUUUUGCAUAAAAGGGAAAUUAAAUUUAAAAUAAUAAUUUAUUUUUCUCCAUUCCUACCUUUUUUUUCUUCUUCUCUCCAUUCUCUUAAACUUUGUACAUUCAAGGAAGUCUUAAGUGGGCUUUUUGCACUUUGUUUUGCUUUUUUUUCUUCUUAUAAUCAAACAUUCAAAAAUCAUGUUUGGCAUCGAUUUUACUUUUUCUUUUUUUAAAAAAAAAAAAAUUGUUUGACUGCAAUACCGUUGAUAUCAAAUUCAAGGAUGGAUCAUUUAAAUAAUUAUGAUCUAAUAUCAUAAAAAGUUUUAUCUAUCCUCAUUAAACUUCGAUUAAUUUUCAAAUGAGAUGAUCAAAGUUCAAUUCAAGAAUUGAUAUAAAAGUCGCAUCAUAGAUUUAGGACACAGGAGGAUUCAAGGCACGAAAAAGUCAUGAAAUGGUUAUCCAAUAAUUUUAUAAUAAAUAUUAAGAAGACAAAAAUAUAUAAAUUUUUUUAUCUUUAAUUUUUUUAAAAUUUAAAAAUUCUUUUUAUUUUAUUUUAUAAUUUGACAAUAAAAACGUAUUUUUCUACUACUUUUCAAUAAUUUAUACAAAAAUGUACCAGAAUCUCAAACUUUCCUUUGACUUUGAAAAUUAAAGUCAAACUGGAGUUUAUAUUUAUAAACCUCAGCGUCAUGCACGUAGAUGAUAAUGUCUCAUAAAAUAAUAAAAACUUUAUAAUAUUAAUUGGGAAUAACAUGGUAUGACAUUUGCAAUGUGCAUGUCGCUUUCCUUGUUUCCAAACAGUGAAAAAGAUAGAUACCUCCAUUACUAAAAUUUUAAGAUAUGGAAUCCCCAACUAUUACAUAUUUAUAAAAUUUUGAUUGUUGACAAUGCACGAUAAAAUUUAAAUUGUUAAUAAAAAUAUAAACAUAUGAGAACAUAUAUAAAAAAAAUGAUAUUAAAAUAUAAAGCAAUGAAUCUUAUAUAUAUGAUACAAAUUAAUAAUAUUUAUAUAUAAAGUAAAUGAGGCUUUAAUUAUAAAUGUAACGUGGUCAUCGUAUUAAUGGUAUAUUUUCAAUAAAUAUCAUAAAAAAAUAGGAACAAAAGAGACAUGAAAUUACAAAUCUAAUCUCCCACUUUUUCUUUUUCUUUUUCUUUUUUACCAAAAAACUCAUUUUGGACAAAAAUAUCUUUAUUUUUUUCUUACAAAAAUAUCUUUAUUUUUUUCUUACAAAAAUAACAUGUUAUGCUAAAACUCAUAUAUAAAUAAUGAAAAUGUUGAAGGGUAUUCAUGUAAAAAAUUGACUACUCUUCAAGUUAAAAAAAUGGAAGAUGUUAGUUUUACAAAUUUGAGAUCUUUCCAUCCCUUUUAAUCAAUUAAUCAUAAAAAGUAUGUGAUAUCACACAUUAAAUAGAAGAGAAAGUUAUUAAGGUUAUAUAUAUAUAUAUGUGAAUUCUUCUUAAUUUUAUAAAUGCGUUUUAAAGUUAUGAGAGUCUUUUUAUAUUUAAAGCAAACAAUAUCUAUACGAUUGAGUGAAGAUUAUUACAAACGGUAUCAGAGUUGAUUCACGAUCGUAAAGUUUAUUAGGUCUCAUAGGAUGUGUUUCUUUAUUUAUCUCCAUAAUCUCAUGGGAUGAUUUCAGUAUGAGGGUUUGUUUGAUUUCGUAUAAAAGUUUUUGUCUGUUUGAUCUCACAAUCAUAAAAGAUACAAGAUAUUUAUAAUAUCUUAUAUCAAAUAAAAUAAAAAAUUACUAGAGUUAUAUAUGUAUGAGUUUUUGUUAUCCAUUAAAAUAAUAUCUUUACUAUUGCAUGCAAAAUAUAUGUCGGUAUUAUAAUAAGAUUCCACAAUUAUAUCUCCAAGAGCCAUUUUAACAAAAAUGCGUGGGUGCGCCUCCGCGGGAGGCCUUUCACAUUUAAACAUUCUGGUAAUUAGAAGGGCAUUGGCCCUAGCGAUCUUAAAUGGUCACUUUUUACACUCGAGAACUUAUAUAAUCCAAUAGAAUUCCUUUUAGUCACAUAAACUAUAUUAAGUGGUACAAAGAUAGUGCAAAAGUGAGAUGGAACAUGACGUUAAUGUUCGUGAAACAUGACGGCAUUUUUUUAGGACGUGAAAUCGACCCAAAGCAGAAGAUGACCAAAACAGACCACUGACCCAUAUUUGGUCCUGUGUAAAAAUAAAUUCCCUCACAUUGGUUAUAAUUGAUUUUAAAUCAUUAUUUUUAGUAAAAUAGUAUAUUUAUCUUAUUUUAGGUGCUUCUGUUUGGUGUCACCUCGCACUUUAUUAAGCUUACAUCUCUGCUAUUGAUGCAACCCACCACCAGCCUUCAUAUACGCGUAUACGAAUAACAUCAAACAAUAUUAUCUAAUUAGGUUUGUGGUAGCUUUUGAAGAUGCUGGGUAGACUACCGACUUUGUAAAAGUAAGUUAAUUUAAGUUAGAAGAUUAGGUGGUGUUUGUUUUUUGAUUGAAUAGAAAUAAUUAAAAUAUUUGAUUUUUUUUAUUCGAUUAAAAGUAAUAUGUUGAUAUCAUCCAAUAUGAUUAAAAUGAACUUGUUAUUAAUAAAAGCUCAGUUUAGUUAUGUUGGAUGAUAUUAAUAGGUUACUUUUAGCUUAAUAAAAAAAAUCAAAUAUUUUGAUUUUUUUUCUAUUCAGUCAAAAAACAAACAUCACCUUAGACUUCGUAUAGAAUGAUGUGAGACAUUAUGAAACAUUUUUUUAAUAUUUAGAUUUAUAAAAAUUAGAGGUUUUAUUAUGUUUUGGAAAUUACUUUUGAAAAUUUAAAGAAUCACUUCAAUUGAAUUAUAUAGAUAUUUAGUAAGUAAUUAUUAAAAUAGUAAUUAGUAGGUGUUUUUUUUUAAAAAAAAAAAUACUAGAUUUUCCCUAUCGUCAAAUAUUAAUAGAUUUUCCAUACAAAUCUUUUCCAUGAAAGCAUAGUUGAAAAAGUUAAAAACUUAGAAGCCCUUUCUCUCAAAUCCCUGUCAAAAUGUCCUUGAAAAUAUGAUUUAAUAAUGUUAAAAUGUAACUUUGAGUGGUUAAUUUUUAUAUCAAAAAAUAUUAAUUUUAUCUUAAACGAAAAACAUUAGAAAAUAUUUUGAAUACAAAAAACUAAUUUUUGUUUUUUAUUUUAUGUUUUCAAGAACAAAAAAUAGGAUAUUUCUAAAGAACAUCUUUUAGUUGUUUUCUAACAACUAUUUUAAUAAAUAAGUAUACAAAAAUAUAGAAUAAUUUAAAAUAAAAUAUUAAAUAUAAAAAUUAUUUUUAAAAAUAUUAAAAAAUAUUUUAAAUUUAUAAAUAGAUUUUUGUUCUAUAAAAAUCAUAAAAUUUUAAAAAAAUUUUUUAAAAAUAUAUAUUUUUUAGAAUUAUUUUUUAAAAUAGUUACCAAGCAAACCCUUACACAGUCUUUUAUUAAACCACUUUCAAACCAUUUAUAGUAACAUGACUUAAAGUCUAUUUCAUCAUGAUUUUUUAAGUAUUUUUAAUUUUCCUAACAUUGAAAAUUUUUUAUUAAAAAAACUGUUUUUAAAUGAUAGAAAGAGUAAAAGCAUUUCACAGGUCAUUGACAAAUAAGAUCUUAAUAGCAUUGAAAAGUAACUCAAUUUUUAAAAUAUUAAAUAUUAAAUGGUUUUCUUGGUUUUCUUUCUUAUUACUCCAAAUUCUUAUUUAUGUUUGUUUAUUGUUAUUACCCUUUUGUUUCCUCCCAUGAGCUUAUUAUUUAAUAUUAAUUAAAGUAAAUACGUGCAAUUUAAUAAUUUAAAAAAAAUUAAAUUAGUCAAAGCAAAUAACUUUAACACUCAAGUUAAUAUUAAAUAAAAAACUUUAGAUCAACAAAUUCAAUAAGAUUUAAAUUAAAUAAUUAAGUAUUAAGUGUACAUUAUGUUUUUUUUUUUAAAUUACAUUAGAGAUAGUCAAAUUCUUUAGAUAUCCCAAAAAUUUUAAACAAUUUUUAAAAUCAUCACUUUUUCAAAUUAAAUUUUAAGCUAUUAUUAUUAUUUUAUUUAAUAUAAAUAAAAAAUAAAAAUAAAAACUUUUAUAUGUAGGUAAAGCUUUUUGUACAAAAAUAUAAAUUUACGCCAUAAGAAUCACUUUUAAAAAAAUUUAAAAAUUUAAAAUUUAAUAAAAAUCAAUGUUUUCAAAAUCGGACCUAUCAUUGAACUGAAAAAGUUACGAGUUCACGGUUCACUGACUGGAUCGAUGAUCAAAUUGGUGACGUUAUAAAUAUAUAUUUUAUUAUUUUAUAUAUUAUUAAAAAUUAAUAAAUUAAUAAAUUCUAUCUAAAUUCCUCCGUUCACAGCCGUCAGGUGGGGGGUUUACAGGCAACCGGGGGGUGUGGGAUGUUUAUAGCCGAGGGGGGCGGGGUACCAGCCGGUUGGGGUGGUUUCCAACGGCAAGGAGCUUUCCAAUGCCAGCUUCCAACGCCGCGACGGGAAACUAGGAAGAGGCGACGGCAGGGAGGGUUGCCGACUUGUAACGACCAUCGGUGGGAGCUGUUUGGGUGUCGUGGGUCACGGUGCGUCGGUGGCGGGCGGAGCGACAGGCCGACAGCAACUGCGGGGGAGGAGGGAGGGUUUGUAGUUUGCAACUUUGAUUUUCAUUAUAUACCCUCCAAAACGGCAUCAUUUUGAUGGUGUUUUAAAAAAAUUAAUUUAAUUAACUUGGUCGGUUCGUCCAAUUCACCAGUUGAACCGCUUGUUCAAGUGGUCCAACCCCUAGUUCAAUGCUAUUCCGGCCCAAUUGACUGGAUCGGAUCAGAACCGUUACCUGCCGGUGGUCGGACCGAUCGGUCCAAUCCAAUUUUAAAAACCAUGGUAAAAAUAUUUCAAAUUUUCAGACAAUAAAAAUCUUUUUGUAAAUUUCUUUUAAAUGGUUUUUAAAAUUAUUACUUUUUUGAAAUAAGUCUCUUAAAAAGUUAUUAUAUCUUAUACAAAAAUUAUUAAUAUUUUCUUAUUUUAAAAACAAAAAACAUGAAGAAUAUCAAAUCAACACAAGUGUCCCAUUUUAUUAAAUGUGAUCAAAGCUUUUUUAUUAGUUGCUUUAUACAAGUUGUACAAAAAAAUAUCAAGCUUGAACGUCAAUAUUACAAAAUAAAAAAUAAAUAAAUAAAAUUGUCACAGUGUUUGUGAUAAAGAUAUUAGGAAAAUUCAUAAUGUGUAGUCAAUACAAGUCAUCAAAAUGGGGCAUGGCCACAAAUGAUGUGCAGCUUGUGGACAAGGAUGUGCACAUCAUACGCUGGUAAUAGAAACUGACUCCUUGAUAGCAUGUAGGAGGAAAUGACACCGAGUCAUCACUUCUUGUUGUCUGAGUUUGAGCUGCCAGCAUUGGAUGCUCCUUUCCACCUAUAAACACCCCAUUUGGUUACCCUUUUUUCAGUGUUUGUACCAUCAGCUAUGCGGCUAUGCCUCCUUCCGUUUGUAUGUUUAUCUAAGGACUGACAUACAUCGAACCCCUCUUAUGUCUAUUUUCCCACCUACACCUGUUUGGACCCAAGGAAAAAUUAAACCAUCAUGGAAAGAGGGGCUCAAUUUUCUUUUUGGGUGUAGCUUAAUUGGGGGUUACUGAUAACUACAUAUCGAGUGCACGUGACGGUGGUCUUAUUCCAAGUAUUUUUAGUAAAAAUGUUUUCUCUACGAGUGAUUUUAGGAAAAUAACCUAUUAAUAGUUCAUUUUAUAGUAAUUGGUGAUUUUAAGAAACAUUUCUAAUAUUUUUAACACUUGAAAAAUUUUAUUAUUUAAAUAUUAAAAAAAAUAAAAACAUUUUUUUUUAGAAUUAUUACCAAACACACUUUAAAAGUCUUAAUUUUUCUAAAACUUAAAAAAUUUUAUAUUUCAAAUAUUAAAAAAACUUUAACGCUUUUUAUACUCACCACCAAACAUGCUAUAGUGUUUCUUAAAAAAAACUAGAAGUGAUUUUUCAACCCUAAAUGAUUUUUCAUAUUCUUAAAAGUGUUUCUUAAAUUUUGUCAAACACCUUAUUUUUAUUCAAAAAUAUUUUUUAAAUUAAAAGUACUUUCAUAUAAUCAUUAUUAAAUUGACUUUUAUUAUAAGAGUUUGUUUGAUAAUGAUUUUAAGAAUCGUUUUUAAUAUUUCUAAUACUUGAAAAUUUUUAUUUUUCAAAUAUUAGAAAUUCUAGAAACGCUUAUAAGAAUUACUAUCAAACAUACUUUAAGUCUAAUAUAUGACACAUAAUACGGGGUUCAAAUUGGUGAUUAAACUUUGCUUUAUUUGAUUAAAAGGGUCAUUAAAAACCCAAUUUUGGAAAUCCAACCUUUAUCUUUUUUUUUUUUGUGUCAUUUUGACAAAAAUACUCUCAUUUUUUUAUGAUAGAAGUAAUCAUUAUUUUAAUAUACGUGUAAAUACUUGAAAUAGUAAAAAACAUUUAUAUAAAAAAUGAGUUACUUUUCAAGUAAAAACAUGGAAAAUAUUGAAUUCACAAAUAUAAGGGUUAUUAUUAAUUUUUAAAUUUUUGAUAAAUCUUAAUAAAUACCAAAAAAAAAAAAGUAUAAUUUUAACACAAGAAAAAAUUCCAAAUAGAAAAUUAAGAUGUUAUGAAUUUUAAUGUUUUGCCUUUUACAACUUUUAUUGUCCUCAUAGACCAUUUUAUUAUUAAUUUUUUAAUCAGAAAAUAAUAAUAACUUAUAUACAAAUUAUAAUAAAUUUUAUAUAAAAAAAAAUAUGAACUUAUUUUUAAGGUAAAAUUCAAAAUUUUCUUACAUUUUAUACCGAAAUUAUCAUCCUUUCUUAUUUCUAAAAAUGGAAAAUAAAAAAUGUACUAAAUUUAUAACAAAUAUAUACAUACAUAUUAUUUUAUAUUCCUAAAUUGUAUUUUUAUCCAUUGAAAAUAAAUAAUUCUUAGGGAAAUAAAUAUACGCAAAUAUUUUUCCUAUUUAUUUAUUUUCUAAAAUUAUUUAAUAAUAUUAUUCCAGCGCACACCUCCUAAGAUUAGUAUUUUACCAGUUUGGGAUAUAAGCUAAAUUUAAAAAAGGUAGUAAAAUCCCAACGGUUAAAUCAAGAAUAUAUUAUUUUUCUAACAGAAGCAUCUAAUAACCCAACAUUCCCCUAAAACGGGCUCCAUAAAACCGCUUACAACCCUUUUACUCCAACCCGCCGGAGCAUCCGCGUCCUUAUCCGUCUUUUCGCACAUCCUCCUCCUCCACCCUCCGUCACCACACUAUAAAGGGACAACCACCUGUCACCAUUCUCACUCACGCUUGCUCAUGGAGAUGGAAGACCCACACACUAACCCGUCGCCUUCUUCUCUCAAAGACAGGCUCAAGUCUUCCCUCUGUCUCUCAUGUUGCUUCCGCACAAACCCUCGCCAGAACCUGGAAUCCGACGAGAAGUCCAUCAAACCUUCCUGCGUUUGGCUCAAGUCCAGAGCCCAGGACCUGCCGGAGAUCAAAGAGAAGUUGGUCUCCCAAUUCCGAGGCCGCCGCCACUCCUCGCAGUUCAGGUACGACCCUCUCAGCUACUCUCUCAAUUUCGACCAAGGCAUCGACGAGAACCACGUCGAUCAGAUUCAAUUCAGGAACUUUGCCGCCAGAUUGCCGCCGACGCCGCCGCGGACGGUGGAGCCGGUGAUGGUUGAUUCCAGAGAAGUGCGUGUAGUUAGUUAGUCUAGGGUUUUCAGAAGUGUGUUUUGGGAGUACACCGUCGUUGCGGCGGCGGCGAUGGCGAUGGCGAUGGGAUCAGUGGUUAGUGGGUUUUAGCGUCUCAUGAUUUUUGAUGUACGAAACUAUGUGCGGGAGUUCUCGGGCGAUUAUUUACUCCUACAGCACUGCAGUAUGAGUACGGUGCUCCACGUGGGGUCAGUCGAAUUAUUAAUUUUCCCUUUCUGAAUUUACUGUUCUCAUAUCUUCCACAUUUCACAUGAAUUUACGAACGCUGAUCGGUUAUGAAAUGCAAAAUUAUACCAUAACUAAAAUUUCAUAUUUUUUUUCAUAAGGAAAAAGUGUGUUUUCGUACGUUCAACUCGUAAAAUAUAAAUUUUAAACAAUCAUGUAAAAAUAAUUAAUAUUUAAUUUAAUUUUUUAAUAUAUUUUAUUAUCAUAAAUACAUAAAAUUAAAUUAUUUUUAAAAAAAUUCUAUUUUAUAAAUAUUUUUAUAAGAAAAUAUUGAGUUCAUGUCCAUUUUUUUUUUAGUCAUAUUUAGUGAUGAAGGAUAUCAUCAUUACUCAAUGAAUUUGAGGUUAGAUUGUGCACGAAGCAUGAAGGUUCUCCAUAAGAAGAUUAUUGGAGAAGAAAUGAUUGAGAGAAAUCACAUCAUUGUUGAAGUAUUAUAUGGGCCCGACCAUAUUGAGGGUUUUUUUAAAGGAAUUUAUUUUUGGUAGAAUAGUUUUUAAUUUUUAUUAUUAUUUUAAUUCUGAAAAAAAAAAAAAAAAAAAAAAAACCUCCCGACCAUUGUGUCAACGUCAACUGAAGGCAUCUUUGGAAGAAUAAACCCCAAAAGCAGAAUGAUUGGUAACGUAGGAAAGAAGUAGAAAAAAAAAAAAAAAAAAGGAAAGGAAAAGUCACCGAAAACAAACAAAAAAUCAAAGAAACCGCAAACACCCAGAGUCACGUUACCAUACCGUGAGUGAUUUAAGGUGAUAGGUAGGUGUCAAGAAGGAGCUUGAUGUUUGCCCAUGAGUCCAUGACAAAAUUAAGAGAAGUGAAUCCUUGCAUUACAGCAAAUAAUGCAGAAAACCAGAAAUAGGGACUUUGGCAGAAUACUAUUGGUGAAUACUAAUACGUGUUAAAGGGGCUUUUCACACUCAGCUUUUUACCUAGUGGGACUGCCUUAUCGGCUUAUCACAAAGCAAGAUGCCCGAGGUGGGUGGGCAGCUUCUUUUCUAUCUGCUGAUGCAGCUGUGUGACCCAGACCCUGUCUCCUUUACCUGUAAUCAUGGGAAUUUUCAUGUUGCAUUAACCCCCCGUAUAAAAGCUUGCUAAAAGUUACUACAACUUGCUAGCUCUCAUUGCCCUUCUUAGCUUUGAUACCAUUUUUUAGGCCAAUCAAAGCGGAAAUGUAAGCAUAUUAUAGAAAAAAAAACAUAAAAUAAAGUAAAGAAUAUGAGUUUAAUUUUAACGUUAUUUGGUCGAUCACGAGUAAUUUUGCUUUAUUAGAUGUCUUUCAUUCUUCUUUACAUUUAUACCUUGGUGAGCUAUUCGGUCUUCCUCAAAUCGCUAUUUUUUUUAAAUGAAAAAUUCAUUCAUAACCUGAAAUAUUUAUGUAGAUAUUUUCACUAGUUUUCCAUAUUUUAUAAGAAAAAAAAAAAUCAAAUUUCAAUCUAAUAUCAAUUUAAAAAAUAUUCUAUAUAAUAUUAUUUUUAUAAAAAAAUAUUUUAAAUAUGAAUUUAAAACACCUUCCUACCACAACUAAACAUUUUGUGGGUUCAUCAGCCCUUAUUUAUUAAAUUUGAAGUUUCUUCUCUUUCUGCAUUUUCCGCAUUCUAUUUUCCAUUUGAAAAUGAAAUGCAAUUAAAUAGGGAACAUAGAAAACUUUCAUAAAUCUAGACAGGCCUAGACCAGGCCCACUUUGGGUCUACAGUGGCCUGCUUGGCUCAC